AUCCAUCAUCUUGAAUCUCUUGAGAAUGUACUUCUCUUGAGAGAUGAAGACCCCUUCCUUCAUUUGCUUGACUUGAAAUCCUAGGAAGAAGGAUAGCUCGCCAAUCAUUGACAUCUCAAACUCCUUGGACAUCAAAUCACCAAAUUCCUUGCAAAAAUCUUCAUUAGUAGAGCCAAAAAUAAUAUCAUCAACAUAAACUUGGCAAAUGAAGAUUUCCCCAUUCAUUUUCUUGGUGAAGAGUGUUGUGUCAACUUUCCCAAUCUUGAAGCCCUUCUCAAUGAGGAAGUCCCUAAGCCUCUCAUACCAAGCUCUAGGAGCUUGCUUGACACCAUAGAGAGCCUUGGACAACCGGUAGACAUGCUUGGGGUACCUAGGGUCUUCAAAACUGGGGGGUUGCUCAACAUAGACAAGCUCAUUAAUAUAGCCAUUCAAAAAAGCAUUUUUCACAUCCAUUUGAAAUAAACUGAUAUCAUGACUAGAUGCAUAUGCAAGUAGGAUACAGAUUGCUUCAAGUCUUGCCACCGGUGCAAAGGUUUCACCGAAGUCAAGACCUUCCACUUCUGAAAAGCCUUUUGCCACAAGCCUUGCCUUGUUGCGCACCACUUUUCCUUGAUCAUCCUUCUUGUUCCGGAAGACCCACUUUGUUCCAAUCACUCUUGCAUCUUUGGGUCGCUCUUCAAGUGCCCAUACUUGGUUGCGAGAGAAGUUGUUCAACUCCUCUUGCAUGGCCAUGAUCCAAUCCGCAUCACAAAGAGCUUCCUCUAUAGACUUUGGUUCAUCUUCAAGAGACACACAAGCGUGAUGUUCAAUAAAUAAAGCAUGUCUAGAGCAUGUAGUUAGACCACGUGAUGGACUCCCGAUGAUGAGAUCUUGAGAGUGAUCUUGGAGGAGAUGUGAUGAUCUUCUUGGUGCAACUUCAGGAGUAGGUUGGGGAGCAUCAACAUCUUGUGCUUGUGCCACCGCUUGCUCAUGAAUGACUUGGGUGUCUUCAUGAGCAUCUCUCACAUCCUUGUCUUCAUCUUGUGGUACAUGUGAGGUGGAUGGUGGAUCAAUGACUUGCACAUCAUCAUCUUCUUUAGGCUUGAUGUCUCCCACUGGCAUGUUCUUCAUGGCAUCCCUCAAUGGUUCCCCACCUACAUCAUCAAGAUUAUCACUUGCUCCUUGGGAGCCAUUAGUUUCAUCAAAUUCAACAUCAAAUGUUUCUUCAACCAUGUUUGUGGCAUGGUUAAAGACCCUAUAUGCUUUGGACUUUGAUGAAUAGCCAACCAAGUAGCCAAUGUCACAUUUUCUUUGGAACUUGCCCAAGUGUUGGCGCUUCUUGUAGAUGUAGCAUUUGCACCCAAACACUCUAAAGAAUGAGACAUCGGGCUUCUUCCCAUUGAGCAACUCAUAUGGUGUCUUCUCUAGGAACUUAUGAGGAAAGAGCCGGUUUGAUGCAUAGCAUCCGGUGUUGAUUGCCUCGGCCCACAUCUUCUCGGAAGUGUUGUACUCAUCUAGCAUUGUUCUUGCCAAGGUGAUCAAUGUCCGGUUCUUUCUUUCUACAACCCCAUUUUGUUGUGGUGUGUAUGUUGAGGAGAACUCAUGCUUGAUUCUCACUUCAUCACAAUACUCUUCAAUGUUGGUGUUGUCAAAUUCCUUGCCAUUGUCACUUCUAAUUUUCUUGAUCUUGACAUCAAAUUGAUUUUGGGCAUUCUUUGCAAACUUCUUGAAUAUGGAUGCAACUUCGGCCUUGUCUUGCAAGAAGAAUGUCCAAGUGUACCAGGAGAAAUCAUCAACUAUGACCAAGCAAUAUUUGUUGCCUCCAAGACAAGCAUAUGUGGUUGGUCCAAAUAGAUCCAUGUGAAGUAGCUCAAGCACUCUUGAAGUAGAGAGAUAGGCCUUGGUUGGAUGAGUGUUUGUAACUUGCUUGCCCGCUUGACAUGCACUACAAAGCUUGUCUUUUUCAAAUGUCACAUCCUUUAAGCCUCUAAUCAAUUCUUUCUUCAUCAACUUCUUGAGUGUGCCCAUUCCAACAUGUGCUAACCUUCUAUGCCAUAACCAACAAAGUGAGGUCUUGGUGAAUAAGCAAGUCUUGACAUCAACUUCAUCGAAUGAGAAAUCAACUACAUAUAAGUUGUUGUGUCAGAAGCCUUUGAAUAUAACUUCAUUGUCAUCCUCCUUGGUCACUAUUACUUCUUUCUUCUUGAAUAGGCAUUCAAAUCCAAGAUCACAAAGUUGUCCAACCGAGAGCAAGUUGAAACUCAAUGAUUGCACAUAGAGCACUUUGGUGAUAGAGUUGUCAUUUGAUAUAGCAACCUUUCCUAGUCCCUUGACCUUGCCUUUUGAAUUGUCACUAAAUGUGAUCUUCUCUUGGUUGUCGACAUCUUCAUCAAGAGAGGUGAACAUUCGGGGAUCUCUGGUCAUAUGUUGAGUGCAACCACUAUCAAUUACCCAAUGUGAUCCACCGGUCUUGUAGUUCACCUACACACAAGAGAUCAAGCUCGAGAUUUAGGGACCCACAUUUGCUUAGGGCCCUUGACCUUCUCUACUAGUUCCUUCGGCACCCAAAUCUUCUUUAGCCUUUGCUUAUUGGGCGACCCCAUGAAGCUAACCUUAACCUUGCCACUCUUGUCUUUCCUUACAAUGUAGUGAGCAUUGAAGGCAAAUGGUCUUGCAUGCUUGGGCAAGGCUGGUGGUAGUGGUGCCUUACACUCAUGAGCAAAGUGUCCUUCUUGACCACACUCAAAGCAUCUCUUUGGCUUUGGCUUGCUUGGUUGAUCAUGAGUGGCUAGUGACUUGAUGAGCUUUGUUUGAUGAGCCUUGUAGCCAAUCCCACUCUUGUCCAUCUUCAUGACGGUGUUCAUGAAAAGCUCACUUUGAAGGUCCUUCCCUUUUGUGAACUUUGCUAACCCCAUGGUUAGAUGUUUCUUCUCUUUCUUGAGCUUGCUAUUCUCUUGAGUUAGCUUCUUGAUGAUUGGGUCAUUGUUGCUAGCUAACUCAUCCAAGAUGAAUGUCUCAUCUUCUUCUUGCUUGUCAUACAUCAAACCAAGCUUGAGAUAUUGGUUUUCUUCCUUGAGUAACUUGUUCUCAUAUGCAAGCUUCUUGCCUUGAUCAAGUGACUCAAUCACAACGGUCUUGUGCUUGGCUUGCUCUUGCAACUCUUUCUUGAGCAUGACAAUUUCUUCCUUGAGCUUGAUAGUGUCCUCAUAGCUCUCGGCCACUACCACUUUCUUGCCCUUGCAAUCAACACAUUUGCUUGUGCUCUCCACAAGUAAGUCAUCACAAGAUGUGGCUACAUCAAGCUUAGCAACAUGGUUAGUAGCAACAUGUGUUUCAUCAAUUGCAAGUUCAUAUGCUAUCUCAAGGUUGUCAUAGUUUGCUUUUAGAGUUGUUAGCUCUUCUUUCGUUGCUCUAUAUCUAGUGAUAAGCUCAUCAUGAACACUCUCAAGUUUAUCAUGUUUUUCUUUGAGCUCUUUUAGAGAGAGUUUGAGCUCCUUGAGCUUAGUGGUCAUGAUCUCAUUUUGAUCUCUAAGCUCAUCACUAGACUUUAGCUUUGCUAGAAGUGUUUCAUUUUCAAGUUCAAGCUUUUCAUUUUCACUUCUAGAUUUUCUUAUGACUUUUGUGUACUUGUUAAGCAAUUUUACAAGUUCAUCAUAAUAAGGUGAUUCGUAUUCACUAUGACUUUCACUACUCUCAUCCUCACUUUGUACCUUCCGAUCACCCUUAGCCAUGAGGCAUAGGUGUGUAGAGGAUGUAGAUGGUGGUGAAGAUGAUGGUGAUGGAGCAUCCAUAGCAAUGGCGGCAACCUUCUGAUCAUCACUCUCAUUGCCGGAAGAGUCACCACUUGAGCUCUCAAUGUCAGUGAGCCAAUCACCAACAAUGUAAGCCUUGCCAUUCUUCUUCUUGUAGUUCUCCUUCUUCUUGCCACCUUUCUUCUUGUAUGGCUUCUUUUCAUUCUUCUCAUCAUCACUUGAAGUUGAUGACUCAACUUCAAUCUUUUUGGCUUUGCCCUUGUGAGAAGCUUUGAGGGCCAAGUCCUUCUUCUCCUUCUUGGCUGAUGAGGAGCCAUCUUGGGGGUUCAUGUGCAUAUACAUCUCAUGAGCAUUGAUCUUCCCCAAUAUGGCAGUUGGUGUAGCGAUGGAGAGAUCACCUUGAUGAAGCACGGUUACUAUGUGCCCAUAUUUCUCAAUGGGGAGCACACAUAGUAUCUUCCUUGCGACAUCGCCGCACUCAUUUGAGUGAUCCCAAAUCCAUUAAGCUCCUCUACAAUGACAUUCAAGCGAGAAUACAUUUCAUUAGCAUUUUCUUUGGGAAGCAUUUCAAAUGUAUUAAGCUUGUUCAUCACCAAGUGAUAGCGUUCCUCGCGUUCACUCUUUUAUCCUCAUGGAGCGCACAAAGUUCCUUCCAUAGAGCAUGGGCGGUUUUGUGGCUCCGAACGCGGUUGAACACCUUUUUGCAAAGACCUCUAAAGAUGUGGUUUUUGGCCUUUGCAUUCCACUUCUCGUUUUCCUGCUCUUGUGGAGUAAGAGCGGUGUCCUUUUCCGGAGGGGUAAACGCUUCGGUCGCGGCUUUUAGGCACUUUGUAUCACAUGCCUCAAGGUAUGACUCCAUCUGUAUUUUCCAAUACGGGAAGUCAACCCCAUCGAACAUGGGUGGCGGUCCAUCCCUGUUAGACAUCUUUCUCUAGGCGGUGAAGCCUAAAUAAUGAGCACUAGGCUCUGAUACCAAUUGAAAGGAUCAAGAUGCCCAAGAGGGGGGGUGAAUUGGGCUUCUCUAAAAAUUUAAGCACCCUAUAAGCUCCAAUUCAACCCCUUGUGCCUAGUGUGACUAGAGAGCUACUGGAUAAAAGUUUUGCAACCUAGUUCCAAUCCUAUUCUAGCCUGGCAAUUCUAAAAAUGUAAAAACACAAAGUAAAUGCUAGAAUGUAAAGGAGUAGUGGAAGAAAGUGCUCGGCGAUGUUUUGCCGAGGUAUCGGAGAGUCGUCACUUUCCACUAGUCCUCGUUGGAGCACCCGCACAAGGGUCUUGCUGCCCCUUGGUCCGUGCAAGGACCAAGUGCUCUCUACGGGCUGAUUCUUUGACACUCCGUCGCGGUGAAUCGCCCAAAACUGCUCACAAGCUUGACACGAGCCACCCACAAGAACUUCGGGCGGUCUUCGUGCCUCCAAUCACCACCGAACCAUCUAGGUGAUGACGAUCACCAAGAGUAACAAGCAAAGAACUCUCACUUAACCCAAACAAGGCUCUAGAGAGUGGUGGAUGCUCACUUGACUAUUGGAAAUCAACUACAGAAGGAUUCUCACAAGAAAUCACUCAAAUCUCAAUCCUCUCUAGGCUCUUGCUACUUUCUUGCUCCACAACAAGUUUCUCAGAUGUUCAAAUGGGCAAGAGGCCUCUCAUGGAUGAGGUGGAGGAGUAUAAAUACACCCCACGAAGUUCAAAGGUCAGCCAACCAUUUUCCACUGAAAACGGGGUCACCGGACGCUGUUAAAGUUGCACCGGACGCUCUGCACCGAGCGUCCGGUGACACACAACGGCUAACUGUACCUUCAUCUGACAGGUCACCGAACGCUACCUCUUAGCGUCCAGUGGCACCGUCCGGUGCUCCGGGGAGUUUUACAAACUCCCUGAGUAUGGGACCGGACACUACUCGGUGUGUCCGGUGCUAGCGUCCGGUGCUCAAGGGAAAUUUACAACCUCCCUGGGUGUGGGACCGGACGCUGCCCGAUGAGUCCGGUGCCAGCGUACAGUGCUUAACCCUAAGCACCAAAACCCUCCAACGGUUAAGGUCCUCACCGGACGCUACCUCUCAGCGUCUGGUGCAGCGUCUGGUGCCUCCUUAGGCACCCUAACCUCGUCGAAACGCGAUCGCUCCAAAAAGAAGUUGGUUCCUCUCGAUCUAAGGACUAUCUCUGAGCUGCCUAGUGCUAGGUUUUACUAAGUGUGCACCACACCUAAACCUAAAGCCUUGCCUAAGUCAAGCUACUAGAUCAAAGCCCCUAUUAAUAGUACGGUCAAAGGAAAACAAAGUCCUAAACUACUCUAAGUGCCCUUCUUCACCAUAUGGCACUUAGACCUAGUCUAGUCUUGACGAUGUCCAUCCAUCCUUUGAAAACCGAAACGAUUUCCACUAUUAAGUAGGCAUGUACGUCCCUGUCCAUCGAGUACCUAUUACCAUGACCUCACUAAUGACUUUGCCUCUACAAAACACACAUUAGUCAUAGUAAUCAACAUUGUCAUUAAUCACCGAAAUCACUAGGGGCCUAGAUGCUCUUUCACUUGUUACUCGUCACAGGGAAUUCAUCCGUCAAUACUGGCGCCGUUCAAGGGAGCCUACCCCGUCUGAACAAGACACCCUCCUCGCUAAUGGUGCGGGACAAGGGAGGCUCGAUUUCAUUUGUUGGUUCUCAACCAAGGCCCGAACCGAUCCUUCUAUCGGUGCCAACCUGAGAUGUGUUGCCAAUGGGUGUGACCGCCGAGUCAAGUCAUUGUCCGCUUACGACGUGAAUGGAUUUUGGUUUCACACAACAAGCUACGAGCAUGUGCGGCCAAAUCGAAAGACCACAAAUACCGAGGUUUUUACGCCUGGCACUGAUGGCAGGGACUACUAUGGAAGAGUUGAAGAAAUAUAUGAAAUCAAAUUCCCUGGUAGCACCAAUGCUCGUCCUGUCAUAUUCAAAUGCCAUUAGUUUGAUCCGGAAGUAACAAGGAAGACCCCAAAUCUUGGUCUUGUUGAAAUUCGACAGGAUUCUGUCUAUCCAAGAGACGAUGUGUAUAUUGUGGCACAACAGGCCACACAAGUUUAUUAUAUGCCGUAUGCUUGCAAGGCUAGACUGGAUCUCAUUGGUUGGUGUGUUGUGCACAAGGUGUCGCAACACGGCGGAGCACCUCUUCCAAAUGAUGAAGACUACCACUUCAACCCAACCACGUAUGAUGGAGAGUUUUACCAAGAAGAUGGGCUACAAGGGAGGUUCGAGAUAUACUUAACCUGUGAGAUAGGAAUGGAUGUACACAAUGUAAUGGUCAUUGAUGAUGAUGACGAAGAUGAGGUGCAAGAUCCAAACGACUUACAAAUGCUUGAGCGGUUGUGUCUAGGCAAUAAUGAUGAAGACAACAUUCCUCCGCCAGAUGUUGUUGAUUAUUUUGACCUAGUUGAUAGUGAUGAUGAGACUUACGAUCUAGCUAAUCCCAAUCAUGAAGAAUAUUUGUAACAUACAUGUAAUACUUUCAGAUUUUGUAAUUUAGUUUUGUUUAUUUUAUAUCUAUUUCUAAUUACGUAUUCCUUCUUAAUUGUAGGUGCAUUUGCAACAAUCUAUGCAAAUCUUAGCAAAUUUUAAGAAAAAAUAUUAAAUCAUUUAUUUUAUUUAGUGUUUUCUAUUCACAACUCAAAAUAGAAGUUUUGAAGUGUGCCAUUGUGGAAGGAGCAUGAUAUGCUUCAAUUGAAACUCUCCAUCCUUGCCCUAUGAGGUGGUAACCAGGGGUCGAUCCAACAUGGGGGCUAUAGGGGGGCUCAUGCCCCCUACUACUCUAUAGGAAAUGUUGUAAAUGGAAAAGGGUUAUAAAUACAUAGAUGCUACUACUGAAUUUCAAUACCUUUGUUUUUUCAUGAAUGACCUAAAAUAAGUGAUAUUAGAAAAUUAUGUCAAAAAAUAAUGUCAUGGUGUAUGUUAUUUAGAAGAGUCACCUUGAAAGCAUCCUCGUCGGUUAAAUCGUCCCCAAUGUAUAUAGAAAAAGUGUUAUUAUUAUUUAGCCCAAUCUUCGAAUAAAGAUAACAUACAUCAUUUUCCUUGUUCUAGGCCAGUGGUGGACAAACCUCGUAUACCUUUAAAUAGAAAGUAGCGACAUCAUAAAUGCUCCUCUAGUUACAAAUAUGGUGAUGCUUUAAAUACUUUUUUUUUCUUUUUUUUGAGGAAAUAGGAGGGGACAUUAAAUAAGAAAAAUAUACAAUCACUUUGAUUAAAAUACAUGAUAUUGUCAGCUACACUCCUUCCACUAACACUAAGAAUCCCUCAAUAGAAAUUCAUCUAAUAUUGGAUGGGAGUUUGGAGUGCUGGUCCCCACCACCAUAUGAUAUGCUUUGAUUGAACCUCUCUAUCUAUGCACUGUGAUGUGGUAACCAGGGUGGAUCUAGUGUAGGGGUUAUGGGGUACCAUGCCCCCUACUACUUGCGAGAGAUCCACGGUGUUAUUAAUAGACAGGGAGGAGAGAGGGGAAGAGAGAAGAAAAGAGAGAGGAAGAAGAUGGGACUAAAUGAGGGGAUCUUACUAGAGGGAACAUUUUGCCUUAAUAUUAUUUUUUAGAAACAAGACCACCACUACUAUGACAGUUACAGUUGUUGCACCCACUACCACCCAAACCGGAAUCUUCUAACAUUGACAACUUUUUAACUUGAAUUCAUUAAAGGUCCCAAAUACUCAUUUCAAAAUCAGAUGAAGAUCAUGCGGAUGAAAGUGAGUCUUGUCGCAUCCUAGUAAUCCAAUGUCCAUGGGUGAGGCACCUACGACAAGCCAUAGGACAACACUAGCUAUUAUCAGAUGAUGAACAGUUUCGAUACAUAGGUAAAGAUUGGCUAUUGUUUCUCCAAGAUAGCUACUUGAAGGAAUAGCAUGGCCUCAUCCUACUCCUCAAGUAGAGAGUGUACUAUGUCCACAACAACAUCACACAUUGCGCAGCCCUACGUCCACGAUGGGAUCAGUAGGUUUUCUGCUAAACUUUGGAGAAAGUUUGAUCUAGAGAAAGGAAACCAUCCUAUGCGAAAAUAACAAAGGUAAGCAAGCUAUCUUGGUAAAAAAAGGGCUCUAGCACUACUACAGAAUGAGGCAUUGGUCGAUGCCCAAAAUCGCCAAAAACCUCGGCCUUUUUGCGGCUCGGGAUUAGAGGCCCCUUUAAUUCCGGUUCGUAACACGAACCGGUGCUAAAGGGUCCUGCCCAACGGCUACUGACAGGUGCUGUCGGGGCAGGGACCCUUUAGCACCGGUUCGUGUUACCAACCGGUGCUAAAGGGUCCCCUUUAGCACCGGCCAGUGCCAUGGGCCGAGGCAAAGCCUUUAGCACCGGUUUUUAACACAAACCAAUGCUAAAGGGUGACCCUUUAGCACCGGUUUGUGCCCUGAACCGGUGCUAAAGGUCUGGUUUAUAGGCCGGCUACCUCCUCCCCUCUGCCCAUUUGAAACCAAGAGCACCAUUGUUGUUCUUGGAGCUUCUUCUUGCUUGGUCUUCCUUUGUUCUUCAUCUCCGACGUCCAUCGUUGAUCUUCUUCGACUCCGUCAUCGUCUCUUCGUGCUUGGAGGUGACUAACUGCAUCCUUUCUUGUCUUUGUCAUGUUGUUUUUGGCUUGUGAUCUCCCAUUAUUUUUAGCUCAAAUACACUUUAUUAUUUUGAAUCAUUCACUUGAAUUAGUAUCCAUAUAUAUAUAUAUAUCAUAUUUCAUGGUUGACCUAGUAUUAAUGUAGUUUGCAAGAAUGAAUUAUAGUAUCUUUUUAUGAUCUUAGAAAUUAGGAUAGUUCAAAUUAAUUGGUUUGUUAAUAUCACUUGAUUUGUUUUUAUUACUACAUAAUGUCCAUUGUAUAAUUUAAAAGAUUUGUUGAAGUAACUAGACAAAUAAAGGAUAUUAUUAGGUUCUUCUUUAAUCCUACAUGUUUACUAGUAAAUGUGGAAUUUAUAAUUGUUUAAAAUUUGAGUAUGGAUAGUAGAUGCCAACCGUGACCGGGUCUUCGGUCUCUCAAUGGGUUCAAAAGCGAUACCGGCCGGAACUCCCUCUCAUUACUUGUGGCAAGUGUGGGAAGAAGAUUGUGAUGGAGUACAAAGUGUCGAAAGAGAGAGUAAACAAGGGUCGUAUAUUCUACAAGUGUCUGGAUCGUAAUGUGAGUUAUUUCUAGACAUUUGCUUAUAUUUGUGCUUAUUUUAAUGAUAUUAAUUAAACUUUUGAUUCUCUCUUUUAUUUUCAAUGGGACAGUACCGGCGGAUGUACAGGUUGGUACUGGGAGGAAGAAUACAUUGAACACAUCAAUAAAUCUUUUGCACGAGUGGUUGAGGCUGAAGGAGAUGAGGCAGUGAGCCGGCGAAAGGAGUUCAAUGAUGUUGAUCAAGCGAAUGAUCUAACUAUUAUAGUUGGGAUCGGACGCGAACUAAUUAUGUUGCUUAAGUGCAUUUUAGUUUUGGUUUUUUUAGUGCUAGAUGCAAUUGUAUUUGUUGUAGCCAAGCUUGCUUGAAUUAAUCAACUAUGUGUGUUAGACAUGUUGUGCAAUAAGAUGAGAAACUAUAUGUGUGCAUGGUUUUUAUAAUAUAUAUGUUAUAUUUAAUGCAGAUGGUAACACGUAACUGGAUGUAUAAUGCCAAUCGGCGCUCCGAAGAGUUCAUUAAUGGUGUGCACUAUUUCUUAAGUGUUGCCGAGACAAAUAAGAGGGACGGUUUCAUGUAUUGUCCAUGUGCCGUGUGCAAGAAUUUGAGAGAAUAUUCUAACUCUAGAACUCUUCAUUCGCACUUAUUAAAGUCUGGUUUUGUACCAAACUAUAUUUGUUGGAUCAAGCAUGGAGAAAGCGGAAUUAUAAUGGAUGAAGGUGAAGAAGAAGAAAAAGAAGAAUUGGACCACACCAACAUUAUUGCUCAGUAUGGUGGCUUCAAUGAUGUUGCAAUGGGGGAAGAUAAUGAAGAAGAGGUAGCGGCAGAAGAUGAUCGUGGCGAUGAUGCUUUUGCUGAUGCCAUCCGUGAUGCACAAAGAGAAUGUGAAAGUGAGAAAGAGAAAGCCAAGUUCGAGCGCAUGCUAGAGGACCAUAUGAAAUCGCUAUAUCCCACCGCUGAAGAGGGGCAAAAAAAGCUGGGUACCACACUGGAAUUGCUGCAAUGGAAGGCAAAGAAUGGUACAUCUGACAAGGCAUUUGGGCAGUUAUUGAAGAUCAUAAAAAAGAUGCUUCUGAAAGGCAACGAACUGCCCACCACUACAUAUGAAGCAAAACAGGUUGUCUGCCCUUUGGGAUUAGAAAUCCAGAAGAUACACGCAUGUCCUAAUGACUGCAUCCUCUACCAUGGAGAGGAAUACAAGAAUUUGGAUGCACGUCCAGUAUGUAAGGCAUCACGGUAUUAGAUCAAGCGAGAUGAUCCUGGCGAUGUUGAGGGUGAAGAACAUCAUAGGAAGAAAAUUCCUGCCAAGGUUAUGUGGUAUGCUCCUAUAAUAUCAUAAUUAAAACGCCUGUUCAGAAACAAGGAUAAUGCAAAGUUGUUGCGGUGGCAUAAAGAAGACCGUAAGAUAGAAAAUAUGCUGAGACACCCUGCCGAUUGAACCCAGUGGAGAGCGAUAGAUAGAGAAUUCCUAGAUUUUGCAGAUGAUGCUAGAAACUUGCGGUUCGCCUUAAGUACAGAUGGUAUGAAUCCUUUCGGUGAGUAGAGCAGUAGUCAUAGCACUUGGCCAGUUACUCUAUGUAUCUACAACCUUCCUCCAUGGCUAUGCAUGAAGCGGAAGUUUAUUAUGAUGCCGGUGCUUAUCCAAGGACCGAAGCAACCAGGCAACGGCAUCGAUGUCUACCUGAGGCCAUUAGUUGAGGAACUUCAACUUUUAUGGAGCAAACCAGGAGUUCGCGUGUGGGAUGAGUACAAACAAGAGCACUUUGACCUGCGAGCAUUGCUGUUUAUAACAAUCAAUGAUUGGCCAGCUCUGAGUAAUCUUUCAGGCCAGUCAAACAAGGGAUAUAAUGCAUGCACACAUUGUUAUGAAGACCUUGACUGUGUAUUUUUGAAAAAAUGUUGAAAGGUCAUGUACCUUGGCCACCUCGGUUUCUUCCUGUGAACCACCUAGUACGAAAGAAAGGCAAGCAUUUUAAAGGCAAGGCAGACCACCGGACCAAGCCUCUCAAUCAAACCGGGGAAGAUGUACUCGAAAUGGUCAAGGAUAUAAAAGUGGUAUUUAGAAAGGGAUGAGGCAGCGAACCUAUUCCUAAGGACGCUAAGGGACACGUACCCAUGUGGAAAAAGAAAUCCAUAUUUUGGGAGCUACCUUACUGCAAUGUCCUAGAGGUCCGCAACGCGAUCGACGUGAUGCAUCUAACAAAAAAAUCUUUGUGUGAACUUGCUCGGAUUCAUGGGUGUCUACGAGAAGUCUAAGCAUUCACUUGAAGCACGACAAGACUUGCAGCGCAUGAAAGAACGAGACAACCUGCAUCCAGAAAAGAUAGAUGAUGGACGUCAUUACUUAAGCCCUGCUAGCUACACUCUGAGCAAAGAAGAGAAGGAAAGCAUGUUUGAAUGUCUUAGCCGCAUCAAGGUCCCAUCUGGAUUCUCCUCCAAUAUCAAGGGAAUAAUUAAUGUGCAAGAGAAGAAAUUCCUGAACUUAAAGUCCCAUGACUGUCAUGUUCUAAUGACGCAAUUGCUGCCAGUGGUUUUAAGAGGACUUUUACCUCCACACGUACAUCUAGCCACCGUAAAGCUAUGUGCUUUCCUCAAUGCAAUUUCUCAGAAGGCAUUCAAUCUAGAGCAACUAGCUACUCUGCAGAAUGAUGUUGUUCAAUGUCUCGUCAGCUUUGAGUUGGUGUUCCCUCCAUCCUUCUUCGAUAUCAUGACACACCUCCUAGUUCAUCUGAUCAAAGAGAUUCGUAUUCUCGGUCCUGUGUUCCUACACAACAUGUUCCCCUUCGAGAGAUUCAUGGGUGUCCUAAAGAAAUAUGUCCAUAGUCGUUCCCGGCUAGAAGGAAGCAUUGCCAAGGGCUACAGAACAGAGGAGGUCAUAGAGUUCUAUGUUGACUUUAUUCUAGAUCUUGACCCAAUUGGCAUUCCUGAAUCUCGACACGAGGGCAAACUCAGCGGAAAGGGAACACUUGGAAAGAAAACAUAUAUUGGUACGGGAGAUGAUUACUUCAAUAAAGCACACUACACAGUUCUCCAGAACUCCUCAUUGGUGGAACCAUAUGUUGAGGUACACAAAGAUUUCCUACGGUCCCAGUGGCCCGGGAAGAAUGAAGCUUGGACAAUGCAUCAGCACAUGGAAACUUUUGGCGAUUGGUUGCGCAAAAAAUGUCAGGGUGAUGAAAAUAUUGAUGAGCAACUUUAUUUGUUGGCCAGGCAACCAUCGUGGCAUGUCCCGUACAAAGGGUAUGAGAUAAAUGGUAACACAUUUUACACAGUUGGCCAAGAUAAAAGGAGCACCAACCAAAAUAGUGGUGUACGCAUGGAUGCCACGGAUCCAAAUGGGAAUAGACAAACAUAUUAUGGACGCAUAGAAGACAUAUGGGAACUAGACUAUGCAGCUAAUUUUAAAGUUCCUUUGUUCUGAUGCCAAUGGGUGAAGAUGACCGGAGGUGGGGUAACAGUUGACAAGGAGUAUGGGAUGACAACCAUGGAACUUAACAAUAGUGGGUUCAAAGACGAACCAUUCGUCCUUGCUGCAGACGUGAGUCAGGUGUUCUAUGUGAAAGACAUGUCUACGAAACCAAAGAGAGGAAAAAAUGAUGACCACUCAAUCGUCAAUGAGCCAAAGCGCCACAUUGUCCUUUCUGGGAAAAGAAACAUUGUCGGAAUUGAGGACAAGUCAGACAUGUCAGGCGAUUACGAAAGGGAUGAUCGAAUUCCACCCUUCAUAGUCAACAAAGACCCAAGCAUUCUGUUAAACAAUGAGGAUACUCCAUGGUUACGGUAGGAUCAUAACCAAGGGUCAUACGUCAAGAAGAAUUUCACUGUUGUGUCAGCUUAAUAUAAAGUCAUGUUUAAUAGUAUGUGUUGUAAAAUGUACGAAUUCUGAGAAUUGUAUGAAACUAUAUUUGAGAAUUGUGAAUUUUGAUGAGUAUAACAAUUGUAUUCAUGAAUUUUCCAUUCGAGACCAUCUAGGGUUCCGAAACCGAUGCGUGGCUAUGAAUUCUUUCAAAAUUCAGUGGUUCAAACUUUUCCAAAUGAAAAGUUGACCAUUAGACCAAAUGUAGAACUUGAUGAGUGUAACAAACUUUGUAUUCAUGACUUUUCCAUUUGGGACCAUCUAGGGUUCGGUCAAAGGGUGUGUUUGUAAAAACCAAUGCUUUGACUUUGGUCAAACUUGGUCAAAUGACCCAUUUGAUGACUUCAAAUGAAAACAUUUUGAAUACAAAGUUGUUAGAGAUCAUCAAGAUCUACAUUUGAUAUAUUGUCCAUUUUUCCAUUUGGAUAAAUUUGAACCAAUCCUAAGCACAUUUCUUUAAAAUCCAAGACGGGUUUUGGUCAAACUUGGUCAAAUGACAAACUAAAAUGAAAAAAAUUUGAAUACCAAGUUGCUAGAUAUCAUCAAGAUCUAAACUUUUUAUAUACAUAAUUUUUCCAUUUGAGAAAGUUUAAGUUAACAAUACCCACCAAAUCUUGAAUCUCACACAAACUAUAUGAAACUAUAUGUGUCAAUUGUGGAUUUUCAACUACACCUUCCCAACACUUUGGCAAAUGCAAAAAUGGUCUAUAUAUUAAAUGUAGAUUUUGAUGAGUGGAACAAUAUUGGUAUUCAUGACUUUUCCAUUCGAGACCAUCUAGGAUUCCGAAACCGAUGCGUGGCUAUGAAUUCUUUCAAAAUUCAAAAUUCAGUGGUACAAACUUUUCCAAAUGAAAAGUUGACCAUCAGACCAAAUGUAGAACUUGAUGAGUGUAACAAACUUUGUAUUCAUGACUUUUCCAUUUGGGACCAUCUAGGGUUCGGUCAAAGGGUGUGUUUGUAAAAACCAAUGCUUUGACUUUGGUCAAACUUGGUCAAAUGACCCAUUUGAUGACUUCAAAUGAAAAAAUUUUGAAUACAAAGUUGUUAGAGAUCAUCAAGAUCUACAUUUGAUAUAUUGUCCAUUUUUUCAUUUGGAUAAAUUUGAGCCAAUCCUAAGCACAUUUCUUUAAAAUCCAAGACGGAUUUUGGUCAAACUUGGUCAAAUGACAAACUAAAUUACUUAAAAUGAAAAAUUUUUGAAUACCAAGUUGUUACAUAUCAUCAAGAUCUAAGCUUUUUAUAUACACAAUUUUUCUAUUUGAGAAAGUUUAAGUUAACAAUACCAACCAAAUCUUGAAUCUCACACAAACAAUGUGAAAUUAUUUGUCAAUUGUGGAUUUUCAACUACACCUUCUCAACACUUUGUCAAAUGUAAAAAUGGUCUAUAUAUUAAAUGUAGAUUUUGAUGAGUGGCACAAUAUUAGUAUUCAUGACUUUUCCAUUCGAGACCAUCUAGGGUUCCGAAACCGAUGCGUGGCUAUGAAUGCUUUCAAAAUUCAAAAUUCAGUGGUUCAAACUUUUCCAAAUGAAAUGUUGACCAUUCGACCAAAUGUAGAACUUGAUGAGUGUAACAAAUUUUGUAUUCAUGGCUUUUCCAUUUGGGACCAUCUAGGGUUCGGUCAAUGGGUGUGUUUGUAAAAACCAAUGCUUCGACUUUGGUCAAACUUGGUCAAAUGACCCAUUUGAUGACUUCAAAUGAAACAAUUUUGAAUACAAAGUUGUUUGAGAUCAUCAAGAUCUACAUUUGAUAUAUUGUCCAUUUUUCAAUUUGGAUAAAUUUGAGCCAAUCCUAAGCAUAUUUCUUUAAAAUCCAAGACGAGUUUUGGUCAAACUUGGUCAAAUGACAAACUAAAUUACUUAAAAUGAAAAAAUUUUGAAUACCAAGUUGUUAGAUAUUAUCAAGAUCUAAACUUUUUAUAUACAUAAUUUUUCCAUUUGAGAAAGUUUAAGUUAACAAUACCCACCAAAUCUUGAAUCUCACACAAACUAUAUGAAACUAUAUGUGUCAAUUGUAGAUUUUCAACUACACCUUCUCAACACUUUGUCAAAUGCAAAAAUAGUCUAUAUAUUAAAUGUAGAUUUUGAUGAGUGAAACAAUAUUGGUAUGCAUGACUUUUCCAUUCGAGACCAUCUAGGGUUCUGAAACUGAUGCGUGACUAUGAAUACUUUCAAAAUUCAAAAUUCUGUGGUUCAAACUUUUUCAAAUAAAAAGUUGACCAUUAGACCAAAUGUAGAACAUGAGGAGUGUAACAAACUUUGUAUUCAUGACUUUUCCAUUUGGGACCAUCUACGGUUCGGUCAAAGGGUGUGUUUGUAAAAACCUAUGCUUUUACUUUGGUCAAACUUGGUCAAAUGACCCAUUUGAUGACUUCAAAUGAAAAAAGUUUGAAUACAGAGUUGCUAGAGAUCAUCAAGAUCUACAUUUGAUAUAUUGUCCAUUUUUCCAUUUGGAUAAAUUUGAGCCAAUCCUAAGCACAUAUCUUUAAAAUCCAAGACGAGUUUUGGUCAAAUGACAAACUAAAUUACUUAAAAUGAAAAAAUUUUGAAUACCAAGUUGUUAGAUAUCAUCAAGAUCGAAACAUUUUAUAUACAUAAUUUUUCCAUUUGAAAAAGUUUAAGUUAACAAUACCCACUAAAUCUUGAAUCUCACACAAACUAUAUGUGUCAAUUGUGGAUUUUCAACUACACCUUCCAAAAACUUUGUCAAAUGCAAAAAUGGUCUAUAUAUUAAAUGUAGAUUUUGAUGAGUGGUACAAUAUUGGUAUUCAUGACUUUUCCAUUCGAGACCAUCUAGGGUUCCGAAACCGAUGCGUGGCUAUGAAUUCUUUCAAAAUUCAAAAUUCAGAGGUUCAAACUUUUUCAAAUGAAAAGUUGACCAUUAGAAUAAAUGUAGAACUUGAUGAGUGUAACAAACUUUGUAUUCAUGACUUUUCCAUUUGGGACCAUCUAGGGUUCGGUCAAAGGGUGUAUUCAUCAAGAUAUACAUUUUUAUAUGAUAAAUAGAGUUUUUUUAUUUGAUGAAAACUGUACCCUACUAGCAUUACUGAGUAAUAAAUGACAAAAAUAAAAAGUUUAACGUCAAUAUGAUAUGAAAAUAGAUUUCCAGUUGAUCGGGUAUAGUUUUUGUAAAUUUAUUGGAAUAAUAUAUUUUUGCAUUAACAAAAUACUAAACAUUUCUUACAAAAUUAUUGUAAAUUUAAAAAAUACAAUAAAAUAUUUAAGGUUAAAAAUUUUCAUGUGUACAUUAAACAAAAUUACAAUACAUGUCACUCUUUAAAAAAUAUUAUGCAAAAUAUUUAAUUUACUAUACAAUUUAUAAUGUAAAGUGUGUAUAUAAAUACUUUAAAACCCUAAACUAAAAAACAAGGCCUUUAGCACCGGCCCAUAGUGGGAACUGGUGCUAAAGGGUUCUGAAAAUUUCAGAACCCCGCCUGAGCCCGCACAUGGACCCUUUAGCACCGGUCCGUGGCUGGCACCGGUGGUAAAGGGUCCCUUUAGCAACGGCUGGUCACACGAGCCGGUGUUAAAGGGUCACCCUUUAACACCGGCUCGUGUUACCAGCCGGUGUUAAAGACCCUUUAGCAAUGGUUCCAGGCAAGGACCGGUGCAAAAGGGUCCGCCCCUAUAUAUGUUAUGGGCUCCCUGGAUCUGAGUAGUUCAUCUUCGACUUCGUCGUUUCAUCUCCCAGCGCCGCCGUUCGUCUUCACCGUCGUCGUUUCAUCUUCCAGCGCCGCCACGACCUUCUUCCAGCGCCGCCGCGGCCCUCCACCAGCGCCGCCGCCGGAGGGACCACCACCAGCGCCGGCCACCGUGCACACUCCGGGCGCCAUCGAUCUCCUCCCUAUGUACUGAUCGAACUCCUCCACAGCGCCAUGCAUCUCUCCACAUAUAUAUUAAUUAAGUAUACUAAAAAAAUAAAUGAAUGUUAUUAUAUAUAUACACACUAGACCACACUGAAAGAUAUAUAUAUACAUAUAUACAUACAUACACAUAUAUAUAAUAUAUAUAUGUAUGUAUAUAUAUAUACAUGUAUAUUAUAAAUUGUAGUGUUUUGAUUUGUAUAUAUAUUUAAGUAUAUAUAUAAACUAAAAAAUAAUGCAUGCUAAUAUAUUAUUCUAGUAUUACUUUUUAGUAUAUUAUUCUAGUAUGCAUAUAGUUUGUAAUAUAUAUUUUAAUUUCUAGUGUUUUGUAUAUAUUAUUGUUUGUACUAUUAUUCUAGUAUUAUUUUUUAGUAUUAUUUUUUAAUAUAUUAUUCUAGUACAUUAUUUGGCUUAAAAGACUUUUUAGUAUAUUAUUCUAGUAUAUUAUGAAUUGUAGUGUUUUGUAUAUAUUAUUGUUUUUUUACUAUUAUUCUAGUAUUAUUUUUUAGUAUUAUUUUUAGUAUAUUAUUCUAGUAUAUUACUUGGCUUAAGACUUUUAGUAUAUUGUUCUACUAUAUUAUGAUUUGUAGUGUUUUGUAUAUAUUAUUGUUUGUACUAUUAUUCUAGUAUUAUUUUUUAGUAUAUUAUUCUAGUGUUUUAGUAUAUUAUUCUAGUAUAUUAUGAGUUGUAGUGAUUUGUAUAUAUUAUUGUUUUUACUAUUAUUCUAGUAUUAUUUUUAGUAUUAUUUUUUGGUAUAUUAUUCUAGUAUAUUACUUGGCUUAAGACUUUUUAGUAUAUUAUUCUACUAUAUUAUGAAUUGUAGUGUUUUGUAUAUAUUAUUGUUUGUAUUAUUAUUCUAGUAUUAUUUUUAGUAUUAUUUUUUAGUAUAUUAUUCUAGUGUAUUACUUGGCUUAAAAGACUUUUUAGUAUAUUAUUCUAGUAUAUUAUGAAUUAUAGUGUUUUGAAUUGUUAUGAAAUAUAUUGUGCUAGUAUAUUAUUCUAGUGUAUUUCUUAAAUAGUUUGGAGACUUUUUAGUUUGGAGCACUCUAGCACUUAUAUUAUUCUAGUGUAUUUCUUAUCUUAUAUAGAAUAUAUAUAUAUAUGUAUGGUUGCAGACAUAUCAAUGGCUCACCGUCCUCACGAUGAUCCUGAUUAUAUAGAAGAUGCCAUUUAAAAUAUGAUCGUCGACGGUAGUCAGUACUUUAUUGAUUACAACGAGAUCAUGCAAGACAAUCCGACUCAGCAACAAGAGGGCAAUGCGCUUGAGCAACAACUUGUCGUGCAACAAGAAGGAAAUACUGGCGAGGUAUGUAAAUAUAAACAUAUAUAAUUAAUGCAUCUCUUACAUUAGGUUUUAGACUUACUUGGUUAUUAAUUUUAUUGACACCGUUUUUGAACACGUACCCGGGGACCAGUAGAGUAUAGAUCGGCAGGUGGAGCAACGGUAACUAGUCUGCAGAAGAGUUGCUGAUGAGGAUAGUUGCCGAUGAAGAGACGAUUGAAUGUGACUAAGUCCAGGGGUGGUGAUGUGUUCUUACUGAUGAUCAAUAUCGGUGUUUGUCGAUGGCCAUAACAGGAAGACUGCCGAUGACUUUGAAGGAAAGCGUGGAGAUUGCCGAUUGAUCUGUGGCGGUGUCCCGGUCGGUUACAAGGGGGUAGUUUUAUGUUUUCCUUAGUUAUUUAAAUUCGUUUUGUAUACAGAUUCUGUUUGAUUUGGAAUUCGAGUCCUAGUCGUAUCUGAUUGUAGCUCUUUGAGCAGGGUAUAAAUAUAGACCCCAGAGGCUUGUAAUGAGCAAUCUAUCAAUCAAUCAAACACAAGUUUUUACUCAUAUUCCAGCAUCUACUUUUUUGACGACUUCGUCAUAUUUUCCUUUUUAUUAUGAUUUCUUAGGAGUUCGUCGACUUAAGCUCGGCGUAUUCUCGAGUUCCGUGUGAAUACCUCUUGGCCGUGACAUCCAGGCGCAUCGCUGUUCUCGGGACCAAAGUAUUCGAGUUAUCACCUUUGCCGAUAGUAAGGUCAAAUCGGCUGGCACGCCUUAACGUUUGGAUCGGGUAUUAGCCCUUUGUGUUUGCAGAUCAGCUUUUGCACCAACACAUCUUUUGGCACGCCCAGUGGGACAGAUUCAAGAUCAAGAUCGAGAUAUCGACUACCGAGUUCGACUUGGAGAACGUCAUCCCCGUGACGGAAGCCAAUCUCAGAGAUGAGCAGAAGCAAGCUAUUGCAAAAGCCAUGGAGGAUUACAAGUAACAAUGUUUGAAGUCCUUCAGCAUCAACAGGAGUGGCGAAGUAAUCUAGAAGGAAGCACUGCCGGCACCUCGGCAGGUUACUUUUGAAGCCAAUCCUGGUAAACUUCAAGACAUGGUUGAUAGUGCUAUUAACCGUGCCUUGAUCAAUCAAGCUGGUGUGCUGUCCAAUACGGUUUUUCAACGCCGUGGCUAGAACUUUCAAAGAGGGACAAUUGCCACCAAACUAUGUGGGCCAUGUCUAUCAUCAGCCAGGAUCACCAGUUGUCACGGCUGCUACGGCCGCUGCGGGUACGGAAACUACUGCUCCUCCAAGCACACUAGGACUCACUAAUGUGCAAUCUACGCCGAUGACGACCAAUCCAUCAACUUCAGAUGAGCAGAUCAAGCUUACCACAGAUCUAUUGGCAUCGGCAAUGUCGGGGUCCGUUCCUCCCAACUGGUGGGGUUAUGGUAUGCCCCUAGAGAUGAUGUUGAAGACUCCUGGAACAUCUCAGACGGCUGACACGAGAGGCAAGGCUCCUAUGGCAUCGGCACCUCCAAAUUUGCCGAUGAAUCAGAGUCCCCAGUAUACUACAACUACUACUGCAAGACCUUACACUGGGAAUUCUCAAGCUCCAAUAUUUCAGAUGCCUAAUGCAUCGGCAGAUCUUGAGCCGACGCAGCAGAGGUUUAUGACACAGGCAGGGUAUGUCAAUUCAAUGAUGAUGCCCAAUUACCAGUCAUCGGCAGGACCUAUGCCGAUGAAUGCUAAUAGUGGAUGGCCUGGGCAAUUUGUUUUUCCACAGAUGCCUCAGCAGAAUCAUCAGGCUGUAGGGUUUCAACAGGGACAAGUCCAAACUUGGUUUCAGAAUCAAGGAUUGGUCAACCAGCCGAUGAAUCUUGGUCAGCAGAUUGGUGGUCAGAUAGUUAAUCCCAUGUUCCAUGCAGAUCGUGCACCUCGGCGACACGUGGAAGCUUAUCAGCAGGCGCCAGAUCCAGAACCACCCCAUCGGCAAGAUGCCGAUGCUUAUUGGGCCGAUAAGAUUGCUGAAGUAAUGAGGGACCAAUUUGGGAUAAAACCCAAAGUCAACACUUACUCUUAUCGGACACCGUAUCCUCCUGCAUAUGAUUUAAUCCCGCUUCCAAAUCGGUACAAGGUACCGGAUUUCACUAAGUUUUCUGGACAGGAUGAUACAUCGACCAUGGAGCAUGUCAACAGGUUCAUCAUCCGGUGUGGGGAAGCUGCUAACAGGGAUGAAUUAAGGGUUCGGUUGUUUUCAUCAUCUUUAUCUGGAUCGGCUUUCACUUGGUUUAUAUCGUUGCCUCCUAAUUCAGUGAUUACUUGGGCCGAUCUGGAGAAGCAGUUCCACAAGUACUUCUUCUCUGGAGUUCAUGAGAAGAAAAUUACCGAUUUGGUUGUUGACGGUAUUUAUACCAUGUUUUCUACUAUCAUAACCGUCAACAUAAGACUCAUUUUGGGAGAAAACAACCAAACAAAGUAGUAAUAUAGGUACAUAUAACCUAGUUCCACAUGUACAUGCUACUAUUUGGUUGCAGGAGUAAGAACAGGUACUUUUCAAGGGUCCAAACACUAAGAAGGGGUGAAUAACUAAAGAUCAGUGACACCAGUAACCAAGACAACAUUAUAGUCAUGAAGAGGAAGACAUGUAGGACAGGGCUGACACCCUAACCCCAUAGAAUUGGGGUCGGGCGACCCCACUUUGGUGGGUCCCACAGGUCAGCUCAACUCCAUCGACAUCAGAGAGCCUCCAGGACACUGCAGGUGGGCCCAACCAGCUAGAUAGGGGGUCGGCCGACCCCACUUCAUGGCGGUUCCAGGGUCGGUUGGCCUCCCACCGACCUUGCCCACAUGUUACACAUGUUAGUUUGCCUCUACCGUUGAUCAGAUGGCGGUUGUGAAGUCGGUUUGAUCCAAUGGUGCAUGAUGAAGAUGACGCGGAUCGCUGACGUGGCACCGGAGUAGCCCCUACUCCAUCUCCCACUAUAAAUACCCCCCUAUUCCUUCACUUAAAUGUCAUGUAUCUUAGGAGUAAACUACUUUAGUAGCUUAGUGCUAUCAUAGUGAGUAGAGAGUGAGGAGUUCCAAGGAGGAGUCCCGGCCUGUCGGGAGUCUUCUUCGCGGAGCACCUCAGCGGAAGCAGGUCUUCUUGUAAGUCUUACUUCUGAGUCUUUUCUAGUAUUUAAUAUUUGGUCUGGUACUUUAAGUAUAAGAAUCCUUUACUGGCACAUUGCUUGAUCUUGAGUGCUCUUAGCUUUAGCUAAGCUUAGGGUAGCAAGAGCUAGUUUAGACGUGGUGUCUAGACUACAUCUUGCCAGUGUGGACUCCUUGUCGCAGUUGUGUAGACACCUAGUGUGAGAGUGACAGUCCUCGCUAGGCGGAAAGCUCCUCGCAUCUGUUGUAGGCAAGUUGCAAAUAAUAGUUGGGCUGAGCAGGGUAGUCGCUUAGGAGACGGGGAGGUGAAAAACCUCGUUAACUCAAUCCUCCUUUUCGGGUAUCGCCCUCAGUAAAGAGUUAGGUGAAAAACCUUGACUAUACUUAAUUACCAAGACCAGGCAUUAAUACUAGUUAGACCUCUCUACCCCAUUAUCCUAGACCCUUUGAUCAUCACCUAACGAUCUAAAGCCUAGUUAAUUCACUUCGCGUUCCCCGUGGAAAUCACGAUACCUGGAAUACUCCCGGUGAAGGCUACAUUGACUACCGUACGCUUGCGGUAUAACCGUUUGCCACUUCUGGUGUCAACAAGCUUUCUGGCGCCGUUGCCAGGGAACGGUAGCUGUUUUAACUAGGACAAAAAAAAAUCGUUAAGUUAUCUUUGUUUGAUUUAAAACUUUAUACACAUAUCCAAAUGGAUCAAACAACCCUCUUCGAUUACGCUGCUCCAACGGGCGCUGAGUUGGAGCCAGCGAGUUCAUCAAAAGCCAUUUUGGCCUGUCACUAUGAGCAUCGCCCGAGUCUCGUAGCGAUGGUUCAGGAGAAUCCCUUUUCGGGAGAAGGAGAUGAAAAUCCUUACACACACCUACGAGAUUUCGAACAACUUUGUUCAUGCAUCCACAUCCAAGGGAUGAGGCGAGUUACCCUCAAGUGGAAGCUCUUUCCGUUCUCUUUGACAGGAAAGGCCAGACGGUGGUACACUCGCUAUGCAGGUAGUGUAGGAGGAGAAUGGGAAAAGCUGCAAGCCAAAUUCUGCCUCACCUACUUUCCCAUCUCUAGAAUAGCUCGUCUCCGUAGAGAAGUCCUAGACUUCAAGCAAGAAGGGAAGGAGUCUCUAGGUGCGGCCUGGGCGCGUCUCACCGACUUAACAUCAUCUGGCCCAGACUUAGGUAUAACCGAGCCAAUUCUUAUGCAACAUUUUUACCUCGGACUUAGCCAACAAUCCGCACAAUUCCUUGAUUUAGCCUCUAAGGGAGCAUUCCUUCAUUUACCUAUCAGUGAAGGUAAGGCCAUUCUUGGGACUAUUCUCGAGAAUACCCCUUACACUGAUGAUCAUAUUGAAGCUCCUGAGGAAGAUCGAACUCCUAGGGAUGAACCUUCGACAGCCAAAACUCCUUUAGCCGCAACCCAAGCUGUCGAACCUGAACCAAUACCACAAGCACCUCCAAGGGAAGAAGUAAUUCAUCCCUUGGAUUACCCACUUAACAUCGAGACUGAUCUAUUUGCCGAUUUUGGCAAUGUCUCGAAUCAACCUGUGCAAAGGAGAUCUACAGCACGCAGAGCUCCGAAUAGCCAUAUCCCAGCUCAUCUUGAGGCUGGUUACCUCAGGGCAACUGCCCAAGAACUCACGGCUAUUAUGAGUAAUGAAUGGUUUAGAGAAGCUGAGACAUCAUCUGAUGUCAUCAAACUUCUCUCGAGUUUUACACCCAUUCCCUGUGUCAUAAACUCCACUCCUAUAGAAUCCCUUUAUGACCCUGCUGUAGGAGUAAGCCUAAUGUCCAAGUCAUUAGUACUGACACUCCUAGGCGAGGAACCAUUAACCCCGACCAGCAAAUUUCUUAAAUUACCCUCUGGGGAAAUGGUCGAGAGUUGUGGGAUUGCACAGAAUAUUCCUGUCUCCAUUAACAAAGUCAACAUUCUGCUAAACUUCUUUAUCUUUGAUAUGAAAGAAGUUGACUUGUUAAUCGGGCACCCCAUCAUGAGGUUCCUAAAUGGAUUUCAUGAAGGGCGUUUCAAGGGUAACCUCGGGAAGGGCUUAGACCUUUCUAUGCCUUUUGCCGGCUCUAUUAAUUCUAAAGCCGAGACCCCGCCCGAGCCUGACCCAAUAGAGGAGGUGAUAUCGGCAUCUCUUCUGGACACUUCUCAGCCUGACUUAGAAGAAGACGCCGAAAACUUCAUCCAAGAAGAAGAGAACAAAUUAGAAUAACCAUUAGACUUGGAUGAAUCUAAACCACCACCAAAACCCUCUAUAGAACUUAAGCCACUUCCCUCUGGACUUAAGUACGCCUUCCUUAAUGGUGAUAGAGAGACUCCGGUAAUCAUUAGUGAUCAACUGACAGAAGAAGAAGUCACCAAACUCAUCACCGUCUUAGAAGAACGCCGCUCUGUCUUAGGAUACUCGUUAGAAGACCUUAAGGGAAUUAGUCCUGCACUCUGCACUCAUCGCAUCCCUAUCGAACCCGAUGCUAUACCUUCCAGGGAGCCUCAGAGAAGGCUAAAUAAUGCGAUGAGAGAAGUUGUGAAGAAAGAGGUCUUAAAACUAUUGCAUGCGGGCAUAAUCUACCCUGUUCCGAACAGUGAGUGGGUCAGCCCCGUUCAAGUAGUUCCUAAGAAAGGAGGAAUGACGGUCGUUAAAAAUGACAACAAUGAACUCAUUCCUCAACGGACCGUCACGGGAUGGAGAAUGUGCAUAGACUACCGAAAACUUAACAAGGCCACUAAGAAAGACCACUUUCCGUUGCCAUUCAUCGAUGAGAUGCUAGAACGGUUAGCCAAACACUCUUUCUUCUGCUUCCUUGAUGGGUAUUCGGGUUACCAUCAAAUCCCAAUCCAUCCCGACGACCAAAGUAAGACUACAUUCACAUGCCCCUACGGAACAUAUGCAUAUAGGCGCAUGUCUUUUGGCCUAUGCAAUGCUCCUGCCUCUUUUCAAAGGUGCAUGAUGUCCAUCUUCUCCGAUAUGAUCGAGGAAAUCAUGGAAGUUUUCAUGGACGACUUCUCCGUCUAUGGGAAAACUUUUGAUGAUUGCCUAAAGAACCUGGACCGAGUCUUACAAAGGUGCCAAGAGAAGCACUUGAUCUUGAACUGGGAAAAGUGCCAUUUUAUGGUUCGAGAAGGGAUAGUGUUAGGACAUAGAGUGUCCGAACGUGGGAUAGAGGUAGAUAGAGCUAAAAUUGAACUUAUAGAACAGCUCCCUCCUCCCACAAAUGUUAGGGGCGUCCGUAGCUUUCUUGGCCAUGCAGGCUUUUAUAGAAGGUUCAUACAAGAUUUCUCUCAAAUUGCUAGACCUUUAACAAACCUGUUAGCUAAGGAUGCACCCUUUGAUUUUAAUGAUGAGUGCUUGGAUUCCUUUUACUAUCUUAAGAAAGCACUUAUCUCUGCACCAAUCAUUCAACCCCCUGAUUGGUCGCUACCUUUUGAGAUAAUGUGUGAUGCUAGUGAUUACGCUGUAGGUGCUGUCUUAGGACAGACUAAAGAUAAGAAGCAUCAUGCAAUAUCUUAUGCUAGCAAAACACUAACAGGACCACAGCUGAAUUAUGCAACAACUGAAAAAGAACUGUUGGCUGUAGUGUUUGCUAUAGACAAGUUUAGAUCUUAUUUAGUUGGAGCAAAGGUGAUUGUUUACUCCGAUCACGCAGCUCUAAAAUACUUGCUCACUAAAAAAGAUGCUAAACCAAGAUUAAUAAGAUGGAUCCUACUACUCCAAGAAUUUGACUUAGAAAUUAGAGAUAAAAAGGGAGUAGAAAACUCGGUAGCCGAUCACUUGUCUAGGAUGCAAAUCGAGGAUAAACAGGAUCCACCUAUCAACGACUACCUUCGAGACGACACACUCCUCCGAGUUUCAGAAGCCUACCCAUGGUAUGCAAACAUAGUCAACUACCUGGCGUCCGGAUACAUACCACCUGGGGUAGACAAGAAGAAGCUUGUUAAAGAGAGUAGGGUGCACCUAUGGGACGAUCCUUACCUCUACAGAGUCUGUCAAGAUGGCAUACUCAGGAGAUGUGUUCCCAUGGACGAGGCAGUAAAAAUAAUGGAAAAAUGCCAUGGGGCAGAGUACGGAGGCCACUAUGGAGCAUUCAGGACCCACGCCAAGAUAUGGCAGAGUGGAUUCUACUGGCCUACCAUGUACGAAGAUACAAAGAACUUCGUGAGGAGAUGUGCAAGGUGUCAGAAGCAUGGGAACAUCAAUACUCGUGAUGCAAUGCCACUCACAAACAACUUACAAGUCGAGAUAUUCGAUGCUUGGGGCAUAGACUACAUGGGGCCAUUCCCUUUGUCACAAGGGUGUGAAUACAUCCUAGUGGCAGUAGACUAUGUGUCCAAGUGGGUCGAAGCAAUGCCCUGCAGAGCAGCCGACUCUACACAUUCGAUAAAGAUGUUCAAGGAAGUCAUAUUUCCACGCUUCGGCACCCCCAGACUAGUUAUCAGUGAUGGAGGGAGCCACUUCAUUGACAGAAGAUUCCGACGGUUCUUAGCUGAAGUGGGGAUAAGGCACAACAUUGGAACACCCUAUCACCCUCAAACGAGCGGACAAGCAGAAACAUCUAACAAACAAAUCAAGAACAUUCUGCAGAAGACUGUCACUAAGAUGGGAACCGGCUGGAAAAGCCAUCUACCAGAUGCACUUUGGGCAUACAGGACCGCAUACAAGACCCCAAUUGGUAUGACACCAUACCAACUUAUAUACGGUAAGACAUGCCAUCUACCGGUAGAGCUAGAGCAUAGAGCUCACUGGGCAAUCAAGAAAUGGAACAUGGAUUUGCCCUCGGCCGGAAGAAAUAGAAAGCUCCAAAUCUCCGAACUAGAAGAAUGGAGAGAUAAAGCCUAUCACAAUGCCAGGAUCUACAAAGAGAGAACAAAAAGAUGGCAUGAUAAAAGGAUCAAGCAAAAGGAAUUUCAUCCUGGGGAUAAGGUUCUCAUGUUCAACUCAAGGGUCAAGUUAUUUGGCCAUGGAAAGCUAAGGAGCAAAUGGGAAGGACCAUUCUUCGUUGUUGACGCCGCGACUCAUGGAGCGGGAACACGGCGGGACGACGACGGCAACAUCUUUAAGGUAAAUGGUCAUCGUCUUAAAGUUUUCCAUGAACAUGAACCUUUAGAAAAAGAAGUUGAUAUGAUAGAAUUUGAAUCUGACAUAAAGUCUUAAAAUCCACAUGUCCUUCUUUUUACCUCCUUUUGUUAAAAAAAAAAUUUGCUAAACCAAUAUAUUUAGUUCCUUUUGUUUGGAAAUAGGUUUUAAAAGGGUUUUAGAUGAUGUAGGAUCGAAGUUGGGCCGCCGAACACCCCAAAUGGGGGUCGGCUGACCCCUCUUCUAGGGGUUUUGGCCCAAGGGGGAAUAGGUUUAGAAAGAGGGGAAUGAAUAGAGUUCGGUGGUGAAAUUCAAAAUCCUGAAAUAUAGGGGUCACCCGACCCCCAAUAUUUUGAGUUUUGAAAUCCCCUGGAGUCUCGGAUCGUCCCUCAAACGUUCCACGACGCUCCUUUUCAAAAUUCAAACUCUCAGGCUCCAAACACAUCUAUUUAUCCCCCCUCUUCUUCUUCUUCCUCCUCUCAAUUCAUUCCUUCUCAUCUUCACCUCGAACCAGACUCUCCUAGCCUCCAUUCCUUGCCAAGAGAUCCAUCUCCAUGGCUCCUCCAACUAAAUCUUCCAACCAAGCCAUUCGCUCCAACUCCCCACGUCCGCAAAGGUCUCUAACUGAGAGCCUGGAGUUUGCCCUAGUCGUCAACGUGCUGGAGCCUGAACCACUAGCCAUGCUGCCGCCGGCUGGAGGGCCGACGGGCCCCAUGUGGGGGUCGCCCGACCCCAAGAGGGGUCGCCCGACCUCGCCCCGGGUGACCCAGCGCUCCGCGUCGGCCUCUCGUUCGCUCACACCGCGCAGGGGCAUCGGCAAGUCCCCUGCUUGAGCCGUAACGCCGGUUCGACCUACCACGGGCCAACUUGCGCUGCGGGAGAAGGCGCCGAUGGCCACCAAGCAGGCCAUCACCAUCUCCUCCGACACGAUCCACACCUCUUCCUACUCGCCGUCCACCCCAACCUUUUGGAGGAACCACCAAGUGGUGGGCGGUGGGCCGGGAAAGGGGAAGGUGCUGAUCCCGCCGUUGAACUCUAAGGAAAAGAUGGAGUUGCGAGAGUCCUUUGACUCGUCAGCAAGUCCAUCCAUCCGGCGGAAGAUGGAUCCACCUCCGAUCAACGGUGCGCCUGACAAAUACGAAGAAGAUCCAGAAAAAGGCGACAUCGAGAAGCUCCUGGAAGUCACAGCUAGCCUUAGAAAGAAAAAUAGGAUCUUAGAGGAGACAGUGUCGGAGCUCAGGAUGGAGAAUCUUGAGUUAGAAGAUCACUUCCGCCACCUGCGCAUUAGCACCAGCGCUAAAAUCAAGCGUUUGGCACAAGCAAUUGGGCGGGAGGAUCUCCUCAAACCUCCAUCUCCCUAAAUAAAUUAGUUAGUUUAGGUUAUAGGCACUAUUUGAUUAUUUAGGUUUGAUUACUCAAUUUUAUUUUCCAAUUUGUCACUUUGAAUUUCACAAUGUAAAAGUGCCUAUACAAUUGAAAUUUGAUUUAAUAGAGUUGUUUUUGGUCCUGCUGGUGUGUUGCCACCAGCAGGACGUCUGCAUUUGAUCAUCUCUCUCUGUUGUAAGUUCAGCUGCACGAAAACUGCAAGUGUGGGGGGGUCGCCCGACCCCCCAACUUCAUCUCUGAACUGCCGUGAGCAUGGAACAACACUGCAUACACCUCGGCACGUCAUGGCACCAAAAACAGGCGCGAUGAGGGGGUCGCCCGACCCCCUUUCUAUGGCAAAAGGAAACGACACAAGUGCAGAAAGACUUCCCGAGGGACGUAGAAUCGAGUGGCAGGGCCAGGAACCUCUAGGUGGGGUCGGCCGACCCUUCCAUGGAGCCCUGGGCCCACCAGGCAGCUUCUAUACGACGAAAGACAUCUUUCCUGCCCGGUUUGCUAAUUCUUCCCCCUCUCAGUCUGUCCAAUUCUUUACCUUUGUGUCACAAUUAAAAUAAAAUUUGAUAGUUUAAACUUGUUUGCAAAAUAAAAAGUGAACUGGUACAUGAUUUAAGAGAAAUAGUGACAUAAAGUAUAGUUCUUACAAUUGUUCAUCCUCAUGGGUAAAAAUCUAUAGGAACCAUAUUGACUAAGUUGUUGAUGAAAGUGAUAUAACUCUUGGCUAAGAAUUCAUAACAUUUCUAUUCAAGGUACUUAGAGAUUUGUUUCAAAAAUAUCACAAAACCAUAGUACCAUUUACUCCUCAUUAGCAAGAAAUUCCCACUAAAAGCCAUACACUUAGAUAUUCAAGUAACCAUUUUAUGAAAUGCAACCUGCUUUUGUAAUGAGUUUUGUCAAAACCUUGUUGACCCUAGUGAGAGUUGUAUCAUAGUCACAAGAUCAAGAUCACGUACACACCACAUAUAUAUAUGCUGCUUCUACACUGGAAGUACGCAACCACAUGUAUUGUGCAUCCACUAAAUAGGUUGCUCCAUACUCUAAGUGUUAGAACACCUCUCUAAAUAUUGUUUAGAAAAUGAGACAUAAAAGGGCUUGGCAAAAUAAAAGAAAAAGAAAAGAUGGACAUGUGCAAGUCCAUGAAAAAAAAAAAAAUUAGCACAUAAAGCUCGAAGAAAAAGAAAAUCUAGCCAUGUCUCAAUAUACAAGUAGAGAGAGUGUAGUAAAUAAAGGAGCAACCUAGUCCACCAUAUAACACACUUGCACAUCUUGAUCUAUGACUAUGACACUCCUCUCUUUGGAUCCUUGUUUUUGACUUAACAAUAUUUGCAAAGUAGAGUAUGCUACCUUGUUUAUCCCUACCAAGCCCCAUAUAAGCCUAUAAUUAUAGGAUGAAACAAGUUGGCAUUCAUGCCUUGGUGAGGACUACUAUAAAAAAAAACUUUGAGUGAUCUAGAGCGCUAAAUGAGGAGUAGGAUUGAACUAUGUGACUUAUUUUAAAAAGUGUCAUAAAAACUCUAAGUACCAAGAAUAUGAAAUUGGAAUUUGAUCUUGUUCUGAGAGUUGUUCCUUUUCUCAACCUCUGAAGGAUAUAUGCUAGACACUUACACAAAAACCCAUUUGGAUGAACUAUGUUCGAACUAGCAUUUUAUGCUCACUACUAUCUUAAGUUAGAAACCAUUGAUCACUCAUUUUUAACCUUUACUCGAGGACGAGCAAAGACUCAAGUGUGGGGGGUCUUGUUGACGGUAUUUAUACCAUGUUUUCUACUAUCAUAACCAUCAACAUAAGACUCAUUUUGGGAGAAAACAACCAAACAAAGUAGUAAUAUAGGUACAUAUAACCUAGUUCCACAUGUACAUGCUACUAUUUGGUUGCAGGAGUAAGAACAGGUACUUUUCAAGGGUCCAAACACUAAGAAGGGGUGAAUAACUAAAGAUCAGUGACACCAGUAACCAAGACAACAUUAUAGUCAUGAAGAGGAAGACAUGUAGGACAGGGCUGACACCCUAACCCCAUAGAAUUGGGGUCGGGCGACCCCACUUUGGUGGGUCCCACAGGUCAGCUCAACUCCACCGACAUCAGAGAGCCUCCAGGACACUGCAGGUGGGCCCAACCAGCCAGAUAGGGGGUCGGCCGACCCCACUUCAUGGCGGUUCCAGGGUCGGUUGGCCUCCCACCGACCUUGCCCACAUGUUGCACAUGUUAGUUUGCCUCUACCGUUGAUCAGAUGGCGGUUGUGAAGUCGGUUUGAUCCAAUGGUGCAUGAUGAAGAUGACGCGGAUCGCUGACGUGGCACCGGAGUAGCCCCUACUCCAUCUCCCACUAUAAAUACCCCCCUAUUCCUUCACUUAAAUGUCAUGUAUCUUAGGAGUAAACUACUUUAGUAGCUUAGUGCUAUCAUAGUGAGUAGAGAGUGAGGAGUUCCAAGGAGGAGUCCCGGCCUGUCGGGAGUCUUCUUCGCGGAGCACCUCAGCGGAAGCAGGUCUUCUUGUAAGUCUUACUUCUAAGUCUUUUCUAGUAUUUAAUAUUUGGUCUGGUACUUUAAGUAUAAGAAUCCUUUACUGGCACAUUGCUUGAUCUUGAGUGCUCUUAGCUUUAGCUAAGCUUAGGGUAGCAAGAGCUAGUUUAGACGUGGUGUCUAGACUACUUCUUGCCAGUGUGGACUCCUUGUCGCAGUUGUGUAGACACCUAGUGUGAGAGUGACAGUCCUCGCUAGGCGGAAAGCUCCUCGCAUCUGUUGUAGGCAAGUUGCAAAUAAUAGUUGGGCUGAGCAGGGUAGUCGCUUAGGAGACGGGGAGGUGAAAAACCACGUUAACUCAAUCCUCCUUUUCGGGUAUCGCCCUCAGUAAAGAGUUAGGUGAAAAACCUUGACUAUACUUAAUUACCAAGACCAGGCAUUAAUACUAGUUAGACCUCUCUACCCCAUUAUCCUAGACCCUUUGAUCAUCACCUAACGAUCUAAAGCCUAGUUAAUUCACUUCGCGUUCCCCGUGGAAAUCACGAUACCUGGAAUACUCCCGGUGAAGGCUACAUUGACUACCGUACGCUUGCGGUAUAACCAUUUGCCACUUCUGGUGUCAACAUUGGUCAGGUUGAAGCAGCGCAAUGAUGAAUCGGUUGAAAGCUUUGUGCAGAGGUUGCAGGAAGUUAAGAACAAAUGCUAUAGUUUGGUUCUAGAUGAUCAGUAGCUAGCCGAUUUGGCUUUCUAGGGUUUGUUGCCACAUAUCAGGGACAAAUAUGCUUCUCAAGAGUUCGAGAGCCUGAGUCACUUGGUCCAGAGGAUUUCCGACCAGGAUAUCAAACCCUUUGAACCUAAUAGAGGUUGGAAUAAAAAGGUGUCAUUUGUCAAUGAAGCAGCAAGCUCGAAUUCUGAUGAAGAGCCAGUCAUUGGCUUGGCAGAGUGGGUGAAAAAUAAGAAGCCGAUGUCUUGUCCUUUUGGGCAUAAAGAGCGAGAGAAGUUCGCAUUUGAUAUCACCAAAGCCGAUAGGAUAUUUGGCUUUCUACUUCAGGAAGGUCAGAUCAAAUUGUGACCCAAUCAUGUAAUUCCAUCGGCUGAAGAAUUAAAUAAAAUGAAAUACUGCAAAUGGCACAAUGCAACUUCUCACAGCACCAAUGAGUGCAAGGUUUUUAGGCAGCAACUGCAAUCGGCUAUAGAAUCUGGGAGAAUCAAAUUUGAUUCCAAAGCUCAGAAGCCGAUGAAGAUCGAUCAACAUCCUUUCCCAACAAAUAUGUUGGAUGCUAAGGGAAAGACCAAGGUCUUGACGUCGGAAGCAGCUGAAAGGAGUGCAUCGGUAGAUCCUCAGCAUCAGAUUACUGCUGCCGAUGCCAAAGGAAAAGGCUUGAUUCAGGAAGGAAAUAUCUUAGGAAGGCCUCCUCGAUCUGGUAUUGUGAUAACUCAUAGAAGGCCUCGGGAGACUUGGCGGCAACGCGAAGAUCGGUAUCGGCGCCAGCAAGAAUACCAUCGUCAGGAAGAAGAAAGACACCGUCAAGAGUGGAAUCAGCACAAGGAUCACUGGAACUGCCCGUUCUUUAUCCAUUGCUGGGAGCAGAACAUCAAGUUGCCCACUGUUAGAGACUGCCCUGAAUGCAAUGGUUAUGAUCGGUAUGACAGAUCCGAUCGGCACUAUACAAUGAUGAUUGGCGAUUUAAUGGGCCGAUUAGGGGGAGAGCGUCCGUUCAUGAUCGGCUGGGGGGCAGACUCAGUGUACACGAUAGGCUUGGUGAUCGUGUUGAAUAUUUUCCUAGGAACUAGGAAGAGCUUGAAGAGAUGGCUAAUGCGCGAGUUCCCGAUGAGUUCAUAUUUUGCAGGGACGCUAAUACUCAUCGGAUGGAGUCAAUGGAACGUCGUCGCCCAUCGGCAAGGCAGUCACCACUUCCCCCGUGGUGUCCAGAAAAGAAGACUGCAACGCGAAAGACGAGAAGAGCUAAGCAAGGGCGAGAACUCUACCCAGUCUGGGGAUCAGCAACAGCCAGAUCCUAAGGGGAAAGGGCCAUCGGCAGAUGUUAACAUGGUAUUCAUGUUGCCAAUGGAAUUCCUGGCGCCAUCAAGUGAUGAUGAGGAGUUGGAGUUUUCCGACCAGAUAGCUCAGUUGGCUCUGGAUCCGAUGAUAGCUAUAUUUGAAAAACCUGCCGACAAUGAAAGGCAGCAUCUUAAAGCUCUGUUUGUCAAAGGAAGAGUUGAUGGUCAGCCGAUGACCAAGAUAUUAAUUGAUGGUGGGGCUGCUAUUAACAUCAUGCCGUAUGCAGUCUAUCGGAAGCUCGGGAAAGGAGAUCAAGAUUUGACCAAGACCGAUAUGAUGCUGAAAGACUUUGAAGGGAAUGUGUCUCCAGUUAAGGGGGCAAUAUGCGUUGAGUUGACCAUCGGCAGCAAAACCUUGCCGACGACCUUCUUUGUGAUCAGUGGAAAAGGUGCCUAUAAUUUGCUGCUGGGAAGAGAUUGGAUUCAUGCCAAUUGUUGCAUCCCGUCUACGAUGCACCAAUGCUUGGUUCAGUGGGUAGGUGACAAGAUUGAGAUUGUCCCGGGAGAUUCUUCUUAUGUCAUCGCAUCGGCAGAGGUAGAUACCUAUGAGAGGACUAGGUGUAUCUCGGGAGAAAUUUGGGAGAAGGAUUUCCUCAAAGUUGCCGAUUACGAAAUUCCACCGAUUCAAGCAGUCGGUUCUGAUGAGGAGUUUUAAUGGAUAGAUUCGCCGAUGAUGGAAAAUUAGGCCAGGGAUUCACAUCGGCCGAUGAUUUAGUAGAAUAGAUAUAGGUAGUGGUGAUAAGCCUAGUCCUACUUUUAUUAGUGCUAAGUUAAAUUUCGAGUGUAAGCAGCAGUUGACCGAUUUGUUAAAGGAAUAUAAAGAUUGCUUUGCUUGGGAUUAUACUGAGAUGUCUGGUUUAGACUGAUCGAUUGUUGAACAUCGGUUACCUAUCAAGUCUGGAUUUCAGCCACAUCAAUAGCCAGCUCGCCGAUGUAAUCCUAAUAUUCUUCCUGAUAUUAAGGCCGAAGUAACCAAACUUAUCGAAGCUAAAUUUAUUCGACAGUGUCGGUAUGCCGAGUGGAUUUCCAAUGUUAUUCCAGUCUACAAGAAAAAUGGGAAGCUUCGCGUUUGCAUUGAUUUCAGGAAUCUUAAUAAAGCUACCCCAAUGGAUGGUUACCCAAUGUCAGUUGUCGAUCUACUAGUUGAUGCUGCGGCUGGGCAUCAAAUCAUCAGCUUUAUGGAUGGCAAUGCAGGAUACAAUCAAAUAUUCAUGGCUGAAGAAGAUAUUCCAAAGACUACAUUUAGAUGUCCUGGUCAUGUUGGGUUGUUUGAAUGGAUAGUCAUGACCUUUUGCUUGAAAAAUGCUGGUGCUACUUAUCAGAGGGCCAUGAAUUUUAUCUUUCAUGAGUUCAUCGGCAAACUGGUGGAAAUUUAUAUUGAUGAUGUGGUGGUUAAGUCUGGAGACUUCACAAAGCAUCUUGCUGAUUUGCGAAAGGUGUUGGAAUGCACAAGGAAGCAUGGUUUAAAGAUGAAUCCCAAUAAGUGUGCAUUUGGUGUAUCGGCAGGACAAUUCCUUGGUUUCAUGGUGCAUCAAAGGGGGAUUGAAAUUAGUAGGAGAUCCAUUGAUGCUAUCAAUAAAAUAGUUGCUCCUACCCACAAAACUGAGCUCCAGUCCUUGAUCGGCAAGGUAAAUUUUAUCAGGAGGUUUAUAUCUAACUUGUCUGGUAAAAUUCGUGCUUUCAGUCCUUUACUUAAGUUGAAAGCCGAUCAAGAAUUUAUAUGGGGGAAGUGCAACAAUUGGCUUUAGAUGAAAUCAAGAAUUAUUUGAUAAAUCCUCCAGUUCUGAUUCCACCUUAGCAAGGAAAGCCCUUCAGAUUAUAUCUAUCUACCGAUGGGAUGGUCAUCGAUUCAGCUUUGAUUCAAGAAUUUGAAGGGAAUGAGCGUGUAAUUUACUAUUUAAGCAGAAGAUUGAUUGAUGUUGAGACCAGGUAUUCGGCCAUUGAAAAGUUGUGUUUGUGUCUAUAUUUCUCAUGUAUUAAGUUGAGGCACUAUUUGUUACCGGCUGAAUGUACUGUCAUAUGCAAAGAUGAUGUGGUCCGGUAUAUGCUAUCUAUGCCGAUCAUGAGUGGCAGGAUCAGUAAGUGGAUUUUGGCACUGUCGACAUUCGAUCUGCGUUACGAAUCGGCUAAGGCGGUUAAAUGACAGGUUAUGGCCGAUUUUGUGACUCAGCAUCACGGUGCAGUGGAGACUUUGGAAAUUGUACCUUGGACGCUCUUCUUUGAUGGAUCCACGUGUGACCGGGGGGCAGGAAUCGGCAUAGUGUUAAUUUCCCCUCGGGGAAGGAAGUAUGAGUUCUCCUUGCCGAUUGUUGCCACGUCAAUGAAUAAUCAAGCCGAGUAUCAAGCUUUGAUAAAGGGGUUGGAAUUGUUAAGAGAAGUCCAUGCUGACGCUGUUGAAGUCUUCGGAGAUUCUAUGCUGGUUAUAAAUCAAUUGGCUGGAAGCUAUGAAUGCCGAAGCGAAGUCUUGAUAGCUUACUAUGAAAAAAGUAUGCGACUAUUAGAGGAAUUCAAAGAUUUCCGAUUAGAGCAUGUUCCUCGGUUACAUAAUGAGGAGGCUAAUCGGUUGGCUCAGCAUGCUUCAGGGUAUCAACCCAUGGUUAACAUGUUAUCGGGAAACAGUGCCGAUGAUUGGAGGAAAGAAAUCGUUGAUUAUUUAAAGGAUCCAUCCAAGAAAGUUGAAAGGCGUGUUCGGUUUCAAGCCACCAAGUAUGUGCUCCUCGAGGAUGAAUUAUAUUUUCGAAUAAUUUAUGGAAUUCUUCUCAAAUGCUUAGGUGAUGAUGAGGCUAAAAGUUUAAUGGGAGAAAUCCAUGAAGGAGUAUGUGGGGCACAUCAGUCCGCAUUUAAGAUGAAUUGGAUGAUCGGGAGAAAUGGUAUUAUUUGCCAACUAUACUUGAGGAUUGUUUUAAGUAUUUCAAAUGGUGUCAAGGAUGUCAGAAAUUUGGCAAUGUGCAAAGAGCACCCGCAUCGGCCAUGAAUCCUAUUAUCAAACCCUGGCCGUUCUGGGGAUGGGCUAUUGAUUUAAUCGGCCAGAUUUAUCCACCAUCUAGCAAAGGGGAUAAGUUUAUCUUGGUUGCCACCGAUUAUUUCACCAAGUGGGUUGAAGCUAUUCCUUUGAAGAAAGUCACAUAGGCCAACAUGAUAGAUUUUGUGAAAGAGCAUAUUAUUUACCGAUUUGGUAUUCCUCAAACAAUUACUACCGAUCAGGGUACUAUGUUUACAUCCGGGGAGUUUGAUGAGUUCGCAAUUGGUAUGGGAAUUAAGGUGUUGAAUUCUUCUCCUUAUUAUGCUCAAGCUAAUGGGCAGGCCGAGGCAUCUAACAAAGGAAUUAUCAAACUUAUUAAACAGAAGAUUGAGGAAAAUCCUAGAAGGUGGCAUACAUUGUUGAAUGAAGCUUUAUGGUCGUAUCGGAUGGCUUGUCAUGGGUCAACCAUAGUUUCACCUUAUCAGUUGGUGUAUGGACAUGAUGCAGUACUACCUUGGGAAAUUAAGGCUGGGUCUAGGCGACUAUCUUUUCAAGAUCAAUUGGCUGCCGAUGAUUAUGCUACUUUGAUGACAGACGAGCUGGAUGAUCUAGCAGGGCAUCGGCUGAGGGCUUUGAUUAGUAUAGAAGAAAUUAAAAAGAGAGUUGCCAGAUGGUAUGAUAAGAAGGUAAAGGCUAAAGAGUUUGCCGAUGGAGAUUUAGUAUGGAAAUUGAUCUUACCGAUUGGAACUAAAAGUUCAAAAAUUGGGAAGUGGUCUCCCAAUUGGGAAGGUCCUUAUCGGAUAAAUCGAUCUGCUCCUAGCAAUGCUUAUAUUUUAGAAACUCUCGAAGGAGUUGAAUUUCCCAGGGCAUUGAAUGGCAAAUACUUAAAGAAAUAUUAUCCUAGUAUAUGGAUCGAUGCAUAAAAGAUUAAAUGCCGAUAACAUUCCUAACGGCUGGAUCAAAGUGUAUCGGGGGCCGGACUUAGUAUUUUAAAAGGGUGCCGAUAACAGUCCUAUCGGCUAGACCAAAAUAAUCAGGAGUGUUUGCAGAAGAAGUGCAGAGUAUGCCGCUGAUGAAGAGUUCACUUGUUUAACAGAGGCUGGAUCGUCGAUAUGGUGCGCAGACGGAUCUGGUUGGCUUCUUCUAUCUCCUUCAUGUCAUCAUCGGCAGAUCCUUCUACUGGCUUCAGUUUCUUCUUCAUCUGCAGUGCUUUACGGGCCUGGAUGUUUCGCUCUUGUUCAAGAGUCUUGAUUGCUUUAGGCAGCUAGCUUUCUUCCUAUUGAGCUUGGGACAGAGCUUCUUCCACUUGCCUGAGUUCAGCCAACAGAGCUUCCCUUCUCGCCGAUAGAUCAGAGAUCUUUUGCUUCAGUACAUCUCCUGAGGAUUUCAGAAUGCCGAUGCUCUUAUGCUUCUCAUUGGCAAGGAGCUUCACUUUCAUCAUUUCCUCUGAGAGCUGAGCGUGAGCAGCUCUAUCGGCAAGACGCUGAGCAGCCUUUUGAUACUGCAGCUGAUGACUCUCUAAGUGUGCAGCCUGAAAAAGAACCUCCUCGGCAUCGGUAGGGAUUUGACCUUUGAGAGCCUUGAACAGAACUUUGGCUAGAUCAGAGUCAUCGACCAAUUGCGCUGUAUCUUGAUGGAGAAGGGUUGACAGAUCCGCCAGCUUUGCUCUAAUCUCUGCCGAUGAGAUUCCAACGAGAAGAACUUGCUUCCUCGCCUUCAUCCUCAGAGAUCUCGAUGGCAAAGGAGAACAGGCUGUCGGGAGAAUCCUGUUCUUGAAAAAGAAGAUAGAAUAAGUUAUUUUGUGAUCAAGUACUGAUAACAAUAAAAAUAAAGAUCGGGUAACUUACUUGCUUCAGAGCUAUCUCUCGCCUCUGACUAGUUGAAGCCGAUGGAACCACAGGCUGAUCGACUGGGAUUACCGAUGAGACUAUGUCAGCUGACAGAUUAACAGAGGUAAUUACAAAUUGGAAAAAGUGGGUUCAUCGGCAAUAAAUAGAAAGUAUGUUACCUUGAGGAGGUGUAGUACUAGUCUGAAUCGAGGAAACUACCGAUGCUAUGAUUAAGCUUGUUGGAUCGGCAGUCUGCUCGUGUACAUUAGCCGAUGUUUCUUCUGGCUGAGGUUCUUCUGGCUAGAGUUCUUCUGUUUGGGUUUCUUCUUGUGGUUGAAGAGGAGACGGUGCUGGUUGUAUCUGGGCUUCUGGAGGAGAAGGGGAUGAUUCUACUGGGAUCAGAGAUACUGGGGGAGGAGAAGGCGUUACUGUUCUCUGGCGCUUUGCUUGUAAUCUGGUACUCUUAGAACCUUUUCUCUUCAGUUGACUGGACUGGGGGGCAUCGGCAGUCGUACUUCUGGUCUUUGCUGAUGUACCGGUGUGCUGAUACAACAGUGAGAAGUUUAUGAGUACAAGUGUAAUAAGUAUAAGAAUGGAAUUGGUAUGAGUAAAAGAAUUCGAAAAUUUACCUUGAAGGCUUGUGCUAAGGUAGAGGCAGCUACCGAUGGAGAUGUCUUCGUCCGCUUGGUGGUAACUUUCUUGAGACGCACACCCCGAUGCAUUAUAGCAGCCAAGGUUUGAGCGUUGUUGCCGAUCAAAGAGAUCGGGCCCGAUGGAAGGAGCUCAAUCGGCUUACCACUCCUGCUGACUAGUGGUGGUGUAUCAUCGACCUGUAUACAACACAGAAAGUAAGUUACCGAUGGAAAAUGAAAGUGAAGGGAUUGAAGCAUCGGUAUUAAAGUUCUUACAGUAUUAUCAGGAACUUUGUAUUCGGGGUCGAUCAUGCCACGGUAUGUGAGAGCUGAUCUGCAGAACAGGUGCUCUUUCCAUUCUUCCCACCACUGUUUAUAUGCCUGAGUGAUGAAGAGAGCUGGGAUCCAAGCCGAUAGAUCGACAUCUGUAUCGGCGUUUGGUGGAAGUUGGGCUACCUUGAUCCAUUCCAGAUUACUGGUGAUAAUCUCCCUCAACUUUAUUACAUCGGCGUAGCAAAGUGCAAUCGGCAGUUGGUCGAAAGCCAGUUGGCGAGCUAGUGCCGAUGGGUUAUAAAACUCGUAGGUCAGAUUGGAGGCUUUCCCACUACCGAAAAAGUUCACUGGUAUGGCUCUUGGGGUGAUAAUUGUCAUCAUCACGUCACGAUCCUUAUUGAGAGCAUCAUUGAAGGGGUGGAAAGUCAAAGGGAAUCUGGUGUCUGGAUCUUCAUAAGGCAUUCAUGCUCGCUGUUCUCUGGUCAGACCCUCGUACAGAGUCUGAAAGAAUCGGCUAACCUGGUCUGCGUUACCACCUGUGCCAAGCAAAACUAUGGUAGCUUCGCCAAAGUUCAGAGGGGAACGAGUUGCCGAUUCUUCUUCAUCCAGUUCGUAAUCCUCGGCUAUAUCCCUGGGGAAGCGCUGUGCAAAAAUGUCGAACUCAAGGCGUUUGUGCAUGUGGAGACUAAGUCACAUAUUGAUGAACCACCAGGGGCCCCCUAAGUUGCCGAUGGGUUGACCAAGCAGUAGUUUCUUGGCUACCUGGUGGAGGAGGUGAUCAGCAGAGCCAAGUAGAUAUCGGCCGAGAGGAAAUCGGCCACCAUUGGCUAAUCUUUCUGCUGCCGAUAGGUAGACAGAAGUUGGUCCUGCCGAUCGACCACAGAAUACAAACUUAUCUAACCACAUAUUCAGGAAGGUGGUCUGUUCCUUUAUACUGACAGGUCCUGUUCUACGGUACUUCUGAAUGUACCCUGACCAACCGCCGAUAGCACGAGUUUCUACCUUAGCACUGGGUUUGGCGUCGAACAGGUGGGUGUUAUUGGCAGUAGAUAUAUCUAAGCCGGUGAGCAUAAGUACAUCGGCAAGUGUGGGAGAAGCCGGGCCAUGGCCAAACACAAAAGCAUUGAGUGUGUCUGACCAGAAAUAUGAGGCAGCAAUUAACAGUGACUCGUUUCUCUCCAUAUCGGCAAGGGACAAUCUAAUGCACUGAUCUAAUUUCCGUUCACCCCAUUGGACCUCAUUUGAGUUACUGACUCUUAGAAACCAAUCCUUCCAUCCCUUGGUAGGACUGGGCCAGGAACGGAAGGCAUCUUUCCAUAGAUCUACAGAAAAAUUCUCGGCUCUAAAAGGGAUUCUGUUUGUCUCUACGUUUAUGAGAUCGGUGGGAUCCAAGUUUCCUAGUGGACCAAGGCAUUGGAGAUGGGGUUGAUCGGUAGGAAUUAUGAUCUUGUCGGCCAAAUCCUAAAGAUUGUAAGGAUAAAAGAAAGAGUAAAAAGAAAAAAAGGAAUAUUCAGUAAAAGGAAUUGCGGGUGGAUAAAAGUACAGCAAGAGUACGAAAAAGAAGGAGGGUAAGCUAACCUCAGGAACGACGAAGUUGACGGCCAUUGCCCCGCGGGGAAGAAGAUUGAAAACUUGGGGGUUGUUGGAGGAAGUUCUUGCUGGAGUUCUUGGAGCUCUCGAACAGUGUCGCCGCCAGGAAAGCAGAGUUGGGGCUGUAGAAUGAUGCGAUGGAGAAGGAGUACCCGAGAAGGAAGUAUUUAUAGGACAAAACGGGCAAGGGCAAAUUUGACUUAUCUCUUCGCCGCAUCUGUGAAAUCCGAGGGUGCUCAGGUGGAUAUGGUAACUGUUCGCACGGUAAUCAAGGGAUUGCGCAGGUGAUUUGACAGGAAGCGGUCAUGACUUUGGAGAUAUUUCACUGUGCGGAAUUUCUUGGUCGGUCCAUCGGCAGUUCCCUCUAACGGUAAUAUUGCCGAUGGGCGCAUAAAGUGGAGAGAUCCGGUUCGGAAAGUUGAGGAAUUCAAGGAAUCUGCAGGAGAAUCGGGCCAAGGUUGUUCAGAUUUAAACGGUCGGUUACCAAAUUGGGAGAAUUAAUUGCGGAAAGGCAUCAUUACUGCAGAGAAUUUCAAAGCAUUAAUGAUUUUAUACUCCGAAAUUGGGGGGCAUGUGUUGACACUAUUUUUGGACACGUACCCGGGGACCAGUAGAGUAUAGAUCGGCAGGUGGAGCAACAGUAACUAGUCUGCAGAAGAGUUGCCGAUGAGGAUAGUUGCCGAUGAAGAGACGAUUGAAUGUGACUAAGUCCAGGGGUGGUGACGUGUUCUUACCGAUGAUCAAUAUCGGUGUUUGCCGAUGGCCAUAAUAGGAAGACUGCCGAUGACUCUGAAGGAAAGCAUGGAGAUUGUCGAUUGAUCUGUGGCGGUGUCCCGGUCGGUUACAAGGGGGUAGUUUUAUGUUUUCCUUAGUUAUUUAAAUUCAUUUUGUAUACGGAUUCUGUUUGAUUUGGAAUUCGAGUCCUAGUCGUAUCUGAUUGUAGCUCUUUGAGCAGGGUAUAAAUGUAGACCCUAGGGCCUUGUUAUGAGCAAUCUAUCCAUCAAUCAAACACAAGUUUUUACUCAUAUUCUAGCAUCUACUUUUUCGAUGACUUCGUCAUAUUUUCCUUUUUAUUACGAGUUCUUUGGAGUUCGUCGACUUAAGCUCGGCGUAUUCUCGAGUUCUGCGUGAAUACCUCUUGGCCGUGACAUCCGGGUGCAUCGCUGUUGUCGGGACCAAAGUAUUCGAGAUAUCACCUUUGUUGAUAGUAAGGUCAAAUCGGCUGGCACGCCUUAACGUUUGAAUCGGGUAUUAGCCCUUUGUGUUUGUAGAUCAGCUUUUGCACCAACAAAUUUAGUAUUUUUGUUUCUAUAUCUACGUGUAGCCUUCUGGAUGGACCUCUACGGGGAGAAGCGUACCUCCACGAGGGCCAAAGAAGUCGUUGGAGGGCCGCUACAUAAUCUCUGAGUUUGAGAUAGCUACAGGCAGACCACUUGGUGAACAUGCAAAUAAAUAUGUUGGUCAUUGUGGAUACCUUGUGAGAGACCAAAUACCGAUCAGUGCUCGUGAAUGGAGAGAGAAGCGAGGUGCUCCUGAAAUCAGUUUUGUCUCUGAUCGUGACAAGGAGUUAGUUUGGAAAGCCGUCACAGCGGUUUUCACCUUCAACACCAACAACGAUGAAGAGUUGAAGGUGCAAAUUUAUGACUGGACUAUGAAGAAGAUGGCGGUACUGUUCCAGAAUUGGAAGAAAACUUUGUACAAUAAAUUUGUCAAGAAAAACGAGACUCCUGAUUUCAACCUCAAGCAAUAUAUAAAGCUGAGGGCCUUCUGGGAUGACUUCGUGCAGUACAAAACAUUAGAAGAGGGUGAGGAACGAGCCAUUAGGAACAAAGAAAAUGCAAGUAAAAAGACAUACCACCAUCAUAUGGGAUCAGGUGGUUAUAAGAGUGCUGUUCCCAAGUGGGACCGAAUGGAACAGGAGAUGCUUGAUAGAGGGGUCACACCCGAGACAAUAGCAAAGAAUUAGAGCGAGCGCUCCAAGCAUUGGUUCUACGGUCAUGGGGGAAGCAUGGACCCAGACACCGGGGCGCUAGUUUGGGGCCAAGAAAUCUCUAGAGCAGCAGAGAGACUAGUCCGUGCACAAGAGGCGGUUCAGUCUGGUGAGUUUAGGCCUAAUAGGGAGAAGGAUGAACUCACGUUUGCGCUUGAAAAUCCUGAGCACGGUGGGCGUACGAGAGGCUAUGGGGUAGUUCCGUGGCUGAAAUCAUUCCAAGCUGAUCAAGAAACCUACAGAAGCCGCCAGAGAAAGAAGGAUGAGGAGGCAGAGCGGAUCCGCCGGCUGGAAGCUUUUGUUCUGCAGUCACAAGAGCGCGAGAAAUCUCGUGAAGAAUGGAUGCAGGUGGAGAUUAAAUGGCAAGUGCAAGCAGUACUUAGUCAAAUGACGAAAGGGCAAGGUACAUCACAGCCUGAGGUCAACGUUAGCCCGCCAGGCCAGUUGAAAAGUAGCUGCGCAUCCACGAAAGUACCAACCAUUCAGGAUGACACGAAGCUACACUUGCUCGUGGAUGAUGUCACAGAGGCUUUUACUACGUGUGAGCUGCAUGUACUAGAUGGAAAUGCAACAAAAAAGGUGGCUAUCAGUGUUGUCAACCCUAUCGACCGAACGAGAACUCCAAGAAUCCAUAAUCGACCAGUACCAGCUGGAUAUGCUAGCGUCUCGGUUGAUAGGGUUGAGAAAGGUUGUGGCAGUGUGCCUCUAGAAAUAGAGGGGGGAGACGGAGAGAAGACCUUAGGUGAAGUUGAGAAGAUGUUUAUUUGUUGGCGCAAGCGCUUCAUAAUUAUUCCAGGAAUGUCACUGUUGCCUCUUCCUCACCAUAGGUUUGUGCGUGAUUUUACUUAUAUUAUUUAUUAUGUAUUGAAUUUAAAAAAAGUUUGCUCACAAAACUUGUAAUUGUUUUCUUUGCAGGGACUUCUCCAACCUAAGUCUAGUUCUUUCCCCAGCGUAUCAUAGUGCUGCGGGCGGUGACAAUGCUGGAUCUCCUCCAACACCCGCGGCGGCCACACCGACCCCGCCACCGCCUCCACCACGGUCUCCACCUCCUCCACCGAGGUCUCCAACUCCUCCACCGCGUUCUCCAACACCAAAAAGAUCGGCCCCACCACCUCCACCGCCCUCUCCAAAGAGUACACGAUCGGUCCCAUUCGCCUCCAAAGCGAGGUAGUUAGAAGCGGUCCGCCCAAGAACGACCGAAGUCAUCGGUCCCACCUCCAAAGAAGGCUGCCUCAACAAAGAAAGCUAAGACACCAGAGAAAUUACCUUAUGAAAAGAGUGAAGAGGAGGUAAUUGCUACAUCCAAAGCUGAGGUGAAACAAUUUUUUGAUAAAUUGAAGGAGGAAAGGAAAAAAGCGGCUAAACCCAGAAAAUCCGUACUUUUAUGUAAAGCUAGAGGAGCUGAGGAAGAAGGUGGCAGACCAGCAAAAGAAGCAGCGGGAAGCUCAGAAAAAGCCAGCACUUUCGGACUAUGAGCGGUCUCUGGUCAAGUCUUCACAGCCAAGAAAGAGAGUAGGAAAAGGGGUCCCACAGCUCGGAGAAGUAUCAAAACCGGUGCCCCCUUUGAUUGUGCCAAAUCAAUACGGCUCAAAUGAAAACUUGAUGCCAAAGAAUUCCUUAGCGUUGUCUGAGCUAGAUUCGCAUGAGCAUUACUUUGGACAAAGCGGUCUAAAUAUUAAAGACAUUGCCGCCAUUAUUGGAUGUCAAACAUUUGAAAAAGCUGAGGUAGUUGAUCAAUGGAGGACAAUUGGUGCAUGGAAGCGUCUAAAAGGGGAGAUAAUUGGAUUUCUGUUCGUAUUAGACAACAUCACUACUUCCGUGGAGAUGACCUCAUAUACGUCCAGUUUGAAGAAUUGCACCAAUUAUGUCACCUCGAUGCUCUCGACAAAUCUCUUGUCAGCUACUUUUGUUUGUAAGUAUUUCUUUCUUUUUAUUAAACUUCUACCUUCUUUAAUUACAUGUAUAUAAUCCUUACACACUUAGGAUUUGUAUGUAUAUAUGCAGGAACCAAAUGAGAGAGCUCAGGAUCAGAAAUGACAAUAGUAUUGGGUUCGUUGACCCUUAUAUUGUUUUCAAUGCUCCGCAAGCAGUGUGGACAGCAUCUCAUGAGACAGAAGUCUGCACCAAUCUUAUGAGGUUCUUUGUAAACCAAAAAUAAAAACAAAAAAUACUCUUCCCCUUCAACUUCGAGUGAGUUAUAUAGUUAUUAACUGCAUGCACAAGAAAAUUAUUGUGUGUGUAAACAGCUUUCACUUACUAUAAAUAUGUGUGUGUAAACAGCUUUCACUGGAUACUCAUGGUCAUUGAAAUUCACAAGAACCGGUUGAUAAUCUUUGACUCAAUGAGAAAACCACAAGAAAAUUAUCAACAAAUGGUAAACAUUAUUCAAAGGUACGUAAUGUCGAUCUCAGCUAGAAGAAUAUCAUGACAUGACUUUAUAAUUAUUAGUUCACGAUCCACAAUGACUGUGCGUAGGGUUUGGGAAAGAUUUAUUGACCGUGAACAUCUCAGUGGUUGUAAAGCGCCGCUUAAUAUAAUUCAUCCACAAGUAAGUUGUACUAGCUAGCAAACUUUCGCUAACUUUUAGCCUUCUUAUUGUCAUGGUCGUCAAUAUUUUUAUAUAUAUCGUACGGUGGUGUUUAAGACAAGAAGGGGAAAACAACCUAUGUGCAUAUUACGUGUGCAAAUUCAUGAUGGCACAAGUCAAUCAAACACCCACAGAGACGCUUAGAGUACGUUACAUGUCUCUUUUCAUUAUCUCCUGAAUUAUAUUGAAUAACUUAGAUAACUAAUACCUUUUUUAUUUAUUUCAAAUUAAAGACGGAAUGGUUGAGGGAAAAUGUCAUGCAAAAAGACCGAAUCAAAGCUAUCCAAGAGACGAUAGCAGGAUUUCUCUUCGAGCAACUGAUCAAUCCAAACGGCGAGUUUCACUUCAACGGCAACGAAACUCUUAUUCCAACCAAUGAUGAUCAUUUGUAUCGAUUUUAGACAUUGGGAGAAAAACUCUGUAUAUAUGUGUUACGAAUUUUGUACUUAUAUAACUAUAUAUAUAUAAAGCUUUUUACAUAUCUAUUUAAUUUUUGAUGUGGCCUAUUCAUUUUAUUAUAGGCAAAGCUUAAUUAUAAAGCUAAGCCUAUAAUUUUUCAUUUAUAUAUGCUUAAUAUGCGGGUAAUAUAUAUAUUAUUAUAUCAACAUAAAAUAUGUAUUGAAAAACCUAUUAUUAUUAUAUAAAAACAGUAAACAGAACCGAAGAAAUGAAUCAGAAAAAAAGAAUCCCUUUAACACCGGUUGUGUUAAAGGGUCCUGCAACGUGGCAACCCUGGCAGGACCUUUUAACACCGUUUGGUGUUACGAACCGGUGUUAAAAGGGGCUUUAGCCCUGGUUCCCGGAACCGGAACUAAAAGGUGGGCAUUUAGUCUCGGAAGGGCAGCACCGGCUCAGAAACCGGGGCAACAGACCGUUCCCGACCGGUGCUAAUGCCUGAUCCUGCAGCAGUGUAGAUCAUGGGAUGGGACGUGACAACCCUGGCAGGACCCUUUAACACCGCUUGGUGUUACGAACCGGUGUUAAAAAGGGCUUUAGCCCCGGUUUCCGGAACCGGAACUAAAGGGUGGGCAUUUAGUCCCGGAAAGGCAGCACCGGCUCAGAAACCGGGGCAACAGACCGUUUGCGACCGGUGCUAAUGCCUGAUCCUGCAGCAGUGUAGAUCAUGGGAUGGGUGCUCUACAAUACCCAAAUGCAGCUUGGAACCCCACCCCUUAGGUGGAUUGAAGUCAACGUGGACGGAUCUUUUCUAGGGAAGCAGGGGUUGGACUUGGAGCAAUCGUGAGGGACAGCAACAGGACUGUUGUAUUCUUACUAUGGAUGUUCUUAGAGCGAUGUGGAAGCAUAUACGAAACAAAAGCGCUAACCUGAGCGUUCAGGCUCUUUGUUGGGCCAUUCAGUGGGUCUACCACCAGCUAUCAUUAAAUCCGAUUGCGCACAGAUUGUCUCAAUGAUGUGCAGUCCAUCCAUGGACCAAUCAGAGAUUGGCUUUGUUAUAGUAGCAGAUGCAAAAGGACUCGCUCGCCUAUUGAGUGGAAGACAUCCCAAGUGAAUAGAGUUUGUAAUCAAGAUGUAAAUGCUUUAGCUAGUUUAGCUAGAUGUGGUAAACAUUAUGUGGCUUGGCAAGGACAAGCAACUACGUGUGACUAGAACUUGCUUAACACCAAUUGUAUGAACGUUUAUGUCUAGUUAAUAAAACCUCUCUUUUACUCAGUCAAAAUCAAUUACUUUUACUACUACUAUUUGAAUGCAACUAAUCCAACCGAGCGGUUGAGCCCUCUGUUAUCCAAAAGGUAAAGCACCUACAUGGUCCAUGGAGUUAAAUGCAACAGACCUGAAGAACCAAAAGGCACUUGUUUAAUAAUCAGCUCACUUGCAAAUAGCAAGGGUUAAUUAUGCUUUUAUUAUGAUAAUGAGUGGAUGCCAAUAAAAUAUUUUUAUGUUUGACUCUAAUACACUUUAGAACUAAAUGCACAUGGGAAUGCUACAUAUAAGGAUUUGUUCCUUACUAAUAAGUGAAAAAUACCAAAAGGGUACUCAUAUAUGUAAAUAUAAAGCUACAAAAACAAAAACUAGUCUUCAAAUUAACAUCAGCUGUUCCUGGUCAAGGAGAGCAGCUUUGCCGCUUGUUCCUUACUAAUAAAGUGAUGAAUACUAGAAGUGGUACUUAUAUAUGUAUGUUUAAAGCUAAAAAAACAAAAACUAGUCUUCCAACACAAUUGUUACCGAUCAAGGAGAACAGCUUAGCUGCUGAAGCCCCCUUAUGAGCUAGAGGCCUCAAAGGUAUCUGGCUUAUCACUACUGGAAUUCCGUUUUUUGUCGACUGCCAAAAGCAAUCGGCAAAGGCUCUAAAACAUGUGGCAAAGGCUUUGCCGACUGCUGUACACGUGGCAGUCGGCAAAGAACACGUGGCAAAGAAUUCGUCGGCAAAGAAACCUUUGCCACCUGCCAAGAGGAAAGCAGUCGGCAAAGCCUUUGCCACAUGCCAGUAUGGCAGUCAGCAAAGAAAACGAACGCCGUUGGAAGAUGACGGAGCGCAUCCCGUUUGCCGACUGCCAUGCGGCAGUCGGCAAAAGCUUUUUCUUAUUUUUUUUAUAAUAGAGUUUCUUUGCCGACUGCCUUGGUUGGCAGGUGACAAAGGCUCUUUUAAUUUUUUUUCAAAACAGAAAUUCUUUGCCGACUGCCUUUGUUGACAGGUGGCAAAAGGCUCUUUGCCGACUGCCUUUCUCGGCAGGUGGCAAAGGGCUCUUUGCCAAUUGCCUUCCUUGGCAGGUGGCAAAGGAUUCUUUGCCUGCCUUUAUUGAAAGGUGGCAAAGCUGGAAUAAGUAAAAUUUUGGUCCGUUUAUUCUGUUUUGCAUCACAGCAAUCAAAUCAGAAAUAUGAUUAUAUAACUGGAAUUCACAUAUAUCACACAGAUCCAUAUAUAUAUCACACAAAUCCACAUAUAUAACACACAUAAACCAUAACAAAGGAGUCUAACAAAUCCAUCAUACAACAAAUCGUAUUAAUCAAGCAUUCAACAUGAAACAUCCAAUAUGGUGUACAAAACCAACAUGCAUCAUCAAUCAGGAACUGCACCAUGCAUAAUGCAUCAUCUAUCAGCACGACGUACGUUGUCUCAUAUCAAGAAAACUAAACCCAAACGUGCGUGCGUUCCUUUGCACAAAACUGUGCUCAUCGUCUAUCUAACAAACAGAUAAAGAAACAUCAAGUGAUCCAUCGUAUCAUCAGAAAGAUCAUAUCAUCCUCUCAGCAAUUCAAGAUACACUCAAUUAAUCCUCUACCCUGACGGCUGCCCGCAGACGACUUGAUCUUCCUUAAUUCGCACCACCAUUGUCAGACCCGUCCCGGCUGCCAAACCUUCAAUCACCACGGCAGAUGGAUACCACCACAUGUUAGUAGUUAACAACAAUAGAACUUCAGCCCAUUUAUUUUAUUUUUGACAAGAUAAGAUCGAUCGAGCACAAAUGGGUGAAUUUCUUAAAUUCUAAGGCCAAGACUAAUAAGACACUAUAUGUUUCUAAUAAAAUCAUUCAUGCAACUAUACUAAUUGCCUACAACAUUGUUAUCCUUGAUUCUUACUUUCAAGUUCCCCAAUUUGCUGCAGAGACUUAGCCUAAGACUUGCGGGGAAAUAUUAAAAUAGCAUCUUAAAGUUAAUGUGACCAUAUUUAAAGAUAUUUCAAAGAGAAAUUUACUAUAAAACAAAAAAUACAAAUCAUGAAUGCUUCAAGGCAAUUAUCUCAAAAUUCUUUAAGCUAAGUGACACAUCUUAAUAUUUCCCAUGCUAAUGCUACAGUGAUAUUUGGCAGUACAAAUCGAGCAAAAUAAAAAAUGAUUCAAAGUUCAAUUAAUAUGUUCACACAACAGUCAAAGAGUUGGAACCACAAUUGAGCAAACCCUCCAUCGCAAUUUCCUGACCAAGCAUAGUAAAGAGUCAAAAGAAUGUUCGUGACACAAUAAAGUUAUUAUUGUACCAAUCAAAGCUUAAAGAGUAAUUUUUCCAAGUUACAACACAAAUUAAUUGGGCUAACACAAAUUAAAGAGUCAAAUAAAACAGCAGGCUAACUUAAAUUGAAGAAAUACAGACCAAUUGGGCUGGAAUCAUCCUUGAAGUUUGACAACUGCACAACCCGCACUCUCUGUGUAAAUUUAAGGAACUCUUUGCAGAAUGCAGGAUCACCAGCACAUUUAGAGUCAUACAAUCUUAAUUGAACUCCACCAUACAGUUCAGGCAUGAGUUAAAAAAAUGCAAAAAAUAAGCCAAAAGGAUAAUUUGUGCAAGAAAUCAUGCAUGUCAUACACAUAUCUACAUGCAUGGCUUUCACAUAGAAGCAGGAGUAGACAUCACGCUUUUAUAAUAUUAUUAUUUUCGAGAAGAUAAGUUUAACCUACACUACACUAGCUAUAUAUUUGGGUAUAUAGUUGGACUGAAGCUGCAGCCGUGCCAUACAUGUACAUGCAUGACUAUAAUUAGAUAGAUUACAUAUAAUUAAGCAGGCAAAAACAUUGUGCGAUGAUAUGUACUGUAAGUAUGUAUAUACCUAUUGCUACUUUCAAAAUAAUUAAUUAAACAAGUGAUGUUUCAGGACAGUGAGCCACUCUGCAGCUGGCCGAGUUGAGAUAAAAUGUAAGUAUGUAUAUACCUAUUGCUACUUUCAAACCAUCAUAUAUCAGUUAGUUCCAAUUUUUAGCUACAGGACAGUGAGUUGAGAUAAAAUGUAAGCAACCGACCCAAGAAUCUAAAGCAAAUCAACCUAAAAUCAAAUUAACAGAGUACCUCAAAUUAUAUUAUCUGUUAAAAUUUUAAACUUAAGCACUAAUAUAUGAUGUUGAAGGUGUCAAACUUCCAGACACAGCGCACCACCAGAAAAAUACCAGUACGCUUAACGGAAAUCACAGAAACGCAUACAUAGAGGACCUAAGGUGAAAACCCCAGCAUAUACUUGGGCCAAUGCUUACUAGAGAACACUACAAGUCAACAUCCGCGCUUAAGGACCGGAGCAAAUCUUAACAAGACGCUCCUCAACUAGAGAUCUAUAAGUCAACAAGCAGUUCAAGACAUGUUCAAUAUGGUUUAAGGGAUUAAUUCAAUUCCCAAUAUCCGAACCCAGCGCAGAGAAGUAGCAUAUAAUCCGAAAGCUUUGUUCGCUGAGAGAAAAACACAUCUCAAGCGAACAUGCUAACGGUAACAGGGGCGACAUAGGUGAUUUUUGCAAAAAGUUUGAAGUUAGUAGGAAUCAAACAGCCAAAUAGCUUGAGGUUAGAGUUUGGGAGCUCGGUUUCGCACAGCAAACGGGGAAGAGAAGGGGAUGGCAAUACGGGGAAGAGAAGGGGAUGGUAACUGGUCGCGAGCAGACGGUGUCGCACAGCAGCCGGGGCCUCCUGGUCGCGAGCCACUCUGCAGCUGGCCGAGGCCACACCGCGCGCUCGCCCGUACCGUGAGCAGGCGCAGCCCGAGGUCGGACCGCUCAAGCGCCCCGAAGCCGCGAGCGCCGCAUCAGGAGUCGGGGUGGGGCCGCGCCACCACAGAGGACCCGCGAGGCCGAGCCUCGCGUGCGCCCGCAAGGCCGCCCCGCCGCAGAGGUUCGCCAAGCCACGCACAGGCCUGCGGGCCGCCGCCUGGGCGAGCGCUCCCCGUCCCCGCACGCCGACCGGACGCGCGAGCCGCGCGCAGGCUGCGGGCCGCCACCGCUUGCCGCAGUUGCCGGCCGGCCGGCUUCCGCAUGCGCGCCCCACCCGAGGCCGCUGCUGUGCCGCGCAGGUCUCCUGGCCGGCAGCUGCGUGGUGCUCCUCCGUUCUCUCUCUCCUGUAUGUUUUGACGGCUGAUGAAGGGGAGAGGAAAGGGAGAGAGUGAGUAAAAUUUUAGGGUUUGGUUUGUUUUUAUAUGAUUCAUAUCCUGUCUGAACAAAUCACGGCCGUUGGAUUCAUCUCAACGGCUCAGAUCAGUUUGGCUUUAGGGUUUGCUUCCUGGGCCCUUUACUGGGCUGGCAGAAUAAGCCACAAGCUGGGCUUCCAGCAGUGCUGGGCCAACAGUGGCGAAUUUGAGUUUUAUUUUUCUAGAUUUAUUAUUAUUAUUAUUUGUUAUUUCCAUCAGCACUAUAUUUUAAGUAAUUUUUUAAGCUAAUUUAAUUCAUUUAUAAGUUUAUAUUAUAUAUAUAUAUAUAUAUAUAUAUAUAUAUAUAUUUGUUCACUGAAAAUAAAUAAAUAAAUAAGAGAGUAAAUUGAAAGUUAAAGUUGAGAAGGGUAUUUAUACCAUGAGUUGUUUAAAUGAUGAGAUCUUUCCGUUGCUAUUUAAUAUAAGUUUUAUUUUUAAGUGUUACAAUUGAGUUUUGAGUUUUAAAAUGGUCUCCUUAUAUUUAGUUUUGGCUUAAGUUUAUUUUCAGCAACUUAAUUAUAUUACUUUAAGUAUUAAGUAUAUAUAUAAGUUUAAUGCCAUCAUGAUGAUGUAUAUUCCCACUACAUAUAAAUUUAUGUAUUUUUAAGUAUUAUUUAAGUUACUUUAAGCGUGUUCUAGGAAUAUGUUGCUGGGAAUAUUUAAGAUUAAGAAAUUUACUUUAUUUUGGUGCAUUUUACUUUAUUUUAGAGCAGUCGGCAAAGAUUUUUUUUUGUCCAAUUUAUUUGUAGCCUCAACUUGCUCAAAAAAUUUUGAAAUUUUUAUCAUGGCCUCCAGAUGUAAUAAAAUGACACAUCAAAAAGUUUCAUGGUUUUUUACCUUUUUGGCUAUAUUUCGUUAAUUUAUUUUGUUUAACUGAAUUAUCCAAAAUUUUAAAGUCCUUGACAACGGAACAUGACUAUCCAAGUGUCGUAGAAGAGCUUUUUAAUUAUAUAAAAUUCAAACAAAGUUGGAAAUUUACGAAACUUAUUGAGGUGUCAUGUUAUCACAUAUGUAGCUUAUGAUAAAAAUUUGAAAAAAAUUUGGAGCAAGUUGUAAUGUUAGAUGUACAAAACCCAAACACUUCCGCAUGUCAUCACAUGUGAUCAUAUUAGAAAUGUUUGGAUUUUGUUCAUCUGAUACUGCAACUUACUCCAAACUUUCUCAAUUUUUUUAUAGCUUCCACAUGUGAUAACAUUAGGCCUCAAAAAGUUUUGUGAUUUUUUGACUUUUUUUGCUAUAUUUCAUUAAUUAAUUUCUUUAAAUUGAUUUUUCUGCUACAUAAUUAUACUUUGAACUAUAGGUGCAUGAAAUAGUAAAACUUAGCCAUUCGAAAAAUGAUAUUCAUGUUGAAUAAUAUAUUUUUAGACCAUAUCUAAAAAAUGACCCAAAAUUUGGAAGUCCUUGUCCACGGAACAUGAUCAUCCAAGUGUGGUAGAAGUGAUUUUUAAUUAUAUAAAACUCAAACGAAAUCAGAAAAUUACGAAACUUGUUGAGGUGUCAUGUUAUCACAUGAGAAGCCUAUGAUAAAAAUUUGAAAAACUUUGGAGCAAGUUGUAAUGUUAGAUGUACAAAACCUAAACACUUCCGCAUGUCAUCACAUGUGAUCAUAUUGGAAAUGUUUGGAUUUUGUUCAUCUGAUACUGCAACUUACUCCAAACUUUCUAAUUUUUUUUAUAGCUUCCACUUGUGAUAACAUUGGACCUCAAAAAGUUUUGUGAUUUUUUGACUUUUUUUGCUAUAUUUCAUUAAUUAAUUUCUUUAAAUUAAUUUUUCCGCUACAUAAUUAUACUUUGAACUAUAGGUGCAUGAGAUAGUAAAACUUAGCCAUUUGAAAAAUAGUAUUCAUGUUGAAUAAUAUAUUGUUAGACCAUAUCCAAAAUUUGACCUAAAUGUUUGAAGUCCUUGUCCACGAAACAUGAUCAUCCAAGUGUGGUAGAAGUGAUUUUUAAUUAUAUAAAAUUCAAACAAAAUAAGAAAAAUUACCAAACUUGUUGAGGUGUCACGUUAUCACAUGAGGAGCCUAUGAUAAAAUUUUGAAAAAAAUUGGAGCAAGUUAUGAUGUUAGAUGUACAAAAUCCAAACACUUUCGCAUGUGAUCACAUGUGAUUAUAUUGGAAAUGUUUGGGUUUUGUUCAUCUGAUACUACAACUUGCUCCAAACUUUCUCAAAUUUUUUUUAUAGCUUCCACAUGUGAUAACAUGACACCUCGUCAAGUUUCGUAAUUUUCCGACUUUGAUUGAAUUUUAUAUAAUUAAAAAUCACCUCUAACACACCUGGAUGGUCAUGUCCCGUGGAUAAAGACAUCAAAAUUUUCGGUGAGUUUCAGAAAACGACCUUAAAAUAGACUCUCCAACAUGAAUAUCAUUUUUCGAAUGGCUAAGUUUCAUUAUUUGAUGCACCUGCAGUUCAAAGUAGGAUUCUGCGGUGGAAAAUACAAUUAAAAGAAAUUAAUUUACAAAAUAUAGCAAAAAGGAUCACAAAAUCACGAAAGUUUAUAAGGUUCACUCUUAUUGCAUGUGGAGGCUAUGAAAAAAGUUUGAGGAAGUUUGGAGCAAGUGACGACAUCGAAUGUCUAAAACCUAAAUUCAAAUUUCAAAAAUAAAAAAUUUUGUCUUUGCCGACUGCCUAACGGCUUGGCAGGUGGCAAAGGGGACGGAGGUGAGGGCCGUUAGUUGGACGCCACCUUUGCCACCAGCUUUUCUUUGCCACCUGCCAGGCAGCCACCUUUGCCGACUGUCUUUCUUUGCCACCUGCUAGGCAGUCGGCAAAGGACGUCUUUGACGACUGCCUUUCUUUGCCACCUGCCAGGAUAGUUGGGCAGUCGGCAAAGAAUCCUUUGCCGAUUGCUUUUAAAAGCGGUCGGCAAAAAAAAUGUUUGCCGACUGCCCUACGUUUGGCAGGUGGCAAAGAAUUUUAGCAGUCGGCAAAGCCCAGUUUUCUUGUAGUGUAUGCUUCUCCAUCAGGCUGGUCAGGGCCACAUCAAGCUCCCUCUUGAGCUCCUUCUCCAUGUACUCUUUCAUUCCUAAGCUUCGUCUUCUUCUCCUCAUGAACAUUGAUUAGUUCAUCUCGCUCAACUUCAAACUCUAUCCACAUCCUUGACCCAGCAAUCAAAGAACUUCUGUACAUGUUCCUUCCAGCACAAGACAAGGAUGGAUUGAGAAUCAAAAAUAAAAGCCAUCCUGAGUCCUUGACAACUCAUGCAUCAAGAUGGAGCAUUUGCAUUAUUUACAUCCAACUAUAAAUUAAUAACACACCUUACCUUAUGGUAUUCGGUAGUUCCAGAAUCUACAUCAAAGCGUCUAGCCUUUGAGCGCUCCUCCUGCAUCAACUUCUCAAACAACUUUUCUUUAUCCUCUGUGGCCUUGUGAAUAUCCUCAAUUUGACUAUGAAAAAACUCCUCCUGGUACUUCAUCUAUAAAGCAUGGAAACAAGGUCAACAGGUGGUGAAAUCAAAAGAUGGAAGCAUCAAUAUUAUCACAAAAGUAUUGAGGUGCAAGAUAUAAGUGUGACCCUCACAGCCACAACAAACUCUAUCAUUUGUUACUAACACUACAGGAAAUGUGUCAUCUUUUGACAUUUGAUAUUGGUCAUGAAACCUAGAAAAUAAGUCAUAGAUUGUCUUUUAUGACACCAAGUUGACGAAAAAUGAAAUGUCAAAAGAUGCACGUCUUUAAUGACAAUUUGUGACAUAUAGGUGUUAAAGUCAUAACAUUAUGACUUUGAUUUUAGUGUAACAAAUAGUUAUGACUUCUGAUUUAAUAUCAUAGUUUUCUUGGACCUUGCCACGUAAGAAGAUGCCACAUAGGAUAGCUUGCUGAGGUGGCAAAGGCCAGAAACGUUAUAAAAUCAAAUUUGCCCUGUUUAAACCCAUGCAGCAAUUGGGCCGAAAUGGGCCAGCCCAAUUAAUUGGGGCUGAUUUUUUUUGCCAAACUAGCCCAUUAUAUUCUGGCCCAAAAAGUUUUUUAGGAUAGCUCAGUUUUUUUCAGCCCACGUCACUUUCUUUUCUAGCCAUUUUCAGCCUAAUAAGAUUUUUGGGUUGGCCCAAUACAAAACAGCCCAUUAUCUAGUUUCCAGAGAAUAAAAUUUGAAAUUUCAAAAGCCAUUGUAACAACACAGGCCACAUAAUAUUAGAUUCAGAUCCAGUACAACCCAACCCAAUCACAAAUGAACAAGAAUAUUACAAACACCAAAUUAUCAAAACCCUGGUCAUAGCCCAAAUUCACAUAACAUUACACAUGAAUGAAUAGCUAGAGCAAGAUCCUUGGUCAUAGUCCACAUUCACAUAACAUUACAUAUCAAAUAGCCACAACCAUAUCCCAAACGAGUUCAUAGUUCAUCUCUAGUAAGAUCCAAGGUCACAUAACAGUGCCAAAAUAAAUCUCAUGGUGUUCAAUUGAUUACCAGAUCACACAAAAAAAUCAAGAUCACCUCCAAAAUCAUGUCAACUGUGCAUAACAGUUAGAGUUCACUAUUGGGCUUCCCAGGUUGUUUACUGUUGUGCAUCCAAUGAUGUUGAAUUGCCACCAAGGAAAGAGUAGAAGAAUCCAUGCAUCUCACCUAUUUGCUUCUUCAACAUCUCAUGCUCUUCUUCCACCUUUUGUCUUGCAACCCUUUCCUCCUCUAAUUGAUUCACCACAUCAUCAACCCGAGCUCGAAUUGCUACUUAUCCCUCCUUCUCAGCCAUUAGUUUAUUCUCUAGUCCCUCCUUCUCAGCCAUUAGUUUAUUCUCUAGUUCCUUUACACGUGCAUCAACUUCACUAGCUUUGGUGCCUCUCUUAGAUGAUGCAGGUUGCAUACCAACAUUUCGAAGGAAAGUUGACUUUGGCAUAACUUGAAGUACAACUUGAGUAGGGGUUAGUGCAUCUUGCCCUUCUUGUGGUGGAGCAGCAGCUUUUUCCUCCAUUGAGCCUAGCAAUAGCAAUAACAGAAGUCAGCUAUAGGUACAAUUAAGCAGUUAGCUAUUUUCUUCAAAAAAACCAAAUCAGGAGUUUAUAAAAUUGUAAAUGGUUCGAGGACCAAUAGCAACAUGCAUACAUAUAUACAUUAGCCUCUAAAAGAUUGACAAAGGAAAUGCUACCAGGACUGCAUAGUGAACAAAGAUUCUGAGUAAAUAAGCUAUGAUUGGUGAACUACCAACCAUUAGCAUCCAUAUAUCAGCCUCCUCUAGAAGAUUGAUAAGGAGAUGCUGCAUUUAUUCCAAAUAUGUAGUAGCACAAAAGUUCUUUUCUUCAUUUUAGGCAUAAUUCAUUCACAGGCAGCUGAAAUGCCAAGGGAUGUUAGCAGCAGCAUGCCGGGCAAGUCAUAUUGAUAUAACCGACACAUAGUGACAUAUAUGUUCAUGGCACAAGCAUUCUACCAUAAAGGCGGCUAUAUUGAUCUAGUUCUAUUACACCAUUCAAUGAAUACACUAUGAAAGUUAGAGCAGGCAGCCACUUGAGUAGAAAAUAAGCACGGAAAUAGACGACAGAUUUCAUAAAUACACCAGCAACUAGAGUAACCUUUGUAUAUAAAAGAUAUACUACACCACCUCACAUAAGUGCAAUUGUGGCUUAGUGGUUGACUGGUUGAGGCGCCAUCCUCUAGUCUCAACUAUCCACAGGUUUGAGUCUGCUUGGGCUCAUUUUUUGGUCCGACCGAGUGAAUAACGCUGCAAUUAAAUUACAAUACAAAGGAUAUAUAAAGAAAUACUACAGUACCAAACGCAUAAACCGUCAUACCUUUUUUGGUCCGACCAAGUGAAUUACACUGCAAUUGAAUUAGAGCAUCUCCCAGGGAUUAGACAAAAACACUAGCCAAAUUUACUGAUUUAGCUACUCUCUAAAAUAGAUUUGACAAAAAAAUAUUAGAGUACUCCAACAGACUCUAAAGGAUAGCGAAUGGGGUAGGUUAUCCAGAAGUAGAGAGCGAAUAAGGUGGGAUGGAGAGCUACUAAAUUUGAAGAGUCGUUUAUAGAUUCUGUUGAAAAUGUUUUUUCUUCAACAAUAGCUAAAUUUACCUUUAGAAAAUGAUUUAACUAAUGUAACACCCAAAAAUUUUCUUCUUUUAAAUAGAUGAAUUUGAAUUAAUUAAGUAUUUUUGGUGGAGCAUUUCAAUAUAGGAAAAUAAUAAAUUUCAGGAAAUUAAAAUUUAAUAUAAGUUUAGGAAACAUUUUUGAUGCAUACAUGCUGGUGCAUUUUUAUUGUGAUUAAUGUUCUAAAAACAAAAUGUCAAUUUGAUAAAAAAUUCAAUUGGAAAAUGUGUUGAAAAAUUGGUUUGAAAAAGAAAAUGGCAAAAUCCUUUCCCUCCCUCUCUCCUCCUUUCGGCCUGCUCGGCCCAAAUCCCCCGCGCCCCCCUUCUCCCUUCCUCGGCCGCGGCCCAGCCGGCCAGUUCCCCCCUUCCCCUCUCUCACCCGGUGACAGGCCGGGCCCUCCUGUCAGCUUCAACCCCUUCAACCGCCCCCGCCUCCUCCCUCUCUCCCGAUUCUGCAGAACCGCAAGCCCCCCGCUCCCCCACGAUCUCCACCCGAUGCCCCGCGCCUCGGACUAAAGUGGAGAGCGCCUGCGCCCGAGCCGCCCUCCCCUUCCCCAUUUCUUUUCCCCUCGCCUCCGCUCCUUGUGCGCAAAGCAACCACCGCCGGAGCUCCCCGUCGGCCGCGCGUCCCUCGACGUUUCGAGCCGUCUUUGCCCUGCUUCGCGCUGUGGUGAGCAUCGCCUUCUCCCCCGCUUUCUCUCGGUGUUUCUCUCGUUUCGUUUCGUGGCCUCUAGGGCCUUAUCCGCAUGCGACGAGGGCGUCGCAAUGGCGCCGCCGCAGUCCGCACAGCGCGGGCGCUUCCCCGGUCGCGUUUUAGCCCGGAACGAGCUCGUCUCGUCUUGCUCGUUCUCUAGAUGCUCUCGGCUCAGAAAACCAUGGCCCGUAACCGCCUACUCCGGCGACCUUGCCGCCGGAAUCCAUGGCUGCGCUGCCGCAUUUCCCCCAACUCCGGCCGGUAGUGCCACCUCCCUCUCCCCCAUCUGAUCCGCGCCGUUGAAAUCUAAUCCGAAGGUCCAGAGCACCCCGUACCUCUUCGGGGUCACUUUUGUUAAAGAGACCCCCACCUUCUCUCUAAUUGCACCCGCAGUCCUCGGCCAGGGAAUUUUACGAAUUUAUGUAUUUAUUUAAAUCCGUUUAAACUCUGCUUUAUUUACAUAAUUGCCACUGCAUUGUUUUGGCCAUAAAACAUUCAUUUUAGCUCCGAUUUGACCCGUUCGAAUUGUGUUAGAUUCGUAAUUAAUUUCUCUACAUGAUAGUACCACUGUUACUUCAGUUUGCAACUUUUUAUUUUUAGGUUUAGGUUUAAUUAAUUAAAUGGCUAUAGGAAAUUGCCGUAAAUUCAUAGCUUGAUCGUUUUAGUUCCGAUUUUCGUGAUCUUCGUAUCUAUGUGAUCGUAGCAAAACGUAGGUUCUGUUUUCAAACAUUUUAUUUUGUUUUUGAUCUGUUGGUGUACUGUUCUAAUUAAAGGAUUGUUUGCUUGUAUGUUUGGAACCUGGAUGUGUGUUGUUGUGUGAUGCCAAUCGAGCGCUGACGAUGACGUGACCGUGGGCGAUCCGUUUUAUUCGGAGGAGCAGCAGGACCAGCAGCAGCUUCCCUUCAUCGAAGGCAAGUAUAACAUGGGUUUCCCUUGUACACCUACUCACUUAAUUAAUUACGCAUCUGCAUGUGUCUAAUUUUGACAACCCUCAGGACAUCGUAGCUACCUGACUAUAUAUUUAUGACACCUAUGGGUAGAUUGUAUGUGGGUAGCUUUGCUAGUGCUCUAACUGAAUGAGACUUCACAAUCAUUCUGACUUUACUAAAUAUGAUGACACAUGAUGGUUAAAGGGCUAUGGUGCAAAUGACUUCGGUCAGGUUGACCUAGACCCUCCGUAAGGACUUCUUUGUAAGCGACCAUCCGAGACAUACAGUGCAACUGUGAUGGUUAUAUAGCUCUAACUUUAGCUCAGUCGUAGGAUCUCAUCUAGCUGGUUAGAGGUUACCCGAAAGGGCGUAAGAGGGGCUUGCCACUUUGGGUAUAGAACUACUUUUGUUCCUAUGUGUAUAGCCGUGAUGGAAAUGUGCCAUAGGAAAGGGGUGUCCUCUAUAUCUGCCUACCGAGGGAACCUCGCAGCCCUAAUUGGUUAGACGAGGCCUAUGGAAGGCUUCAUAGUAUUCCCUGCCUGCUCACCUUGGCAGUGUUAGUGGGUCUUGCAAACCCCGAGCAUAUGGGUAACACGACUUGUGGGAAAAGUGCACACCUCUACACAGAGUUUGAUCAAACUGGUAUACUAGCCGUGCUCUCGAACAUGAGCGACCUUGGACCCUUACGGAAUAGUUGGGUGUGGAUGGUUAUGGGGGAUGACUUAUGAAAAUGUGAUGCACUGAUCGUGGUGAUUAAUGUGGUUUAACCGUGGUAGUGAUGGUGUUAACCGUGAAGGUUAACGGUGAUGUUAUCACGUAAGCAUGUGGGAUAAUCGAGAGCUAAAGCAUAUUUUUUGAAUAAAUAGGAUUGACCAACUAAAAUGCUAACUGCCACAUAAAAUCAUUUGUUAUGCUUGCAGAGUACGAGAUGUACUCAUGUUUGUCUCUAUAUUUAUUUUUAGAUAAAAAUCCCAGAUGGGUAACAGAUGACAGCUACUAUGAGGAAUUCCUAGAGGACUUCUAGGUUGACGAUCCACCAGUCGGUCGUCCCUAUGUUGGAGCUACCAAGUUAUAGUUAGAUAUGAGUUUUAUUUCUGCUCGUUGCCAGACUUUGAUGUUCGUGCUGUAAUGAUCGCUAUGUAAGACACUUGUGAUGAUACUUCUGUAAAUUUGUCGACUUGUGUGCGUGACUAUUCCUGGGGCGCACAUGAGGUUUAUUGUACUCAAAUUUAUCCUUAAAUUUGGGUGUGACAAAUUGGUAUAAAAGCAAGGCUGACUGUAGGACACAAACCUAGGUAGAAACGGUCGAUCUUAGGAUUUUCUUUUUGCUUUAUUUAUUUCACUGCUUACUUCACCUUCUUGUUAUUUUAUUAAAAUUUUAUAUUCUUAUCCAUUGUUCUAUUUAUGUAAACUUAUUGAUUCUAAUUCUUAAAAUAAAAUUUAUAGAUGCCUCGUCGCAGCGCAGCCGUGUACCGUGCCCUCUUCACCGUCGCUCGUGCCCCGCCCUAUUGCACCAGCACCUGUACCAGCACCUGUACCCGUACCAGUACCUGUACCUGAGCCUGAGGUCGUCGCCUCUGCUGGCGGCGAGAAGGAGGAGCCCAUGGACCUGGAGUCUCCUGCGCCUACACCUUCUGCACCUACCCGGGUGGCGGUACCGAUCCCACAGGUCGACGCUCCAGUUCUGCCUGCUGCACCUGCGCCUACACCGCACGCGUCUACAGGUUCAGCGCUGACUUUUCAGCACCCACAGGUUGUCCCAAAGAUGGGAUGGACCUCCAGGAACAAGUUUAUGGUUGCUGACGAGGAUGCUCACUACCACACUCUGCUCACAGGUGUGUUGGCAAGCUACUACCCAGAGUUUGCUGCCACCGUUCGCUACCUCUGCUCGGAGCAUAAUCAUCCACUGGAGAGCACUUACUGAAAGGCCGAGGUGAUCAUCACAGCUCGGAACAAUGUGGACAACUCAGACGAGGUGGAGUCCAUCCAUGAGAGCAAGGUUAGGCGUGCUUCUGCCUAUGAGAGCAUGGAGGAUGCAGCCCAAGCUGCAUACUUUCACUACCAUGGUCGCCGUUUUGUGGCCAUGCAGGAGGAUAGGUACAGGUUCCUUCCCCGCAACGAUCCAGAUGGCAGGACAUGGCAUGUCCUGGCACCUCCUCUUGCUGAUCCUACUUUGGACACUACAGGGAGGCACGUUAGUGCCAUCCAUGAGAUGAAUGUGGCACUUAGGCAGGAGCUGCGUGCUUCACAGUAGGCGAGAAAGCGCCUCUAGCAGCAGGUGGAUGAGCUGCGUGCUCAGCUUGGACAGCCACCCAUCUACAAGAAGAAGCCCCGCAAGUUCGUUUUGCAGGAUAGAGCUCCCUAGAUGUCCCAGUACGUUCUAUUUAGACGUUAGAACGAGUGCAUGGUUUGGUUAUGUGUGGCGUGUGAACUUUCAGUGUGUUGCUGUUCGUGAUUAUGAACAUUUGUGAUUUGGAGUUUUUGUUUGAUUGUGGGAACAUGUGGGCCUGUCCGCAUGUUUCUAAAGUUUAAUCUUAGUAGUAAAUGUUGAUUAAUGUGAGGUUGGGCUACUUUAUCAUUGUCUCAGCCAUGCUGAUUCUGGAGCAGUCUGUGAUGUUUAUUCUGUAUCUCAUAUCUGGUUCAGUCAAAAAUUACGAAGUUUUUAUGGGGAAAACCAGACUGACAUAUCUUUCAUCUUCAACUGCAAUCAACUCAUUAUCUAUUCGGGUCUGUGAGAUAUCUCUGUUUUAAUCUGCUGUAUCCGCGCAGACUGAGAACCAAAGCAGAAACUGAUUACCUACAGUUUUGUCUCUGUUACUGUUGGAACCAGUAAAUGAGGUCUGAAUAAAGUUUGUAGGGAACUUCUUAAACUUUCCAACGAUGUAUGCCAUGUCCCUAUUGGAUCUCUAGAGUUUGAGAUAAACACAAUUUACUGACCUGCUGAUUUUGAAACUGGUCCAGAAAACUGCUAGUCUUGUUUUUAUUCAUUAUAAGCGAUGAAUAAUUAUUUUGGAAGAUCACUAAAAGCCGUGAAUCUUUGUUGGAAGCAGAUGGAUGCCGAAGGAGCAGGCGCUGGUCGUGGACAUGGCCGUGGCCGCGGUCGUGGCCAUGGACGUGGUGUACCUGAGAAUCCGCCACCACCACCGCCGCCGAUGACCAUCGAGCAACUCAUGGGGACGCAAGCCAAUCUGAUGCAAGCUAUGAUGAAUCACAUGAACAAUAAACCUGUAGCAGCACCACCGCCGGUCCAGGUCCGCGACAAGCGUGGAGAGUUCUUGAAAGGACGUCCCUCGGUGUUCACCCAUGCCUCUGAUCCACUGGAGGCAGAUGACUGGUUAAAGGCGGUCGAGAAACAGUUGAACAUAGCCCAAUGCAGCGACCUGGAGAAAGUGCUGUAUGCCUCAGGCCAGCUGCAAGGAUCUGCCCAGGAGUGGUGGGAGUCCUAUCAAUAUGGACGCCCGAACAAUGGUCCACCAGUUAUCUGGAAGGAGUUUACUGAGGGGUUCAGGUUCCAUCAUAUCCGAGAGGGUCUAAUUGAGUUGAAGGCAGAAGAGUUCCAGUCUCUCAAGCAAGGAUCGAUGAUAGUCAGUGAGUAUCAUGAUAAGUUUGCACAAUUGUCACGAUAUGCUCCAUAUGAGGUGGCCAGGGAUUCCGAAGAGCAGCGCCUUUUCUUGAACGGCUUACAUGGUGGAUUGCAGCUGCAGCUGAUAAGCAACACCUAUCCCUGUUUCCAAGAAUUGGUGAACCGCGCUAUUGUCAUCGAAAACAAGUGCAAGGAGAUGGACGCGAAGAAGAGGAAGCUCCAGGGGCAGCCGUCGGGAAGCAACACUCAUCCACGUGCAUACCCUCAGUAGGGAUUCCCUCAGCGCAACCAAGGACCACCGAAUCAGUGGAACCGUGGUCAGUUUCCUCAGCGUCCUCAGUACUAACAUCAGUACAGCCACCAGAACCAGCAACGUCCCUAGCAGCAGUAUGGUAAUCAGAGUCAGCAGUGCCCCCAGCAACAGGUCAGCAACCAGGCACCAUGCCAAGGAGUGCCCAACAAUGCUCCUGGCAAGAGUGCAGCACCCAGCGGCAACCCCAAUGCCUGUUACCGCUGUGGAGUGGUGGGACACUAUGCAUACCAGUGCCGCAAGAAGCAGAAUCCACCACCCCAGCAAAACCAAAAUAGCAAUUAGAGGCCUGCUUGACCUCCGUUUUCUUAGAGAGUGAACCAUGUGUCCACCGACACAGCUCAAGAAGCACCUGAGGUUAUGAUGGGUAUGUUCAACAUCAUCUCCAUCCCCGCUACCGUACUAUUUGAUUUUGGUGCUUCACAUUCUUUCAUCUCCCAAGCAUUUGUUAGAGUGCAUAGCAUCCCACUUUGUGCACUGAAAAAUUCCAUGCUAGUAAAUUCACCGGGAGGCAACAUGCUAGCUAAUUACUAGAGCCCCUCCACUAGUAUAUCCUUAAGGGGGGUAGAUUUCAAGGUGAAACCUAUUGUGUUAAGAACCAUGGGAAUUGACCUCAUACUUGGAAUGGAUUGGAUGAAGCAGCAUGGGUCAAUAAUUCAGUGUCAGGAAAAGUCUGUGGUUGUGACAUCACCAGGUGGGGACAAAAUAAGUGUAGAUGUGGCAGUGCAACCUCAGCCGACUGCUAUAGUGAAUUAGCUAAGUGGUGCUAAUCUAGAAGACCAGGUGGUGGAUGAAUUUCCAAAUGUGUUCCCGGACGAGUUGCCAGGUAUGCCACCUGACCGUGACAUUGAAUUUCUUAUUGAGCUUUUACCUAGAACUGCACCCAUAGCAAAAAGACCAUAUAGAAUGGGGGUAAAUGAAUUAGAGGAACUUAAGAAUCAGCUUAAGGAAUUGCAAGAAAAAAGGGUUUAUUUGUCCAAGUUCUUCACCCUGGGGUGCACCGGUAAUCUUUGUUGAUAAGAAAGAUGGCACUAGGAGGAUGUGUGUGGAUUAUCGGUCAUUAAAUGAAGUCACUAUUAAAAACAAGUACCCAUUGCCUAGAAUAGAUGACUUAAUUGACCAACUGAAAGGAGCUUGUGUGUUCUCCAAAAUUGACCUCCGAUCUGGCUAUCACCAGUUGAAAAUCCGUGCUACUGACAUACCUAAGACAACAUUUACCACGGUAUGGCUUGUAUGAGUAUACAGUCAUGUCAUUUGGGUUGACCAAUGCACCUGCAUACUUCAUGUAUAUGAUGAACAAGGUGUUCAUGGAGUAUUUGGAUAAGUUCGUGGUAGUAUUCAUUGAUGAUAUAUUAAUCUUCUCCAAAACAAAGGAAGAACAUGCUGAACAUCCGAGACUGGUCUUGCAAAAGCUUAGAGAGAAUAAACUGUAUGCUAAGAAAAGCAAGUGUGAAUUCUAGUUAGAUGAGGUCUCAUUUUUGGGACAUGUGGUCUCUAACGGUGGAAUAGCCGUAGACCCUAGUAAAGUGCAAGAUGUGUGGAAUUGGAAGCCUCCAACCAAUGCUAGUGAAAUCCGUAGCUUUUUGGGACUAGCUGGAUAUUAUAGGAGAUUUAUUGAAGGGUUCUCUAAGUUAGCCAAGCCCAUGACAGCCCUACUAGAGAAGAGUGCCAAGUUUAUUUGGUCAGAUAAGUGCCAAGAAAAUUUUGAGGAGCUAAAGAAAAGGUUGACGACAGCCCCAGUGUUGACCUUACCAGAUUUGAGUAAAACCUUCUCUAUUUACUGUGAUGCAUCUCGCCUAGGCCUUGGAUGUGUGCUUAUGCAAGAAGGAAGAGUAGUGGCCUAUGCAUCCAGACAGUUGAGAAAACAUGAGCUGAACUAUCCAACUCAUGAUUUGGAGCUAGCUGCCGUGGUUCAUGCUCUAAAGAUUUGGAGGCAUUAUUUAAUUGGACACAAAUGUGAUAUUUAUACGGACCACAAAAGUUUGAAGUAUAUUUUCACACAGUCAGAUCUGAACCUAAGGCAACGCCGCUGGUUAGAAUUAAUAAAGAAUUAUGACCUAGAAGUGCAUUACCAUCCUAGGAAGGCAAACGUUGUUGCCGAUGCACUUAGUCGAAAGAGCUAUGCCAAUGGGCUUCAACUGACCUUCAUUCCUACAAAGUUGCUAGCUAAAAUAGAAUAUCUCAAUUUGGGUCUAGUGAACAACACUAUUGAAUUGGAGUUAGAGCCCACCUUAGAGCAAGAAAUCCGCAAAGGUAAGUUGGAGGAUGAGAAAUUAAAAGAAAUUACAGAGAAUGUAGUGCUUGGAAAAGCACCCGGUUUCAGGUUGGAUGAAAAUGGUACACUAUGGUUUGGAAAGAGAAUAUGUGUGCCCGAAGUGAAAUCCAUCUGAGAUGCAAUCCUGCCUGAAGCACAUGACUCUGCAUAUUCAAUACACCCUGGAAGCACCAAGAUGUAUCUAGAUCUUAAAGAAAAAUAUUGGUGGUAUGGGUUAAAGAGAGAUGUGGCAGAGUAUGUAGCCAUAUGUGAUAGUUGUUAGAGGGUAAAAGCCGAGCACCAAAGACCUGCAGGGUUGUUGCAACCAAUGCAAGUGCCUGAAUGGAAAUGGGAAGAAGUAGGUAUGGAUUUCAUCACUGGAUUGCCCGCACUUAGUGUGGGUAUGAUUCGAUUUGAGUAAUAGUGGAUCGACUCACUAAAGUUGCUCACUUUUUACCCGUUAAGACCAACUAUGAUGGUGCAUGUUGACUGUUCUUAAGUAUCAGUUUUAAUUAUCAAAUAAACAAGAGAAAGGACCAAUAUACAAACAACACCUAGAAUUAGGGUUUGAUCUGACAGAAUUCCACGAGUUUUGUUGUUUAUCUGUUUCUGCAGGGGGUUAUCAGGAAAUAAGGAAGAAAGGCCCACAUGUCGGGAUUACAUAGAGAUAUCAACGCACCGCGCAAUUUUCUACCAUCUAGAAGACUCCAGAAGCCACGAAAACAAAGCGGAGGCCGAAAGGGGCCUGGCCUAGGGCGCCCGCCCCCCUCUGUACUCCAAUCGGGACUCUUUUCGCGGACGACGCUCCACCGACCUAAAGGAUCAAGGAUAACCGUCCAAACAAUGUCGGUUUGAUCCAAUGGCUCACGUUGACUUGAGGAGACUAUAAAACCAGACCCCCUGGCCCCUGGAGGAGACAAGUUCAUCAUAGAGUUGAGAGGAGCCCUCGAAGGAAUACCUCUCCUCUAAAUAAAAUUUUGUUUUAGGCUUAGCAUCCAAUCUGAGUAGAAUUAGAUCUUCUAGUUUCUACUAGAUUGAGAGAGAUAGAGUGGAGGUGUAGAUCGGAGGAAGCCUGGCCUGUCGGUGUCUACUCCGAGGUUGUACCUGCGGGAUCAAGUUCUCCUAACCCGAAGCUUGCUCCUAGGAUUGUUCAGUAUUUUGACUUCUAAAUUCUAGUAAGUUAUUGUUUUAUUGUUCUUUGGUUUAUGAGUUUACUUUAAUAUCUUCGCGUAGAGUUUAGAGUAAUCAUCUCUAGCGUAGACGUGGUGUUUGGGCUAGGAUACUCAUAGAUAUUCCCUGACUAGCUAGACCGUGGUAGUAGCAAGGAACGUAACAUUUCUGAGUUACCUUUGAAGACCAUAUCUCGUUAGCAGGAAGGAUAGGGUUUAUAGGUGCGGGUAGAACAUCCUCUGUGGUGUCUAGAUUCCAUUAGCCUCCCCAAUAGAACAGUAGAUCAUUCUUACCAAGGUUAGAAAGAGAUUACAGUUGUAGUCUUCUCUAUUUAUCACUCACAUCGAGAAACAUUCUUUGUAGCCUAAAGGUUAUUAGUAAUAGACCAGGUUAGUCAGAUGCACUCUUUCUCCUAGUGGUAAAAAAAUAAAUACGAUACUCUGGAUAACCUCACGGGUGAAGUGCUCACCGAUAUCCGUGCGCUUGCGGAUCAAUUCCUUAUUGCGUUCCCAAAUAUCAACAAACAUUUCUGGCGCCGUUGCCGGGGAGAAAGACGGUUUGCUGAGAUAACUUUGAGUCUUACUACUAGCUUGUAUCUAUACUUUUACCUUUUCUUGUCUUUUAUAUUCUUUAUUUAUUUUCUUUACUCUUACCUUAUGGAAAACCAAGAUUCUAAUCAAUCCAUGAAUCUGCAAUCCCUUCAGUAACUGACCUUUUACCAUGGGAGUCAUCACAACCUAUCCAAACAUCCCAGUAUAGGUUAAGUUCUAGGUUGAUUGGCAUGAUUCAAAACCUAUCUUUUUCGGGAAAGGAAGACGAAAACCCUUCUUCAUAUUAGAGAUUUUGAGCAAACAUGUGAUUGUCAUCGCAUUGAAGGCAUUUCUGAUAAAACUUUACGUUGGAAGCUUUUUCCUUUUUCUUUAAGGGGAGAAGCUAGACAAUGGUAUAAUCAGAAGGUAAGUCAACAACGAGGUGAAUGGAGAGUUUUACGAGUCAACUUUUGUCUAGAUUUUUAUUCCCUCGACCGUACCGGCGACCUUAGACUCGAAGUCCUAUCUUUUAAACAAAAAGAUAAUGAAACUUUGGGAAAAUCCUAGAAACGUUUUUCUGAUCUUUUAGAAUCUGGUCCAAACCUUAAUCUUGAAGACCCUGUUCUUUUAUUUCACUUUUUUCGAGGUCUUCAGAAAAAUCAUAAACAAAUGCUACAUACAAUGUCUAGAGGUUCUUUCUUUCGCAUCCCUACUGAUGAAGCUAGAGUGAUCCUAGAUAGAAUCCUAGAAGCUGAGAUGGAUAAUACCCUUCAUGAUGAAACCCACGAAGCCGAAGUAGACACUCUGCCAAAUUCUUCAUCUACUUUAGCUAUCCCAAGUUCUGAGCCACGAAAGGAAGAAAUUCCAACACCAGACUUCAUGUUGGAUAUAGAAUCUGAUCUUUUUGCCGAUUUUGGAAACAUUUCAAACUACCAUUCUACUAACAAACCCCAAAAUGGCAAUUUUAGCAUUUGUUUGCCAACUGAAUAUCAAUUGAGAGAACUUAUCGCAGUCAUGAGUAACGAAUGGUUGGAGGAAUCAGAGCUUUCCUCUGAUGUGAUCCGUUUGGACACACCCUCUAUAACUAUACGCUGUGCUUAUGAUUCUGAUCGAUUCGAUGCUCUCUAUAAUCCUGUUGUGGGGAUCAACAUCAUGUCUGAAUCUUUUGCACUUAAACUAUUUAAAAAUUUGGUCUUAACCCCCACAACAAAGGUCAUAAAGGAAUCUUCAGGAUGAUUAGUCCCCAGUCUUGGAAUUAUUAAUGUCCUACCUCUUAUGGUAGAAGGCUCCAUGGUUCAUUUGAACUUCUAUAUCUUUGAUACAUGGGACUUCGACCUGCUGAUAGGACAACCUUUUAGAAGACUCCUUUAUGAAGGUCAUACUGGAAAGCUACACAUUUCUUUUGGAAAAACCUUUAAAUUUCCCAUAAAAAUUUCACACUCCUUGAAUAAUAAGGCCGAGUCAUAUCUUUUGCCUGAUCCUAUGGAGGAGGUAAAGGCUGCAUCCCUAGAGCUUUUAGAUGAACCAGACUUAGAAGACGAAACUCCUUUCUUCACAGAAGAAGAGACCGAACCUUCUGAACCUGAACCCUUAGAUGAGUUUGCAGAAACACCUAGACCUCCCAUAGAGCUUAAAACUUUACCACCAGGUCUUAUCUAUGCUUUCCUAAACAAUAAUCUAGAGUUUCCUAUGAUCAUUAGUGAUAAACUCACUCAGGAGCAAACUCUGCGAUUAAUGACCAUUCUUGAGAAACAUCACUCAGUUUUCGGCUACUCACUCCAAGAUGUUACAGGAAUCAGUCCUAUGAUUUGUACCCAUCGUAUUCUGACAGAUCCUUCUAUUUCACUUUCUCGAGAGCCCCAACGUAGACUUAACAACACUAUGAGAGAGGUAGUUAAAAAGGAAGUUAUAAAGUUGCUGCAUGUAGGGAUUAUAUAUCCUGUGCCGCACAGUGAGUGGGUGAGCCCAGUGCAAGUUGUGCCUAAAAAGGAAGGCAUGACUGUUAUUAUCAAUGAAAAGAACGAGCUAAUUCCACAACGCACCGUCACAGGAUGGCAGAUGUGCAUAGACUAUAGAAAACUAAACAAAGCCACGAGAAAGGAUCAUUUUCCUUUACCUUUCAUAGAUGAGAUGCUAGAGUGAUUAGCAAACCAUUCGUUCUUUUGUUUCUUAGAUGGAUAUUCAAGUUAUCACCAGAUCCCGAUCCAUCCUGAUGAUCAAAGCAAAACCACUUUUACAUGCCCACAUGGAACUUAUGCUUAUCGUAGAAUGUCUUUUGGGUUAUGUAAUGCACCAGCUUCUUUUCAAAGAUGCAUGAUGUCUAUAUUUUCUGAUAUGAUUGAAGAGAUUAUGGAAGUUUUCAUGGACGAUUUCUCUAUUUAUGGAAAAACUUUUGAUAGUUGUCUUGAAAACUUAGACAAGGUUUUGCAAAGAUGUGAAGAAAAACACUUAGUCCUUAAUUGAGAAAAUUGUCAUUUUAUGGUUAGGGAAGGAAUAGUGCUAGGACACCUAGUGUCUAAAAGAGGUAUUGAGGUAGACAGAGCUAAAAUUGAAGUAAUUGAACAACUACCUCCACCUGCGAAUAUAAAAGGAAUUCAAAGCUUUCUUGGCCAUGCUGGUUUUUAUCGUAGAUUCAUAAAAGAUUUCUCAUUCAUUCCUAGACCACUUACUCUUUUGCUAGCCAAGGAUGCUCCUUUCGAAUUUGAUGAUGCAUGUCUAACAUCUUUCAAUUUAUUAAAGAAUGCACUCAUAUCUGCACCAAUCAUUCAACACCCUGAUUGGUCGUUGCCUUUUGAAAUUAUGUGUGAUGCUAGUGAUUAUGCUGUGGGGGCAGUUUUGGGACAAACUAAAUAUAAGAAGCAUCAUGCAAUUGCUUAUGCCAGUAAAACUUUGACAGGAGCUCAACUUAAUUAUGCAACCACUGAAAAAGAGCUUCUGGCUGUUGUCUUUGCCAUUGAUAAAUUUAGAUCUUAUUUAGUUGGAGUUAAAAUAAUUGUUUACACUGAUCAUGCUGCACUAAAAUAUCUGCUCACUAAAAAAGAUGCUAAACCUCGCCUGAUUAGAUGGAUCUUAUUACUCCAAGAAUUUGACUUAGAAAUAAAAGAUAAAAAGGGAGUAGAAAAUUAUGUUGCUGAUCACUUGUCUAGAAUGUAUUUUAAGAGUCCACAGGAAACCCCCAUCAAUGAUUCACUCCGGGACGACAUGCUCUACGGGAUUAACAUGUCUGACCCCUGGUAUGCAGAUAUUGUUAAUUUUAUGGUUUCAGGGUAUGUACCACCAGGAGCAAACAAGAAGAAGCUUAUUCAAGAAAGUCUUUCACAUAUAUGGAAUGAGCCAUACCUCUUCCGAGUAUGCUCUAAUGGCUUCCUCAGGAGGUGUGUGACCACUGAGGAAGGAUGGAAGAUCAUCGACAGAUGUCAUUCAUCACCAUAUGGAGGUCAUUAUGGAGCAUUCUGUACACAUUCAAAGAUCUAGCAGUGUGGAUUCUACUGGCCUACAAUGUAUGAAGACACAAAGCAAUAUAUUAGAAGAUGUGGGCCAUGUCAAAGGCACGGAAACAUAAACACAAGAGAUGCCAUGCCACUCACUAACAACCUUCAGAUUGAGCUCUUUGAUGUCUGGGGAAUAGACUACAUGGGUCCAUUUCCUCCAUCAAAGAAGUGUGAGUACAUCUUGGUGGCAGUUAACUACGUCUCCAAGUGGGUAGAGGCACUACCUUGCAAGCAUACCGACAAUAUCAGUUCAAAAAGGAUGUUUGAAGAGAUUAUAUUUCCAAGAUUUGGAGUCCCCAGAGUAGUGAUAAGUGAUGGAGGAGCACACUUCAUCGACAAACGCUUCUAGCAAUAUCUAUCAAAACAUGGAAUCCGUCACAACGUCGCUACCCCCUAUCAUCCUCAGACAAGUGGCCAAGCAGAGACUUUCAACAAGCAAAUCAAGAAUAUUCUUCAGAAGAUAGUGAAUGAAAUGGGAACGGCAUUGAAAGACAAGUUACCCGAUGCACUCUGGGCAUACCGGACAGCAUACAAGACUCCAAUUGGAAUGUCCCCAUACCAAUUGGUGUACGGAAAGACUUGCCACCUACCUGUUGAACUAGAGUUCAAAGCACAAUGGGCCAUAAGGAGAUGGAAUAUGGACCUAGAUGUUGCUGGAGAUCAUAGAAAAAUGCAACUAUCAGAAUUGGAAGAAUGGCAAGAGAAAGCAUAUCACAGUUCAAAGAUCUACAAAGAAAGAGUCAAAAGGUGGCAUGACAAGAGGAUCAAGAAGAAGGAGUUCGCACCCGGAGAUAAAGUAUUACUUUUUAAUUCCAGGGUGAAGCUUUUCGGGCAUGGAAAACUCCGGAGUAAAUGGGAAGGACCAUUCAAGGUAAUCAAUUCAUCAUCCCACAGAGCUAUCACACUUCAAAUGACGAAGGUACGUUAUUCAAGGUAAAUGGUCAACGUCUUAAAUUAUUUUUAGAGCCCAAUAAAGAAUUAGAAGAAAUAGACAUAGUCCAUUUUUACCUUCCUAUGGAGAAUUAGAUCCCGACAUUUUUAAUCUGAUGUUUUUGGGUCAUACAUAUAUUUUCCUAAUUAGUUUUGCAUCUAGAAACACGCUCGAGGAAGCGGGCCCACAAAGGGGCCAGACACAGGGCGGGCGCCCUUAUCAAGUGGGCGGGCGCCCAACUCCUGCCCCCUCUCGGUCUCGAUUUCCUCCGUUAUGGAAAAUACACUUUUGGUAAUCCGAAUAAUCCCUCAGAUGGAAAGUUUCCCACGCACAUCGACGGGAGCAACCCGAACAACCCCUAGAGGCACUUUUUGACCCCUAUAUAAAUAGACCCCUGACGUCAGUUUUCAAACACCAAUCCACACAAGCCUUCUCUUCUUCAUCAAUUAGAGCUUGUUUAGUCCCUCGCUGCUCCAAUGGCCGAAAAGUUCCACGAUGAUUGGGAAGUCGUCCCCUUCAACCUCAACAUGAAGCCUGAGGAAGACCUCGACGCCCGUGCUCUCGGCCUGGCCAACACAGAGCGGCAGCUAGAAGCCAUGCCAUUACGCCAACACAGCUCUACCCAAUCCUACCAUGCUCAACCAGUUCUCACCGCACCGCCACAACCCCUACUCCUCAAGGGAUCAUCAUCCACGAAGACCACCAUCAAGGUGCCAACCGGCACGAGGAUCCUUCCACCUAGACCCAAUGAGAGGGUCGUUGGAGUCAAGACCAACCGGAGUGGUGAGAUCAGCAGCAUCCGCUACACUAUGGAGGAGGAGAGGCCUUCCUUUGAAGGGAUUAGAGCAGCCAAAGUCCAUUUCAUCCCUCUAAAGGCAGCCCGAAGCAUGCUCUCAAUGCUUUUGAGACACCUCCCAAGCGUCGCAAGACUAUAGUAGAUAUUGAUGAGGACAUUCGCAGGCUAGACAGAGUCAUCAUAGACCUCCAGUCCUCGGUUAACUCCAUCACUAGGCAGCUCUCUAACCACAACACCAUUAUACUAGGCCUUAGGCAUGAUCUUGCUAGUGCCAAUAAGAAGAUCAAGGAAUUAGAGCGCCGCUAAGUUAUCUAGAUUAGAUCUUGAGGCAAUGCAUAUUAGUUAUCUAUCUUUAAAUUCGGUUUAGGUUUACUAUUAUCAUUAGUUUGUUACUAUUAUCGUCAGUUUGCUACUAGUCAUUUGUAAUAAAUGCCUCAAGAUUAAUAAAGAUUAUUAUUAUUAUUAUUAUGUCUUGUGUGUCUCUACUUUAUUUUUGUAAGAAAGCAGAAAACAAGUAUGGGGGAGAUGCCUCGACAUGCCAAACACACUUCGACUACACCACUCAAUGAUUCAGGUACACACUCUGCACACUUUACUUUACACAUACACAUAUCUUGGAUUAUGCAGAAUAUUGUUUCCGACAUGAUAAACUAAAAAGAUUAAAAUGUUUCUAAUCAUAAUUAAUCUCACCCUGUGAUAUUUCCUGAAACAUGCAAUUAUUGAAAAAUCAUUUUAAAACCCUGUGUUACUUAAGUUAAUAUGGAAUGUGAGAUGGUAGAGUAUGAGUUUCUUAUUCUUGAUAUCAUUGUUGCUUGGAGAAUUUAUUUCAAAAUCUUCAAAAUUCUAGCUACCAUCCUCAGUGUUUUAUAUGCCUGAUAAAACUGAAAAUAUUAAUUAUAAAAGUUAUCUACUCUGUAUUGAGUUUGUUCAAAAUGAGUUAGACCCUUGUUGAGAGAUUUAUCAUGCUCCUAAGAUCAAGACAUUUAUUCAGAAAGAUUCACUCUUCCGAAGUAUUAUUGCAUUAGAGGCAUGGGCUAUGCAAAAAUAAAGAUAUUUCGAGAAAACAAAAAGGAGCAAGUGCUCAAUAACCUCACAGAAAAAAAUGGACAAGUGUCCAGGAGUAGAAUUAGGGGUACCUCGGUAUCCACUUAAAAAAAAGAGAAAAAGAAAAAAAAAUGAUAGCCCAUGGUCCCUCUAAUAAGCAAUAUGCCAGCAAGAGUUGACAAAGAUUUUAAUUUCCAAAGUCUUUGAUCUAAGAGUAUGGCAUUCUUCUCCUCAGAUCCCGUUUUGAUCAAGCAAUAAAUGCAAGGUAAGUAUGCUUAAGAAUUUUUGCAAAUUAAAACAGCCUCAGUGAGAUAUAUAAAAGAUAAUGAGUGAUCUGAGAGAACCUAUGAGGAUAAAAGGUAUGCUAACUUUCUUUUCAAAAAUAUACGAAACUCCAAGUGACAGGACUGACAGGAAAAAACAUCUCUACUCUUAACCAUAUGCUACCCUGACUAUAGUACACGGUGGAUCUUAAUACCGUGCAAAUAGGAAGGGAAUGUUUUACCCCAGAUAUUGUUCUUAACCAUCCUUUUCUCGUGGACGAGUAAAAGCCUAAGUAUGGGGGUAUUUGCUGACGGUUCUUAAGUAUCAAUUUUAAUUAUCAAAUAAACAAGAGAAAGGACCAAUAUGCAAACAACACCUAGAAUUAGGGUUUGAUCUGACAGAAUUCCACGAGUUUUGUUGUUUAUCUGUUUCUAAGGGGGUUAUCAGGAAAUAAGGAAGAAAGGCCCACAUGUCGGGAUUGCAUAGAGAUAUCAACGCACCGCACAAUUUUCUACCAUCUAGAAGACUCCAGAAGUCACGGGAACAAAGCGGAGGCCGAAAGGGGCCUGGCCCAGGGCGCCCGCCCUAAGGACCAGGGCGCCCGCCCCCCUCUGUACUCCAAUCGGGACUCUUUUCGCGGACGACGCUCCACCGACCUAAAGGAUCAAGGAUAAUCGUCCAAACAAUGUCGGUUUCAUCCAAUGGCUCACGUUGACUUGAGGAGACUAUAAAACCAGACCCCCUGGCCCCUGGAGGAGACAAGUUCAUCAUAGAGUUGAGAGGAGCCCUCGAAGGAAUACCUCUCCUCUAAAUAAAAUUUCUUUUAGGCUUAGCAUCCAAUGUGAGUAGAAUUAGAUCUUCUAGUUUCUACUAGAUUGAGAGAGAUAGAGUGGAGGUGUAGAUCGGAGGAAGCCCGGCCUGUCAGUGUCUACUCCGAGGUUGUACCUGCGGGAUCAAGUUCUCCUAACCCGAAGCUUGCUCCUAGGAUUCUUCAGUAUUUUGACUUCUAAAUUCUAGUAAGUUAUUGUUUUAUUAUUCUUUGGUUUAUGAGUUUACUUUAUUAUCUUCGCGUAGAGUUUAGAGUAAUCAUCUCUAGCGUAGACGUGGUGUUUGGGCUAGGAUACUCAUAGAUAUUCCCUGACUAGCUAGACCGUGGUAGUAGCAAGGAACGUAACAUUUCCGAGUUACCUUUGAAGACCAUAUCUCGUUAGCAGGAAGGAUAGGGUUUAUAGGUGCGGGUUGAACAUCCUCUGUGGUGUCUAGAUUCCGUUAGCCUCCUAAUAGAACAGUAGAUCAUCCUUACCAAGGUUAGAAAGAGAUUACGGUUGUAGUCUUCUCUAUUUAUCACUCACAUCGAGAAACAUUCUUUGUAGCCUAAAGAUUAGUAGUAAUAGACCAGGUUAGUCAGAUGCACUCUUUCUCCUAGUGGUAAAAAAAUAAAUACGAUACUCUGGAUAACCUCCCGGGUGAAGUGCUCACCGAUAUCCGUGCGCUUGCGGAUCAAUUCCUUAUUGCGUUCCAAAAUAUCAACAGUGCAAAGUUAGUAAAAUUAUAUAUGGAUAGAAUCGUGAGCCUGCACGGAGUUCCAAAGAAGAUCGUGUCUGAUCGGGGUACACAGUUCACAUCACAGUUUUGGCACAAAGUCCAUGAUUCGUUGGGAACAAAGUUGAACUUUAGUUCCGCGUAUCAUCCCCAAACCGAUGGAUAGACUGAAAGGGUGAAUCAGAUUUUGGAGGACAUGUUGAGAGCAUGUGCUUUACAGUAUGGAACUAGUUGGGACACAAGUUUGCCAUAUGCUGAAUUUUCAUAUAAUAAUAGUCACCAGAAAAGUCUCAAGAUGGCACCGUUUGAAGCACUGUAUGGGUGGAAAUGUAGAACACCUUUAUUUUGGAAUCAAACUGGUGAGAGUCAGGUAUUUGGACCUGAUGUUCUUAGAGAUUGUUGACGGUCCUUAAGUACCAAAUAUAAUCAUCAAAUAAAUAAAGAAAAGGAUCCAAAUGCAAUCAACACCUAGACUUAGGGUUUUAUCUGACAGGAUUCCACGAGUUUUGGUGUUUGUCUAUUUCUGCAGGGGGUUAUCAGGAAAUAAGGAAGAAAGGCCCAUACGUCAGGUUUACAUAGAGAUAUUAACGUGUCCCAUAAUUUUCUAUCAUCUAGAAGAGUCCAGAAGCCACGGAAAGAAAUAGGAGGCCGAACGGGCCCGGGGGCAGGGCGCUCGCCCUCCCCCCUUAGGCGCCCGCCCUCGUACAAGCACCAAUCAUAGAAUGGAGUACACCAUUACAAAGAUCUCAUCGAGCUGAUCGAAAUGCAUAUAUUAUUUGCUAUAUUUGGAGUUCAGAAUCAAGAUAUAUUAAUAAAAGAAGGACUCCACGUAAAGAGCUGCGGGAUUAAUUGGGCCCAAAUCAGAUUUUGGUCCAUUAAGGCCUAUGUGCAUUUUAAUGAGAUAUGGUGGAAAGUUUAGUACCACAUCGCCUGCUGAACCAUAAAUGCACAGAGGAGGAGGACUAUAUAAGCAGACCCCCUGGCCCCUGGAGGAGAACAAGUUCAUCAUAGAGUUGAGAGGAGCCCUCAAAGGAAUACCUUUCCUCUAAAUAAAAUUUCUUUUAGGCUUAGCAUCCAAUGUGAGUAGAAUUAGAUCUUCUAGUUUCUACUAGAUUGAGAGAUAUAGAGUGGAGGUGUAGAUCGGAGGAAGCCCGGCGUCUACUCUGAGGUUGUACCUGUGGGAUCAAGUCUUCUAACCCGAAGCUUGCUCCUAGGAUUCUUCAGUAAUUCGACUUCUAAUUCUAGUAAGUUCUUGUUUUAUUGUUCUUUGGUUUAUGAGUUUACUUUAAUCUCUUUCGGUUGAGUUUAGAGUAAUCAUUGCUAGCGUAAACGUGGUGUUUGGGCUAGGGUACUCAUAGAUAUCCCCUGACUAGCUGGACCGUGGUAGUAGCGAGGAACGUGACAUUUCCGAGUUACCUUUGCAUCCCACAUCUCGUUAGCAGGACGGGUAGGUUUAUAGGUGCGGGUCAAACAUCCUUUGUGGUGUCUAGAUUCCGUAAGCUUCCCCAAUAGAAGAGUAGAUCAUCCUUACCAAGGUUAGAACGAGACUACGGUUGCAGUCUUCUCUAUACAUCGCUCACAUCGAGAAACAUUCUUUGUAGCCUAAAGGGUAGUAGCAAUAGAUUUGGUCAGUCAGAUGUACGCUUUCUCCCAGUGGUAAAAAUAUAAAUACGAUACUCUGGAUAACCUCCCGGGUGAAAUGCUCACAGAUAUCCGUGCGCUUGCGGAUCAAUUCCUUAUUGCGUUAGCAAAUAUCAACAGAGAUGCAGAAGAACAAGUGAGAAAAAUACGGGACAACCUGAGAGUAGCCCAGUCUCGACAAAAGAGUUAUGCUAACACUAGAAGAAGAGAUUUGGCAUUCGAGAUAGGCGACUGUGUCUAUUUGAAGGUAUCACCUAUGAGAAGUGUCGAGAGAUUUAAUAUGAAGGGUAAAUUGGCACCAAGGUACGUUGGGCCGUUCAGAAUUCUUAGGAGAUGUGGAGAAGUGGCCUAUCAGUUAGAAUUGCCUGUGAGUAUGUCGGGUAUUCACGAUGUGUUCCAUGUGUCGCAACUGAAGAAAUGGUUGCGAGUGCAUGAGGAACAAAUUCUAUUGGAAGAGCUUACUGUUGAAGGAGAUCUAACUUAUGAGGAAUAUCCAAUCAAGAUCUUAGAAACAUCGGAAACAGUCACCCGGAGUCGGGUUAUAAAGAUGUGCAAAGUGCAGUGGCACCGAUAUAAGGAAGAAGAAGCCACUUUGGAAAGAGAAGACGAGCUGAAACAAUCUUAUCCGUAUCUCUUUGAGUAAGCACCACCUCAAUCUCGAGGACGAGAUUAUUUUUAAGGGGGUAGAAUUAUAACACCCAAAACUUUUCUUCUUUUAAAUAGAUGAAUUUGAAUUAAUUAAGUAAUUUUGGUGGAGCAUUUCAAUAUAGGAAAAUAAUAAAUUUCAGGAAAUUAAAAUUUAAUCUAAGUUUAGGAAACAUUUUUGAUGCAUGCAUGCUGGUGCAUUCUUAUUGUGAUGAAUGUUCUAAAAACAAAAUGUCAAUUUGAUAAAAAAUUCAAUUGGAAAAUGUGUUGAAAAUUUGGUUUGAAAAAGAAAAUGGCAAAACCCUUUCCCUCCCACUCUCCUCCUUUCGGUCUGCUCAGCCCAAAUCCCCCGCGCCCCCCUUCUCCCUUCCUGGGCCGCGGCCCAGCCAGCCAGUUUCCCCCCUUCCCCUCUCUCACCCGCUGACAGGCUGGGCCCGCCUGUCAGCUUCAUCCCCUUCAACCACCCCCGCCUCCACCCUCUCUCUCGAUUUUGCACAACCGCAAGCCCCCCGCUCCCCCACGAUCUCCACCCGAUGCCCCGCGCCUCGAACUGAAGUGGAGAGCGCCCGCGCCCAAGCCGCCCUCCCGUUCCCCAUUUCUUUUCCCCUCGCCUCCGCUCCUUGUGCGCAAAGCAACCACCGCCAGAGCUCCCUGUCGGCCGCGCGUCACUCGACGUUUCGAGCCAUCUUUGCCUCGCUUCGCACUGUGGUGAGCAUCGCCUUCUCCCCCGCUUUCUCUCGGUGUUUCUCUCGUUUCGUUUCGUGGCCUCUAGGGCCUUGUCCGCGUGCGCCUAGGGCGUCAGCAAUGGCGCCGCCGCGGUCCGCACAGCGCGGGCGCUUCCCCGGGCGCGUUUUAGCCCAGGGCGAGCUCGCCUCGUCUUCCUCAUUCUCUAGAUGCUCUCGGCAAGGAAAACGAUGGCCCGUAGCCUCCUAACCGCCUACUCCGGCGACCUUGCCGACGGAAUCCAUGGCUGCGCCGCCGCAUUUCCCCCAACUUCAGCCGACAGCGCCACCUCCCUCUACCCCAUCUGAUCCGCGCCGUUGAAAUCUAAUCCAAAGGCCCAGAGCGCCCCGUAACCCUUCGGGGUCACUUUUGUUAAAGAGACCCCCACCUUCUCUCUAAUUGCACCCGCAGUCCUCGGCCAGGGGAAUUUUUCGAAUUUCUGUAUUUAGUUAAAUCCGUUUAAUCUCUGCUUUAUUUACAGAAUUGCCACUCCAUUGUUUUGGCCAUAAAACAUUCAUUUUAGCUCCGAUUUGACCUAUUCGAAUUGCGUUAGAUUUGUAAUUAAAUUCUCUACAUGAUAGUACCACUGUUACUGCAGUUUGCAACUUUUUAUUUUUAGGUUUAGGUUUAAUUAAUUAAAUGGCUAUAGGAAAUUGCCGUAAAUUCGUAGCUUGAUCGUUUAGUUUUGAUUUUCGUGAUCUUCGUAUCUAUGUGAUCGUAGCAAAAUGUAGGUUCUGUUUUUAAACAUUUUAUUUUGUUUUUGAUCUGUUGGUGUAUUGUUCUAAUUAAAGGAUUGUUUGCUUGUAUGUUAGGAACCUGGAUGUGUGUUGUUGUGUGAUGCCGAUCGAGCGCAGACGGUGACGUGACCGUGGGCGAUCCGUUUUAUUCCGAGGAGCAGUAGGACCACCAGCAGCUUCCCUUCACCGAAGGCAAGUAUAACAUGGGUUUCCCUUGUACACCUACUCACUUAAUUAAUUACGCAUUUGCAUGUGUCUAAUUUUGAUAACCCUAAGGACAUCCUAGCUACCUGACUAUAUGUUUAUGACACCUAUGGGUAGAUUGCAUGUGGGUAGCUUUGCUAGUGCUCUAACUGAACGAGACUUCACUAUCAUUCUGACUUUACUAAAUAUGAUGACACAUGAUGGGUAAAGGGCUAUGGUGCAAAUGACUUAGGUCAUGUUGACUUAGACCCUCCGUAAGGACUUUUCUGUAAGCGACCAUCCGGGACAUACAGUGCAACCGUGAUGGUUAUAUGGCUCUAACUUUAGCUCAGUAGUAGGAUCUCAUCUAGCUGGUUAGAGGUUACCCGAAAGGGUGCAAGAGGGUUGCCACUUUGGGUAUAAAACUGCUUCUGUUUCUAUGUGUAUAGCCGUGAUGGAAAUGUGCCAUAGGAAAGGGGGUCCUCUAUAUCUGCCUGCCGAGGGAACCUCGCGGCCCUAACUGGUUAGACGAGGCCUAUGAAAGGCUUCAUAGUGUUCCCUGCCUGCUCACCAUGGCAGUGUUAGUGGGUCUUGCAAACCCCGGGCAUAUGGGUAACACGACUUGUGGGAAAAGUGCACACCUCUGCGCAGAGUUUGAUCAAACUGGUAUACUAGCCGUGCUCUCGGACAUGAGGGGCCUUGGACCCUUACGGAAUAGUUAGGUGUGGAUGGUUAUGGGGGAUGACUUAUGAAAAUGUGACGCAUUAAUCGUGAUGAUUAAUGUGGUUUAACCGUGAUGGUGAUGGUGUUAACCGUGAAGAUUAACGGAGAUGUUAUCACGUAAGCAUGUGGGAUAAUCGGGAGCUAAAGCAUAAUUUAUGAAUAAAUAGGAUUAAAACAUUGACCAAAUAAAAUGCUAACUGCAGUGGCCAGUGUCUGACCUUUUUGAGCCACAUAAAAUCCUGUGUUAUGCUUGCGGAGUAUGAGAUGUACUCACGCUUGUCUCUAUAUUUCUUUUUGGAUAAAAAUCCCGGAUGCGUAAUAGAUGACAGCUACUAUGAGGAAUUCCCGCAGGACUUCUAGGUUGGCGAUCCACCAGUCGGUCGUCCCUGUGUUCGAGCUACCAAGUUAUAGUUAGAUAUGAGUUUUAUUUCCGCUCGUUGCCAGACUUUAAUGUUCGUGUUGUAAUGAUCACUAUGUAAGACACUUGUGAUGAUACUUCUGUAAAUUUAUCGACUUGUGUGCGUGACUAUUCCUGGAGUGCAUAUGAGGUUUAUUGUACUCAAAUUUAUCCUUAAAUUUGGGUGUGACAGCUAUUCUCUUGAAGAUGCUCUUACAAUACAUUUUACACUUUUGGCUCGCAAAAAAAAGAAUUACAAUACAAAAGAUACAUAAAUUAAACAAAACACUACACUACCAAUCGCAUAAACCGUCAUACCUAAGUGGAUGCAUUUGUUAAUUGUGUUGUUUGCGCCCUUGGUUCGAAUCUCCUUGGGCAUCGGUUUAUUUUUGUCAUUGUUGGGCAUCACUUCUAAUAAGGCCAGCGGACAUGGCUUACCGGCAUCGGUUUAUUUUUGUCAUUGUUGGGCAUCACUUCUAAUAAGGCCAGCGGACAUGGCUUACCUGCUGGGCUCCAUACAUACGUGAGGAAAAUAAUAUAUAGGUCCCACUCGAUUAGGUGGCAGUGGGACCCAUCUUGCCAAGUAGACCCGUAUGGCACCUGGAUAGUAAUAAUAUUUAAAAAAUUCAAUAAAAUAAUUUAUGACACACCAUUCUAGUCAUAUAUUUAUGACUUUAGCAAAUUGAUCGUUAUGACAUGAGCAAUAUUGUCAUAAUAUACUAUUCUACUAGACAUUUAUUGUGACAUAUAUGUGGGGGUAUAACCCCUAUACCCUUACGGCUAGACUUGGGUCAGGAGACUUGGCCCAUCACGAGACAGUUCGAGGCUUGAUCCAACUGCUCGGAGUUUCACAUAAGGAAACAAGACGUGGAGAUCAAGCCAGAUUCUAGUCGAUUAGAAUAAGAAUUGAUAUCGUAUUAUCUAUAGCAAUUGUAACCGACUAGGAUUAAUUUCCAGGACUAUAUAAAGAGAGGCAAGGGACCCCCCAUAGACAACUCAACUCAACACAAUUCGAUCCACAGCAAUACAAUCAGACGCAGGACGUAGGUAUUACGCCAACACGGCGGCCGAACCUGGAUAAAAUCAUUGUCCGUGUCUUGCGUCACCAUCGAGUUUGUAGCUUGCGCACCUGUCUGCCGUUAAACUACUACCGUGUGUAUACCCCAAGGUAGACUGCCGACUAGCUUUCGUCGACAGUGGCGCGCCAGGUAGGGGGGUGCGUACAGCUUCCCAGAUGAACAAGAUGGUCAUCAUCCCAGCUUCCGCUGCCGUGGCUGAAGGUCUCACAUUCACCAUCGGCCAGAUCACUUGGACAACUCAUGGUGGUGGCCUUACGACCACGACUCUGGAAGAAACUUAGAUCCGAUCUGGGGCAGCAGAGGCGAUGACCCCGAUCACGCCCACCACGAUCACUACGACUCCGAGGGCCCGACCUCCGCUCCCUCGCUACAAGGGAAAACGAGUCGACAACUUAGAGCUUCUUGAAGCCAUCGAUCGUGCCGACCACAAGCUUCUUGAAGUCUCCAACCUGGUGGAUUCGAUUCCAUGCAAGCUAGAUCCAGCACCAGAAUCGAGUUUUAUCAAUUCCCAUCGACCAACUCGUGCCACCACGCAUGAACGACCAGGGACGUCCUUGACGAUAACGUCGACCACCAGGGGGCGGAUUGUUAAGCUCAAGACAGCCUCACCAGAAGAGAACUUUCCUCGUGGUCUGAGCAACGCGGCCGAUCAGGUCUCACGGCAUACUCAAUCCCUAUUUGGGAAGAUGGGAUUGUCACCGGAACAAACCAGGCGGACAGCUCGUCACUUUGUCAAUAUGUUAUCCAUCCGCACUCUGCCAGAAGACAAGGCCACCAGUACAAACUCUAGCACAGGGUCUGUCCCUACCGAGGUUUUACACCCUGAUGAUGAAGGCUAUGACUUAGAUCUGCCGCCCUACCCCUUGGGUUUUUCCCAUUUUUCAGUCUUUCCACCUCGACGAGGAGAUCUGGUCUUCAACAUCAGCAAUGACGAACCAGUUGUCGACGGCGAAACCGACGAACAAAGACAGCAACGCGAGCAGCGCAACGCCGAUUGUGCUCAGCGACGAGCAGAUGAGGAGAGGCAAUUAAUCCCAAACAACCUUGAUGAUGCUUUCGACAUGGUUGAAAAUCAGCAAGUGUUCAAGACACCAAGCGCCAAUGUAGCUGUCGCCAUGGCAAACCUUGAUCGACUUCCAGAUACUCCAGAAUAUCAGGACGUCCGAUCUAACAUACGAGCACAUCUGAUCGCCGCGAUGGGAUAAACUGCCACUCUGCUUAAAAGGGUCCAAGCCGUCUCCUAUACGGAGGUCACCUCUGACCAGACUCAUCGCAACCGAACUUCACCAUGAUCCGGUGGACACCGUUGUAGCCGUUCACCCAUCAGCGAUCGCAAGAAGGAUAGCCAUCGCGACAACCGUGGUCGGGACGCUGGCAACUACCACGAGCAAAGACGUGGACAUGGUCAGGAGGUGAACCAAAACCGGGAUCUACGAAAAGGCCUCCCUCAUAGGGAUGCCCGCGAGCGCAUCAAUAGGCGCAUUACCGACAGAGUAGUACACAAAAAACGUGCGACGCAUCGAGUACGAUGCAGCCCACGGCCCCCCGGGCCUAAUACAGUUCUCCUCACACCUUUGGCAAGUCGUAUGGCCCCGCAAUUUCAAGCUCGAGAAGCUUAAAAAGUACGACGGCAAGGAGAACCCCGAAAACUAGAUCACUCUCUAUGAGAUCGCAGUCCGAUCAGAAGCAGGAGACGAGCACGUCAUGGCAAUCUAUUUCCCAGUCGUGCUUUACCAAGCUGGCCACCAAUGGCUUCUCGGUUUACAUGAGGACUCUUUUGAUUCUUGGGAGGAAUUGCGCAAGCGAUAACUUCAUUGCUACCUCUGAGCAACCCAGGAACAAAUACGACCUUGAGAGGAUAAGGGACAGGAAGAACGAUCCCCUGUGUGACUACAUCCAACGCUUCUCAAAUAUGUGCCUCAAGAUUCCAAAAAUUUCCCACGACGAAGCCAUAUCGGCUUUCAUCAAAGGCCUACGUUUCCACGAAGCAUUAAGAAGCAAGCUACCACGGUCGCCAAACUUCUUGCCACAGCCAAGAACUACGCCGAUGCCGAUGACGCAGAGAAGCUUAUCCGAGAGGACGUACGAGGAGCCGAGCAGCCUCCCCGACGAGACGACAACCGUGGACGCUUCGACAUCUGGAACCCCCGCCGUGGCGACAACCGCGAGCACCGAGAAGGGUGGGACAGAUGGCGUGACAAUCGUGACGAUUUCAGAGGCAAGCGACCUCGCGAUAACGAUCACGAGGUAAACACGGUCAAGCGUCCCAAUGGACGGCGCGACUAUCAGGAAGACUACAACAAGACACUAAAACGGUCGUGCAAACUCCAUCCCAAAUCCAACGAUACGAUGGAAGCAUGUCAUGUCCUCAAAAGCAUCUACACACAGCGGGCCGCUCAGGGGGAUGCCGCCAAGAAAACUGGGAACAUGACAGACCCAGUCAAGAAGACGAAGACGACGACCACGAUAGGGACCCACGACAUCAAUACGUCAACCUGACCGAUGUAGUACACUCCAUUUUUGGUGGGAAGGUCUCGAUCGAGUCCAAACGAGAAUGGAAACUCUUAAAGAGGGCUUGCCUCAACGUGGACAGCGCCGAUGGUUCGAUCGUCGAUCCUAAAUUCCCUCCCUGGUUGCACCAAGAGAUUUCCUUCAACAGACAGGACCAAUGGGCCGCCAUCCUAGAGCCAGGGCGCUUCCCGUUGAUCCUGGACCCAUGCAUCAACCGCGUCAGGUUCGAGCACGUGCUCGUCGAUAGGGGUAGCUCUAUCGACAUCUUGUUUCGCAACGGCCUGCCUGCUCUCAAGCUAACUCCGGCGCAGCUGAAACCAUAUGACGCUCAGUUCUAGGGCGUCCUGCCAGACAAAGCUCAGUACCACUUGGCCAGAUAACGUUGCCCGUCCAAUUCGGAACGCCAGACCACUUCCGCACAGAAUUCGUCAACUUCGUGGUCGCCGACUUCGACGGGACCUAUCACGCUAUUCUAGGCCAUCCUUCGCUCACCAAGUUCAUCGCAGUCUCACACUAUUCAUACUUGGUCCUCAAGAUUCCAACCGAGAAGGGCUUCUUGACCGUCAGAGGCAACGUCUACACGGCAUACAUCUGCGAAGAGGAAAGCUUCAAGAUCACCGACGCAAUCGACCUCUUGAUUCGCAUGGCAGAAAUGGUGGCACAAGCAACACAAAUCUCACCCGACUAGUGUUGACACUAGCUAACACCACUGAGAUACUAGGUUGUCAUCCCCAGCAUGGUGCCAGAGUGUACAAAGGUAUUUAUAAAUGUAAAGGCUCUCUAGAAAAUAAUUUAUUCUUUCCGCAAGCGCACAGAUAAAACACCUCAUUGUAGCAUUUCACCAGGAUAAGUAUUCCAGGUAUCGUUAUUUAUAAUUUUUGCUUAAGAGAACAAAAGGGAUGAAAUUAAAUUAAGGACAAAAUCUAUCAAGGCAUAGACUAGAGAUAAACUUGCAAGAACAUGAUUACUAAUGAGAAACUCGUCACACAGUCACUUACUUUAGCAGGGGGUAAACCAUAAAGAUAAUGAUAAUGAAUUAUAAGUUCAAGGGAUAAAUAACACAGCGAUUAGAAAAUAGACUACUCCUCAUAUAUGUAGGUGAUGUCGGAUUAGCUAGAGAAUGGAUUCUAAGUUAUCUACUAACUACUAAGUCAUAAAAGACUCUCCAUUCAUGUAUAAGGAACAUUGCUAAAGUAAAUCAGAGCAUCGCAAGACUUACUCCACAAUACCGGUUCUGCCUGUCCUAUCAACGGAGGGUGGACUAUAUAAGAAUCAACGAAGCUGUCACUAUCGCGAACUACCACACGACCCGGCCAAUAGGAUACAUUUGCAGAUAAAUAACAUCUAAGCACCACGCUCACAUGUGAUCUAUCACCUAACUCCCUCGCGUCAAGAGCUAAGCGCUUUGCAAACUUAUACAUAAACUCAUUAUCAAUCAUAACUAUAUCAAAUAUAUAACUAGAGCAAACUAAGAACAUAAUAAUUAGAGACAUAAUGCAAUUAGAACAAUAGAAUUAGAGAAAGAUAUGAAUAAUACCAAUCUUUAUUACCGAAGAUCCGAAUCCAGAGCAUAGUGCUCUACUUCUCUAAUUGCUAUCUAAUCAAACCUCUAAACUUGAAGGAUUAGGGAGUAGCUAAUUCUAAUUCUCUGUGGGAGAGAAGCUCUAAACCCUAACUUUGAUGGCUACCUCUGAAUAAUGAUUUCUUCUCUUCUCCUCUCUCCUCCAGGGGCCAGGGGGUCUGGUUUUAUAGUCCCGUCAAGUGAACGUGAGCCAUUGGAUCAAACCGACAUAGAUUGUAUGAUUUAGAUUGAUCCUUUAGGUCGGUGGAGUUUAGCCCCGAAAGAGAGUCCCGAUUGGGGUCCAACCCAGGGCGGGCGCCCAGGGCAGGAGGGCGGGCGCCCUGCCUCUGGCCCCGUUCGGCCUCCGCUUCCUUCCCGUGGCUUCUGGACUCUUCUAGAUUGAAGAAAAUUGCGCGGCACGUAAUUAUCUCGUUGUAAACAUGACAUGUGGGCCUUCUCUCCAUAUUCUCUGAUAACCCCCUGCAGAAAUAGAUAAACACCAAAGCUCGUGGAAUUCUGUCAGAUAAAACCCUAAUUCUAGAUGUUUGUUUCAUAUUGAUCCUUUUUCAUGUUUAUUUGAUUAUUAAUUUUAGUACUUAAGGACCGUCAACAAACUCCCCCAAGCUUACCCUUUGCUCGUCCCUGAGCAAAUAGCUAAACUCAGACGGAUCAGGAGUUGCUUCGAUGUUUUCUUUCCUGACAGGCACACAUGCUUUUACAUAAAAAUUCUUCCAGAUUAGAGUGAAGUGUUAUGGAGUUUAGUACCUGCACUUAAGGCUUUAAGUAAUUGAAAGACAAAAUAAUUAAGUCAAGCACUAUUCCUCCUAUUUAUACUUCACCUUUGUUCUAGAGUUUUUUUCAUAAGUUUUCAAAAUAAAACUCAGAGUUCCCAGCAAUGAUUCUCUCAAGUCUCUCUAUAUGUGGUAUAUGUGGAUCCUUACCAUAAUGUCACUUACCUAUAGCUAAUGGAAUAUUUAAGUGGAGCUCAUAGGCUUGAGAAACAACUUAUACAUAUGUUGUCUAAUCGAGCCAUGGAUCCAAAGGAACUCAACAUAUAAUUAAAUCAAGAUGUCCAUGUGUGGUGGAGUAGAUGAUAGUGAUAGUGAAAAUGUAUAAGUGAUAAUAAAACUUAGUUCUCAUUGCUCCUCAUAUUGCUAUCUCUCCUCUUCUUUGAUCUUUGCUUUGGGAGAACAUGGGCUAUCUUUUUCUUUUCUCUUUUUUUUCAGAUGGGUAGUAGAUACCCCUAAUUCUACUGUCGGACACUUGUCCAUUUUUUCCGCUCAAGUGGGCAUCUUUGUACCCCUAAUUCUACUCCGGACACUUGUCCAUUUUUACCUCUUGUCUCACUCUUUUUCUUUCUUUUUCGAGGUUCCGGGCACUUGCCCCUUUUUAUUUCCUCGCAUAUUUUUGCAUAACCCAUGCCUCUUCUGCAUUGAAUCUUUUUAGAGAGAGAGAAUAACAAUAUUUGGGACAGUGAGUGAUAACAUUUUUAGCAAUUUUAAUGAAUGGUGAUGGAUGGUGUAGUAGAUGUAUGCAAGUGAAUAUCUUUAAUCACAUGAAAAGCUCCUAAGGGUCUACACAGCUUGAUCAAACUCAAUGUGAAUAUAAGUAAAAGAUGUUAUAGCAAGUAUGGCUGUGGUAGGUAGUUUUGUUAUUCUAGGAACUCAUUAUGUGAUUUGUAAGUUUUUAAAAUAAAUCUCCAGAACUUAGUGUAGUAGGAACAGGAUAAACAGUAGUUCAACUUUAUAUUAUGCCUUUCUCUUACCUAGACUUUAGUUUUAUGCUUCCUAAAGAUAGUAAUUUCAGUUUUAGUAAUUCCUGGAAGAACUCUAAUAUAAAAGCUAGGUACUUGUAAGUAAGCAAAUAGAGCAAUUGUUCAUCAUUUCCAUCAUGCAUUUUUUUUAUUUUUCUAGAGAUUAACACUUAGCAGGAAAAUAAAGCACACUUAUCUACACACUCUUUUUAUUUUGUUUUCAUGUUUAUAAAAUGCAGUAAUUUAAAGCAAGAAAAUAUUUAUUGGGUUUUCUAAGUUUUUUUUCCUUAAGAUAAAAUACUAAAAUAGAAAAGAAUAAAUAAGAAGUGCAAAUAAAAACUUACUUGAUAAAUUGGGGAGGAACUCCCCCAAGCUAGAUGUUGAUGUCAGUCUUACCCGAUGUUCCAGAACCGCAUCAUGGUUGUGAUGUUGUCGUUCAUUGUUGUCGUAUCUUGUCUCAGCUCUUCUACUGCAGCGGCAUGGUCCUGGUUCCAUUUUUGUUGCUCUUCCAGGAGUCGUCCAUGUUCUGCUUGCGUGUUCUGGAUGUCGAGGAGGGUAUUGUCGGUACGAGUGAAGAAGGCACCGGCCUCUUGAUAGUAGUCAUUUGUGAAAGCGUAGGAGGCGUCGGAGUAUCGUCCUGCAUCAAAUUGGGGCGGAGGUCUGGAUCCUCAAGCUCCAUAUGGAUCAGUGGAGUACCUCCCCGUAUGGAAAGGCGGGUUUGUCCACUGGUGAUCUUGGCUCUCCAGCCAUGUCUCCUCUGUUGGCUCUUGUGGUUGCACAUGUCGAACCCAUGGGUCUCGAAGGACUCGGGGGUUGUAAUCGCAAUAAUGCAGGUGCGCUGCUUCUUCUGGUCCGGGAUCAACUCCAUACCAGGUGCGUUCUCGAUGGAUGGUCAUCCUUUCAGAUGCCACUCACUGUGGAGCUCUCUGGUUCACUGGUGUUGCUGCAAUCUCAAUCAAAAGAUUUUAAACAACGUAGAGGCCAAGGUUCGGGUUAGGUAACUGAAUCUUGCCUUUAUCAUCAUAUAGCAUAUACAUUAUGUUCCCCUCUUUCUUUAACAUCCAAGCUUGUCUAAAUGUGUCAUAGCCAUGGUAAAUUCUUAAUUCCUCUAUGAAAUCCAACGAUGAGUUUUCUACUAAGCGAAGAUUAAAGGCUAGACGAGUGAUAAGUGAAGUACAUCCUACUGGUCCCUGCAGACUAGGUACACUAAGCCAAUGUGAAACUAAAAGUGUAACAGGUGAAGUAGGUACUUUAUUAAUAGCAGCAUAUAAAAGUUGUAAAUCUCCUACUCUUACUUUCCUAAUAUCAUCACGAUAGAAAAGAUUGUACCCAAGCCAUUUGUGGAACAUUCUAAGAGUGGGGUGUUCCAUGUCACUGGUUCGGGCUUGACUAUAAAAAUUAUCUCUAGAUAUUUCUCUCCAAAACUGGUAUCUCUCAAAAUUGGGUAAAUCGGAGUCAAUGUUCAGGAUGCAUCUUGAAGAGAAACCAAGAUGGUCACUCAGUUCUCUCCAAGACAACAUAAUCUCCUGUUUGAACAUCCGAAAAACAAUUCCCCCCUCAUAAUAUUGUAAGGUGCAAAGAAAUUCGAGGGUGAGAAGACGAGAACCCAGCUUAGUUAUGUUCCAAAAUUUUGUCCAACCUAACAUCUGGAAAAUUAAGUCAAAUUCAGUGUCCAUACCUGUUUCUUGUAGUAAGAUUGGAUCAAGAGUAGGGGUGUUAAUGAAAUCUUUGUUCUUCAGUUGCUGAUAUACUUCUUUCUCCCUUCGGGUCUUCAGUCCAAGGUCUCCUAUCUUGAGAAGGACCUUGACUUGCUGACCUGAUGAAGAUGACGGAGCUUGUGUGGGUGUCGGGUUGACGCUCAUCUCUCAUGGGUGUGAGGAGUGUCGGGAUGAACUCCUUGCACCAAUGUUCUUGAGAGCCUUUCCUGCAUUCUUCACCUUCUUAAACAUCCUGUAAACAAAAGUUGGCAAAAACACAACUAGUGGAAAAUGUGAGAGAAAAUGUUAGUGGUCAGCUGCCCGGAAUGUCAGUAGUCCUGGGGUUAGUCGUUCAAGAUAAGUUUCUAUUUUGGCAGAACCUCCCCCUAAACAACUUUUACUUCCGCUUAGACAGCGGGAUCACUACUUGCUAGGUGAUACUCACUCUCUAUCAACUUCUUUCCCACUCUUCUCUUUCUCUCUACUCUCUUCUCUCUUCACUACAAGAGCUCUUUCUGGAAACUGAUACUUGUGUGGUUUUCUGGAGUGCUUGUGUGGAGAGGAUGGAGGUAGAAGGUGGCUAUUUAUAGGAGGAAGAGGGAGCAGGGCGGGCGCCCUUGGUAGGUGGGCGGGCGCCCACUCCUGGUGUCCAUCCUGGGUGUGCCUCCUCCACUUGCUUCCUUGCUUUGAUCUCACAUAGAAUAAUGUUGUGUGGUGGUUGUUGGAUGGUGGAAAGAUGUCUGGUGAGUGGAAACAUAUUGGUGGAUGAAAUUAUGUGAUGGGAUGUAUGUGAGGUGUGGUGUAUGACAUGUGGGACCCAAGAAGUGUGGGUCAUGCUUCUAGAAGGUUACUAUUAAAUAUAAUGCAAGAAAAUCUAUGAGAAUUGAAACUUAAUUAAAAUGAUAAUGGAAAAUAUUUUUGUGCCUCCACAAUAAUUAAUAAAUAUGGGUUGUUACACAUCAUAAAUAUUAUUUAUAUGGGGCUUUUUAUUAUUAUAAUAAUGCUAUGAAUAUAUAUGACUAAUGCAAGAUUUAAUUAUGCAAGAAUUUAAAUAUGAGAAAAUUAAUAAUGCGGAUAAAUACCGAUUUACCUCCCGGUGAGGGUUUGGGAUUUUUAGGUCCCCCAAGCUGGACCUCCAAAUAUUUUAAUCUUCUGAAUUACCUUCCUCCAGAGAUGGUGUCUCCAGUGGUUCUUCAUGAACUUCCUUCACUGUAGAAUCUCUCUCUAGUCUGGGUUUGAAUGUGAAGUGUUCUUCUUGUCCGUUUAUGUUGAACUUGAUUUCUCCUUUCCCGACAUCAAUGUGGGCAUUGGCAGUACUCAGAAAUGGCCUUCCAAGGAUGAUGGACACUUUUGAGUCAGGACUCAUGUCUAGUACUACGAAGUCUACUGGCACCAGGAAAUCUCUGAUCUUGACUAGAAUGUUUUCGGCGAUACCCAACGGGUGUCGAACCGAUUGAUCCGCUAGUUGUAGACACAUUGAUGUUGGUUCUAGGGUCGCAUGCUCAAGCUUUUUGUAGACUGAUGCUGGCAUCACACUGACACUUGCUCCGAGAUCACAAAGUGCAUUGUUGAAGUGUUGGUUUCUGAUCGAGCAAUCAAUAGUGGGGCAUCCUGGAUCUUCCUUCUUCUUUGGUGGUUUGUUAAGGAUGGCCGCACUGCAUUCUUCUGUCAGCUUGAUAACCUCAGUGGUGGGCAGCGGUCUCUUCUUGUUAAGAAUAUCUCUGAUGUACUUUGCAUAUGUAGGUACUUGUAUGGCAUCGAGCAGAGGUAUGUUGACAUAUAAUUUCUGAAUGACCUCUACAAACUUACCAAACUGCUCAUCCGACUGCAGUCCUCUGUUUCUUCUAGGAAAUGGCAAAUAGUUGGUGUCGUAAAAAUCUUUCCUCAUUUCUCUAGUUCUUGGUGGUUGGAGCAGAUCUUCUGCUUCAACUGGGCUUUCUUCUUCUAUCACUGCUGGUUGCACUGGUGCUGAUGUUCUUUGUUUCUCUUUUGGGUAUGGGGGAUCUCUGGUGGCUUUUCCUCCUCUAGUAGUUAUAUUCUUUAUCUGCUCAAUGUUAGUAGCAACAGGCAGUGCAGCAGCUAUCUUUAUUAAUUUAAGCUCUACCCUUUUAUUAAGAGUGUUUUGCUCAUCAAAGGCAGUUAGUAGAAAAUCCAAUUUGUUGUGUAUAUCUUUUAGAGAUGAUUCAUUUGUAUCUAGCCUUUGUUUAACUUCGUCAUUAAAUUUGGUUUGUUGAGCAAUUAUCUCUUUUAAUGAAAGUUGCUUGAAAGUAUUACCUGAAUUCAUAUCUUUGCUAUUGGGUUGACUCGAAGUUGGUUGAUAUUUGUAUGCUGUCUCAAUGGCCCUUUGAUCUUCUUUGAACUUGGCCCUCUGGUCAAUCCAAUGGAGCAAAUUUUCCAUCUUAGUUGAUAAUGCAUUUACUUCUUCUGGUAUUUCUUCAGUUUGAUGACAUUGUUGAGCUUUAUCUUGGAACCAGCUUUGAUUUUCUGCUAUCUUAUCCAAAAGUAUCUCUGCUUUUCCAAUUGUAAGCUCCAAGAAUGAUCCUUUAGCAGAUGCAUCUAGGCACUCGUGAGCCUUCUAGGUUAAUCCAUGGUAGAAGGUCUGCAUAAGUAACCAUGUGGCCAUUCUAUGGUUAGGACAAUCUGAUAAGUAUCCUUGAAAACGCUCCCAUGCUUCUGAAAUGGUUUCUGUCUUCUGCUGUUGGAAACUGACAAUAUUUCCUCUUAAGGCAGUUGUUUUGCCUAUAGGGAAAAACUUCGAUAGAAAGGCAUCUGACAAGUUCAUCCAGUUGUUGAUGUUAUCUUCAUGAGUGUAGAACCACUUCCUCGCUUUCCCUUCUAGUGAGAAUGGAAAAAGGCGAAGCAGUAUGACGUCUUUGUCAACUUCGUUGAUGUGGAUUAUGCUUCCAAUCUCUAAAAAAUUCUGCAAGUGUGUGUUAGCAUCUUCAUGUGCCUUUCCACUGAAUUGUGUAGCUUGUACCAAAUUGACGAGGCUUGACUUGAGCUCAAACUCGGAUAUUCCUUCUUCUACUGCAAAUCUUGGACCAGUUGGAAUGUUCUCAAGGCUUGGAGCAGAGAAUUCUUGUAGGGUCUUCUGUGCCAUAGCUUCAGCAAUUGGUAGCUAGCUUCUUCUUCUCUUGAUUGCUUUGGUUCUGAUGAUGAAGAGUUGAAUGUACCCAAAGUCAAUCCUGAUAUACUCUGUAUAAAAAUGUAAACAUAGAAAAACAACAGGGUGAACCUGCCAAAGCAGAGGUGCCUUGUUAUGAUUUCUCACUUAGUAGCUGUUUUAUGCAAUUAUUUCUCUAUAGUCUAGUCUAAUGUUUUAUGUGAAUAACCUUGACUGAUUUUCUGACUUUUCUUACCGUUCCUAAGUAUUACCCUUUUGUUCCCCGGUAACGGUGCCAGAAAUGCUUGUUGACACUAGCUAACACCACUUAGAUACUAGGUUGUCAUCCCCAGCAUGGUGCCAGAGUGUACAAAGGUAUUUAUAAAUGUAAAGGCUCUCUAGAAAAUAAUUUAUUCUAUCCGCAAGCGCACAGAUAAAACACCUCAUUGUAGCAUUUCACCAGGAUAAGUAUUCCAGGUAUCGUUAUUUAUAAUUUUUGCUUAAGAGAACAAAAGGGAUGAAAUUAAAUUAAGGACAAAAUCUAUCAAGGCAUAGACUAGAGAUAAACUUGCAAGAACAUGAUUACUAAUGAGAAACUCGUCACACAGUCACUUACUUUAGCAGGGGGUAAACCAUAAAGAUAAUGAUAAUGAAUUAUAAGUUCAAGGGAUAAAUAACACAGCGAUUAGAAAAUAGACUACUCCUCAUAUAUGUAGGUGAUGUCGGAUUAGCUAGAGAAUGGAUUCUAAGUUAUCUACUAACUACUAAGUCAUAAUCUACUCUAGUUAUCUACAAGAUCAUAUAUAGCAUAAAAGACUCUUCAUUCAUGUAUAAGGAACAUUGCUAAAGUAAAUCAGAGCAUCGCAAGACUUACUCCACAAUACCGGUUCUGCCUGUCCUAUCAACGGAGGGUGGACUAUAUAAGAAUCAACGAAGCUGUCACUAUCGCGAACUACCACACGACCCGGCCAAUAGGAUACAUUUGCAGAUAAAUAACAUCUAAGCACUACGCUCACAUGUGAUCUAUCACCUAACUCCCUCGCGUCAAGAGCUAAGCGAUUUGCAAACUUAUACAUAAACUCAUUAUCAAUCAUAACUAUAUCAAAUAUAUAACUAGAGCAAACUAAGAACAUAAUAAUUAGAGACAUAAUGCAAUUAGAACAAUAGAAUUAGAGAAAGAUAUGAAUAAUACCAAUCUUUAUUACCGAAGAUCCGAAUCCAGAGCGUAGUGCUCUACUUCUCUAAUUGCUAUCUAAUCAAACCUCUAAACUUGAAGGAUUAGGGAGUAGCUAAUUCUAAUUCUCUAUGGGAGAGAAGCUCUAAACCCUAACUUUGAUGGCUACCUCUGAAUAAUGAUUUCUUCUCUUCUCCUCUCUCCUCCAGGGGCCAGGGGGUCUGGUUUUAUAGUCCCCUCAAGUGAACAUGAGCCAUUGGAUCAAACCGACAUAGAUUGUAUGGUUUAGAUUGAUCCUUUAGGUCGGUGGAGUUUAGCCCCGAAAGAGAGUCCCGAUUGGGGUCCAACCCAGGGCGGGCACCCAAGGCAGGAGGGCGGGCGCCCUGCCUCUGGCCCCGUUCGGCCUCCGCUUCCUUCCCGUGGCUUCUGGACUCUUCUAGAUUGAAGAAAAUUGCGCGACACAUAAUUAUCUCAUUGUAACAAUGACAUGUGGGCCUUCUCUCCAUAUUCUCUGAUAACCCCCUGAAGAAAUAUAUAAACACCAAAGCUCGUGGAAUUCUGUCAGAUAAAACCCUAAUUCUAGAUGUUUGUUUCAUAUUGAUCCUUUUUCAUGUUUAUUUGAUUAUUAAUUUUAGUACUUAAGGACCGUCAACAACCAGCUCAUGCUACCCGAGCAGGAGAGUCCAAGGAAAAGCACCAAGUCCAAGGAGCACAAGGAAGUCCAACUGGUCGACGGCAGCCCAAAGAAGACGGCUCUCAUCGGAGCCAAUCUGGAUGCUCGUCAGGUUUCUAAGGGACAACAUAAGCGUUUUCACAUGGAAACCCGCGGACAUGCCUGGUGUCCCAUGAAGCUGAUCGAGCACUCCUUAAACGUCUCGAAGACUGCAAGAUCUAUCAAGCAGAAGCUACGACGGUUCGCUCGUGACAAAAAAGAGGCUAUUAGGACAGAGAUUACACGGCUUUUAGCAGCCGGGUUUAUUAAAGAAGUGUAUCACCCCAAUUGGCUCGCCAAUCCAGUCCUUGUAAGAAAAAAGAACAAUGAAUGGAGAAUGUGCAUUGAUUACACCGAUCUCAAUAAACACUGUCCUAAAGAUCCUUUUGGCCUCCCCCGCAUAGACGAAGUGGUCGACUAAACAGCCGGAUGUGAACUACUUUCUUUUCUCGAUUGCUACUCUGGUUACCACUAGAUCUCGUUAAAAGAGGACGAUCAGAUUAAAACCUCCUUCAUCA
rnacentral:lncRNA from 1 species